CGAGUCGAUACUCUGCAUGAAGAAUUAAUGAUGCAAGCCGUCUCCAGCAAACUGCAGGUGAAUAUUGUAAGAUCUCCAAGAACAGAACUCAGAAUCUGUGGGAGAGAAUAAACGCAUCGAAUAAAGUGGAGGUGAAGAAUUAAUGAUUCAAGGCCGCUCCAACAAGCUGCAGGUGAAUAUUGAAAGAUCUCCAAGAACAGAACUCAAAAUCUGUGGGAAAGAAUAAACGCAUCGAAUUGUGCUGGAUUAUUCAUAUACAAGGUGUGCAAUAAUUAAGUCUACUAGUCAUUCAUACGUCAAUUGUAACAAUAAUAAGUCUACCAAUUGUAACAAUAAUAAGUCUGAGAAGAUGCAAACACUAAGUGGCUUUGAGAUCUUUUCAUUUGUCAAACAAUUGGUUAAUUAUGAUUACAGUAGCGAGUUAUAGUUGCAUGAUAUACAUCUGAGUUGGCAAAUUAAUUAUGCCAAACAAUUAAUUAUUCUACUCUUUUUUAUUUUUUAUUUUUUGUUUUUAGUUACUUUUUAUUUUUAUUUUUUACCUUCCCCUCCCUACUCAAGCCUGCCUGGUCAGGAGAUUGAGUUAAAAAUUAUAUAGGCUUCUAGCUUGAAAAUUUGUUGUUAGUUGCUCCAAAUUCCUUAAAUUCAGCAGGUAAUUCGUUUGCAUAUUCUAAAGCAAAGCUUCUUAUCCGAAACCUUAAUCCAUUUUUAUCUCUUUCCCUGGGUUCUCAGACAAAUUAAACAAAGCGCGAGAGCACAUAGGUACUUUCCGGCCAUUUCUAGCCAGCACCUAACCUGAAGGCAUCCGACCAUAAUAACAAUACUUUAUCCAUGAAGCCACUGACUGUAACCUUAUUAUUUCUGCUUUUCAACAAUAUUCGAGUGUCGUAUAAGAGUUUGGCCAAAAAAAAAAAAAACCUUUGUGAAUGGUCCACCCUUAUUUUGGUUGUCCCUUGAGCUCAAGUUUGAGAAAAAUUUAUCCCAGACCUUAUCCGUACCAUGAUUCUAAUGUUUUGUUUUUCCUUGAUGAAAUUCUUGUAAUGGCUUUUCUACAAAACAAGGAAAAAAUCUCUGGGAACUGCUGAUUAACGAUGAACCACACUUAAUAAUGUUGAAUUGUUGGAGACAAUUUUGAUUCCCACUCGACAAAUAUGCUUUCCCAUUCAAUGAAGAUGGUGAUAAUCACAGGUAAAUAUAAUACAUAAAAUGACUCCAAAAACAGGGAAAUUUGUCUCAAGGCGUCCAUUUAUCUUCGUUUUUGGGUAAAAGAAGAGUUACAAUUGUUGCCGCUUCGUGUGGCAGCCGGAACAUUUGUCCUUUUUUUUUUUCUAAAACGGUUUUUGGGGCUCGACCACCGUUAAGAGCACACCAGUUUCCACUUGGCUGCUAAAAGGAAGGAGGAAGAUGCAAGCAACAGGAGAAUUUUAGACAUCUUUUCAUUAUUUUUAACGUUUUUAUCCCUCUCUUUUUGUGCAUAAACUGUAAGAGCAGAGGUUAAAAUUCCACGUAUAGUUACAGGGAAGAUAGUUUGUAGUUCAAACACCAAUUGGAUCGUAUACCAAAAGAAAAGAUUGUGAAGCUUGUUGCGACAUAGACUUCAGGAAAAAGAGCUCAGAUCACAGAGACCCCAAAAAUUGUUCUCUCAGACCAUCUCUGGUCGACCAUAAUCCAAAAACAUGCACGAUAUCAUCGAUAUACGUAUCGUGUUGUAUAUCUCUAGUACUUGGCCUGAUGAGUCUGCUAGCCAUCUCAACAAUCAAAAUAUGCACAGCCUCGUCCCGUAUCUUGUUAAGGAAAACAAAUAAAGGGAUGAGUUAAAAGUCUAGUGAGAUUCCAAGAAAAUAUAUAAGCAAACUAAUAAGUAUCUCAAAAGUCGCAUUAAGACAUAAUCACGUUUGACAUGUAACAAGAAAUAUCCAGAGAUAUCAUUUAACAGUGAUACGAUCACGUUUUUCAUGGAGCAGACAUGAGCAAACCAAAUAAUAACACGUAGUACAAUCAAUUUUAAAAGAUACGGGAUAGAUACAGGCUUUAGAGGUGGCUCGUACGGGCUUUAGAGGUGACCCCCGUCGCAAGUGGCACUUAGCACUGCACAACACUUAGUUCCGUUCAAUUAUUCAAGAUCAAUCAUCCAUAUUCGGACUCUAAAAGUGCCUCCCGUCUAUUUCGAAUGUAGUAAGACUCUAGAGGUGGCUCUCGUCCAUUUCGAACGGAGCACGUAGCUCCGUUAGAAAUUUAAUAGCAAUAUUCAUAUUCAAACUCUAGAGGUGGCUUCCAUCUAUUUCGGACGUAGCACUUAACUCCGUCAGAAAUUCAAUCAUUACUAGUAUAACGACUUCAAAUCAAGCACAUAUAUAUCUUUCACAUAUAAAUAGAAGGAUAGCGAUAUAGUCAAAUUAAGUCGAGUGCGAUAAAUUAUACACUCGCCUAACCAAUAUUCAAUUCAAGAGAGCUAGCAUUUCAAUCAAUCGAUAAUCUUAUCAAAACAGCAUUUGAAUCAAGUACAAAUCAGACCAUACCAUUGAAACACUCACCAAAUGAAGUGGAUCGUCACACCUCGAUUAUAGGUUUUCCUUCUAACUCACCAUCGACUCCUGAGACAUGCCCAAACUACAAGUACUAAACUUUUCUCCGCUACAAACUUUCACUCCAAAAAUACUAUCUUAGUCAAACCGACUAUAAUAUCACUUAAAAUUCUAGUUUAGAAGAGUUAUCAAAGAAGUAGGUUAAGGUAUAUAUAGUUUUAUAAUCAAAUUCUUGAAAAUAAGGUUGGAAACCAUGUCCUCACUCUCUCAACUACUAUUGAUAGAAAUUGUCACCAAUAUUACUUCAAACUUUUCUCCAAAAAUCAGUGAAUUUAAGUUAUAUAGAUCAUUUUAGAAGCAAAACUCUUAUGAGAUAGUGUAAAUGGGAUUUUAGUCAGAUUUGGAUAAAUUUCUAUUUUAGAGUUUAAAGUUAGACCCUAAAAUCUAAGUACGAGUUUAAGAUAAUUUGAAACAGAAUUUUUAGCACAAUGUGAUUCAUGUUUUCCAUCUAAAGUCCAUUAGUUCUUAGCUUAGAUCUUCUUCAAUUUAACAUGCAUUUUACUAUCAUACUUUCUAGGUUGUUUUAAACUUAAAGUUUGGUCGGAGUUCCCAAAAAAUUUAGAAAAUAGUUUGAAAUCCUCAACCAUUUCAAUCGGUCCAAAACAAACUCAAAUAGCUGACAGCUCGAGUUUCUUUCCCUAAAACUCAAUGUUUCUUGCUCUAGUCAGAGUAAGUAGAAAAUACAAGGUAAAAUGGAGGAUUAUAGAGUGUUCUUGACCAAUAUUUGCACAAUUCCAUUUCACAAUAAUAUUUGCACAAUAGAAAUAACUGGAAGAAAACACAGCCACACUCUUGGAUAUAAAUCAGCAAUUCAGUCAUGUUCAUUUCAAAAAUUUCAUUCAAUCUUCCAAAUUAUCAAACAAGAUCCAUCAUACAAUCACGUAAACACUGAAAUGAGGGCAUGCAGCUUCAAAGUCCAGCAAAACUUUUCAAGAAAUUUCUGUUUUAAAACAAAAUUCUCAACUUUACUCCAUCGAUUCUCAAAUAUCAACAUAAACAAAAGUUUCAGCAAGGUUCCUCCAAAAAUCGGCACUUAUCUCAUUUGGAUUUAAGCAAAACACUACAUGCAUGUCAAGAUAAAAGAGAUAAUAGGUAUGUAAAGUGCUUUUAGAUAGAAUUUAACAAAAUUUUUGAAAAACAAGAACUGAAACUCGUAGCUUUCCUUCUUGAUUUGCUAUCUAGAAAUUUCGGCUUUGAAAAUGCUUUAAAAGUCAAUAUUUUCAUGCUUUUAACUCCUCAAAUAUCACAUACAUGACUAGAUUUAGGUGUUAGCAGGUAUAUAGAGUCAAGAUGUGUCAAUUUACAACUAAAAUUUUAGGGAUAAAGUUGAAAAAAUCACAGCUUCUUCCCCACGGUUCCAACAAAACAAAAUUUCCAAUAAGCAUCAUUUCUUUGAAAAAUCAUAACUCGAAUUAUAAAUUCCAAUAAAUUAUAAAAAUUACCCCCUUAAAAACUAGACUUGAAGUACUAACAAUCUUUAGAAGAUACCUCAAAUAGAUUCAGUUCAUAAAUUGGUCCAAAUUGAGUCGCAAGUUAUUACAACAUUCUAGUUUUUACUUGUGCAAGACAGAAUUUUCAGUUAAUAUUGCCAAUUUUUGGUGUGUUUAUAAAAUGAAGCUCAAAUUUUAUACUUUGAGUCUAGUUUCAAAUGCAAUUAACGGCAUUCAAUUUCGAUUUUUGUACACUAAGUAAUGAUCAUUUUACUAAACCUACCCGGGGAUGAUUGUCACCCUAAAUUUCAACCUUCCACUUGUUUGACAAUACCAAAUACACAGCAUAUCAUUUAUCCAACAUAAAAUGAAGGAAUUAGCAAUAAUCUAGUUCUAUUACAUAUUUGUUUCGGCUAAGCAUUUUACCAAAAAAACUUCACAAAAUUUGUCAUCAACUACCACAAUAACUCUGUCAUCAGCUAAGCAAAAUUUUCAGCAAGAAAAUUGAAACUUUUCUUCACCAAAACUUUCUCUUUUCUGCUCAAAUCUAACUUACAUCCUUAAAGCUUAAAAAGGCAUGGAAGAAGAAAAGAUUUACAGCACUUUUUUACCUUUUUUUUCCCAAGAAAUUGAAGCUGAAAAUUGAAGAAUCAAGACUGACAGCUUUCCACUUUUUUCUUUUCUCUCUCGGCUGCAACAAGAGGGAUGGAGCAAAUUUUCUCCAAUCUUUCUCAAGCUCUUUCCCCUUGGUUGUGAAUUGGUCAUGGUUGAAAUCCCUCAAACUUUCCUAGUUUCUUCCUCAGUUUCAAGACUCAGAAAAGGAACAAAACUUCUCACUCACCACUCAAUUUCUUGGCUGGAAUAAACUUGGAAUAUUGGAGCUUUUCUCUUCUUGAUUUGUUGGGGGAAAAUAGAAGGAGGCAAGGGCUCUCUUGGCUGCAAGACAAGGAAGAAAGGGCAAGAAUUUCAAGCUUUCUCUCUCUCUCUCUCUCUCACUAUUGGCUAGAAGGUUGGAGCAAGACAAGGAAAAAUCUUGCACCUUUCCCUCUAGUCUCUCGGCUGAAACAAGGAAGAAAAACUUUAAUUUUUCUCUCAACUUUGCUUAUUUCUCUCGGCUAAACAAUGGAGAAAGACAAAAGAAAGCUUUCACUAAAGAGGUUUAUGUCUUGUGGUUGAUUACCAACACUUAGCAAAAUUGUCAUCUCUACAUGCCAAACACAUGUAAGUUGUCAAAAGUUACUCUAACAAUUAUCCCUUACUUCUAGAUUAUCAUGUUAUGUCCCCACUAGUUUCUUAAUCUAGCGUUAAUUCCUAUAAAAGUUGAUCCAAUACUAAUAUAGCGUAUAUUCAAAUUAUUUAAUCACAAGAAACAAGUAAACACAUAAACUAUAUAAUAACAACUAAAUUGCAACACCUUCAAUUUUAAAUAAAAACAUAAAAUGCACAACGAAUUUCAGGCUUUCAUAAUCUCUAGUGUUGCAUGUUUCAUUUAUUUAUAGAACAUUAAACAGCCCAUGACAGUUGUUAUCGGAACUGUUCUGAUACCGUGGGUUUAGGUGACAAGUGAAUAGCCAUUAUAUCAGAUGCUAGCAUACAAUGAGAGGUUGAGAAUAAGCAUGUCUUGCGAGAACCAGAGAGGGUUACUCGAAGCAAGGGCCGUCAGGACAAGUUCGCCAUUUAAGAGUCGCUGGCCGCUUUUGACUAGAGGCUAACUACGAUAGAGCUAACCAUUACUAAUCACCAAGACUGUUGGGCUGAGUUCAAUGAAUGCAUAGCGCAAUCUGAGGUGGAAGAGUUAUGUGGGAACAUGUAAGUCGUGCUAAAUAAGACUGUUGGUAGACUUCUCAAAGGGAACGAGAUGAUUAGACUUAAUAUGUUGUCUUUCCAAGAGGAGCUUGCCAAUCCCAAUAUGGAGCUUGAUGUAUCUAGAGCACAGUUGGCUAGCAAAUGCAACGAUCACGGAGCCUUCGUACAUUCGAGAGGAGUUGCAAAGGUUUCGCUUGGAACUAGACAAAUUAAACAUACAAAGAACAAUGGGAGCCACCGUAUCUACACUUAGGGUCGAGGUGCCACAUACUCGAUACUUAUAGUGGAGCAAGGAUGGGAUAUGAUACAAAAAUUUUUUUGUACGAGUUGGAAUGAUAUUUUGACACACUUGGCAUCAUGGAGGAAGUAGGCAAGCUGCAAACAACCCCAUUAUAUUUGAAGGAUUCAAAUUUAAUAUGGUGUUGAAGAAGGUGUAAUGAUAUAAGGAAAGGGUCUGACGUCGUCACUAUUUGGGACGCGUUCAAGAACGAGCAGAAGAAGCAAUUCUAACUAGCAGACAUGGAAGAUGAAACUCGUGCCAAGUUUCAUCAUUUACAACAUAGGAACGAACAUGUCCACGAGUAUGUGAAGGAGUUCUCUAAACUCUUGCUAGAGAUACCAAAUAUGUCACCAAAGGACGUAUUCUUCACGUUUAUGGACAAAUUGCGAUCAUGGAUCAAAUUUCAACUCCAAAGCCGGCACGUAAAAGAUUUAGCUGAAACAACGGUUGUAUCCAAGUUAUAUAAGAUCCUAUGAAGGGAUGAUAGAAGGGACAAAGGAAAGAGAUCCGACCAAGGCUCAAGUCGGGGAGAUUGUCACUCGAAUCUUGCGAAAUCACAUGAAUGGUUGAAAACUCCUUCCACCACAGAUGAAACUAAAUGGGCUCAAGGCAACAAGGGCAAGAUCAAGAAUUUCGACUGCUAUACAUGUCAAGACCCAUUAGAUUUUUCAAGGGAUUUCCAGAUAGAAAGUUGCUACAUGCUAUCAUACAAGAAUGCUAGUACGAGGAGGAAUGGCGAAAACUCAAGUGUAUGAUGCUUAGCGCGGUUGAAGCAAUGGUGGAUGACCAAAGGUGAGACCAAAUGUAUGUGGACACCAGAAUCAACAGAUGCAAGGUAUAGGUCUUGAUUGAUAUGGGUACAGAUGUCAACUAUACGAGUGACAAUACCGCAUGAUCAUUGGGUCUAAUAUGGGAGCCAUGCAAAGAUCAGUUCAAAGACAGCAAUGAAAAGUGGGUGUCAUUAGACGGGAUAGCAACUAAUGUACCCGUCAAAUUGGGACAAUGGGUUGGGAUGACAACCUUCACCAUCAUUUUAAUGGACGAUUAUACGGUAGUUUUUGGAAUGAAAUUCAUAGACAACCUUAAACUAAUCAUGGUGCCACACGAAAACACUAUGCUAAUUACGCAAGAAAGGGCACAUUGUGUUGUGAAUGUUUCCCGUGAGAACGAGGUGAGCCUGCAAUAACUCAAGGGGGAAGGUGUGAAGGGUCGGAAAAUAUGUGAGGACAAGCUUGAGGAAGGGGCUGCAACACACAAGCCAAUCGAGCAGAGAGACGGUGCAUAGGGCACCGUAGCAUUGAAGGGUCGCAUAUAAAAGAGAUAUGAAAUUGAUCCACAAAUCUAAGCAUUGAAGAUAUUAGCGGCCAGAGGCAAGACCACCAAAUAUUGGCUUGACAAAAAAGGGGUCCUUCAUAGUGAGCAUGCCGUGUACAAGCAAAAUUGUGACAAUGUGCGCGAGGACAUCAUACGGGAAUAUCGUGUUGAGGAAACAGGACCUAAGUAUGCACUGAAUGUAAUACAACAUCACUUCUUCUGACCGAAACAAGAGGAGGAUGUUAAGAUGUACAUGAUUCAGGACAAAUUUCGACGACUAUUGGGAGCACUAAAUGCAUCAGGGCCGAUGUUUUGUUCAAGUGGGGGAGGAUGAUAAGAAUUGCACCCAAUUCGCACGCGAUUGUGUCUAUCCCCACUCGUGACCAGACUUGGCCAUCCAAGUCAUGCCCACUGUACAUAGUGUCCAUGCAAAAGACUAGGACUAGUAGUAAAUCCAUAACCUAAUCUCCCAAACAAGUGGUUAGCCAUGAAGCUCUGGCCAAAACAUGGAAGUUUCUCCAAACAUUAUAGAGAAUGUGUAGCAAAAUUUAGAGACUUCCGGAACACUCUAGAUUGUUCAAGAGUUUUGUACAUAAGGGGUUUAGAAUUGGUAAGGUGCGGAACUUUCUACAAGUUCUCACUUAUGUAGCAUAAAAUAAGGGAACAAUCUAAAUAAACAAAUUGGGUAGUUUAGUUGGUAGAAUUUUUAGAGUCAUGUAAAGAAUUCUUGACUUGCUCAUAAAUAGGUCAAACUCUCUCAUUUGUAAACUAGCUAUUGGCAACUUUUGGAAACUUUUGGAGUCUCAAAUAAUAUAGAGCUUUCCUUCUAGCCUUCAUCCUUAUUCUUCUUACUCUUUAUGUUUAAGCUUCUGCAUCAAUUCUGCACACUUAGAAAUUAGACUAAACUAGUAACCAUUCAAAAUUUAAGUCUUGGACGAUCGUUAAUGCCAUACAAUGUGUUUGCUUAUAGCAUAUUUAGUAACCCGUGACAUUAUAAUCUGGACACGAUGUCGUGGCCCAAGGUUUUAAUUUGGCCUCAACUAGAUUGGAGAGGGGGGAAAGGGGAGAGGCGAGACGUGGCGGAAGAAAGGAGGGCCCUUCCUAUGAUCUGGCCAUGAUGUCAUGACCAAAGGCCUUGAUUUGGUCUCGACUAGAUCGAGGAGGGAGGAAAAGAGAGGGGUGAGACGUGGCUGGAAAAGGGAAGGGAAGGGGAAGGGAGGCAGGGACGAGGGGAGGAAAGAAAGGAAGAAGAAAAAUGAGAGAAGAAAAGAGAAGGAUAAGGAAGAGAAAAGAGAGGGAUGAAAUAAUGGCGAUAGUAGGCUAAAAAAUAGUAUAAAAAGUUUUAAAUUUUAAAAAAUCCAAAAACGUAUCUCAAAAAUACCUCUCAAAAUUUCACAAAAAACAUUUAUAGUGAAAAAUUCUUCCGUAUACACUAUUACAAUAAAAUAUUUUAUAAAACACCUUAAAAAAAUAAUGCUGUAAAACUGGAAUAAAUUGUUGUUGGUAGGGCUAUUAUCGUCUUUUGGCUAACAUCCAUCCUAGGCUAAGCCGUAAUAAACUGACCUGAGAGGGGCAUUAGGAAUGGCCCCACUGACAUGCACAAAGACAAAGGGAACCACUAAGGAAACAAAACCUACAACAGAGAACCAAUGAAACCCAAAUUGCCCCCAGGCUUGGCUGGAAAUCACAAUUCAGCACUCGAACACCGAGGGCACGACACUUCUACUGUUCCUCAGCGUUCGGUGCUUUUAAUAUGUAGGGUUGAGCAGCUUCCACGUAAGCUAAUGUGCAUCUUCACUGAGUCGGUUUGGACCGUUUGGUGGUUUUCUGCUUUGUGAAUCUCUGCAAUCUGGGUGGCAAGUCUCCUCAAUUGCGUAAUUUGGGUGGCAAGUCUUUCUCAUCGUGUUCAACUGCAGUGAAUUAUAAAUAUUAACUGACUUCUGACUUUUUCAUUGGAUACUUUGUUCUGAGAUGUAUUAUAAGAGUAAAAUCUUUGAUUUUGUUCAAAAAAUUUUUUUUUUGGAAUAGGCGGUCGGGCUGGUUAAAGUUAAUCUGUCAUGCCAAAUUGCAUGUCAAAAUUGCAUCUUUUCGUUGGUAUUGGUGUUGGAGGUCAGGGAAAUUAAAGUACUUUUCUCUCGUUUUAUCUUCUUUCUGGUAGGGGAUGCUUUAUGUUAUCCCGUAUUGCCUAUUAACAAGUAAAAUUCAUAUCUUUGCUGUUUCCUGUAUACUUUUAUCCUCUUUCCCCUUAUCAGGGCUGCUUAAUCUUAGCCAUGAUGCCAAUUAACAUGUAAAGAUUGCAUCUUUAUUAGUUUUUCUGUUGGAGACAGCAAAAUGAAAUAAAUUAUCUUGCAAAAGUUGUAUCUUUGUUAGUUUUAUUUUGGUUCAAAAGAUUGCAUCUUUGUUAGUUUUUGCUGUUGGAGACAGCAAAAUGAAGUAAUUGUUAUUGCAAAGGCAGUUCCUUUCGUUCUCUCUUUUUUGGGUUUGGAGUAGUUGUUAAUAAGUACUGCUAUUAACAAGUGAAAAUCAAAUUUUUGUUAGUUUAUUUUAUUCUUUUUUUUUGGAUUUGAGCUUGUAAAUUAAAUGUGAAAAUUGCAUCCCGUUGGCCGCAGAGGUACUAUAGAAGUAUUCUGGCAAUAUGUAAGAAGUUCUUUUUCGUUAUUGUUUCAGGAACAAACAACAAUGUGCUGGUUUGGAAACAGAGCUUUGCCUUUUGCAAUCCUCUUGGCGGCAACUGGGGCGGCCAUUCAGAAAGCAAUUAAAUCUUUUGGUGGACAGGGGAAAGCAAUUGUUUUGCAAGAAAAGCACGAGCAAGAUUUUGUUCAUAAGGUACUUAUGCUCAGUUAUUUGUUUUACUCUGGUAGCAAUAUGCUAUGCAUUGUUUGAUCACGAAAUAUAAUAAGAAGCAUAUGACAACUAAUAGCUACAUAAUAUUCAUACUUUUCUAAGGAAACCCAUUUUUUAAAAAUGAAUGGAAGACUUUGAUUAAUAAACAUGAACACAAUUCCACCUGUUUACUUGCUAUUGAUUAUCUAAUUUUCCUAUCACCCCAUUGUUUCCAAGUAUCCAAGUUUCACAAGCCAUUCCCAUGACUCAACUUGAGACAUUGGGAAUAUUAGUAUAUAUCCAAGUCUAGAAUAAACAGUUGUAAGAAAAAAUUAUUAGCACAAUGAUGGUCGAAGCUCACUUUGCCACAAUAUAUGUUAGUUUUAUUCGUUACAUUAGAAGUAGCCUCUUUAUUGUUUGUACAAAGAGAAAAAAGAAAACAGAUAUGGUGUUUAGAGCGCAAAUGGAUAUUAAGUCCAAUGGGCAAACCUCACCUAUGAAAAUGAGCCGACCCAAGUUUUCAAUUGAGGCAGUCGUCAGACAAAGACGAGUUGGCAAAUAUUGAUAGGUCUUGCUUCCUCAAGAAAGAUGUUUGCUUGUUCUGCUGUUUGGACAGUUAUAGUAUGGCGCUGCUUAAGGAAUCAUAUUAUGGAAGAGAAAAUCUAUUCUGUAAUAAUAGGACAUACAUUCAAAAACUGAAAGAGACUUGGUUGGUAGGGACCAAUUUAUUGAGCUUAUUGAGAAGUUUUGUGAAAAUUGAGUUUUAGUUUGACUCAAUAAAAUGGUCAGGUAAGUAUGAGUUGUCAAAAAAACCAAGUGACCUACCAUUAUUAGUUAGGAUAAACUUUUUCAAUUGCUCUUUCUUAGACUGUAAUAACAGUUUUAAGAUUCUGAUGAAAAACCUGGUGACUUGUGUUUAAUCUAUGUCUUUAGUUUUAACUUGAUUACAGUUUGGUUUAACUCUUGAGUAGACUGUAACUAUUCAAGUUGAAUCUGGGUGUCUUUUCUGUGAACAUUGAGAUAUAUUUUCUGUAAUAAUAAUGAAAGGAAGAAGAUUUCCAGUGGGUAAAGACGUAAUCAAACAUUAGCAUUGGAAAAAGUGGCAGGGCACUCUUGUUAUGUUAAUGGGGGGUGUUCUCAUUUGACUUUUCAACUGAUUUUAGAUUCUAAUUUUCCAGCAUCGGUUCUUUUGAUGUUCUUGUUUGCUUUUGUGUCUACAUUUUAGAUUAUUUGUAAUUGGCAAAUGAACUGAGAACUGAAAUCCUGAAUCUUUCCAAGAGUAUCUUUUGCUAAUUCUGAUUAAACACCUUUUUGUUAAAUGUAAAGCAAGCGAAACAGCCCCAUAGUAAUGCAUUUGUAAUCAUAUCUGCUAAAUCUUAUUGUUUUCCUCUGGAAAAGAAGCAAUUGUUGCUCUAUUAUGUUAAGCAAUUUGAAAGUGUAUUUUUGGAAAGGAUAAGUUGUUUAUCAGAAAAAGUUUGUUAUUAUAAUGUUUGCUAGUUUAUCUAGUGGGUAUGAUGUAUUGAUAGAUUCUUUUUCCUAACAUGUACAUUGUGUUCUGCUUGGAAUUUUGAAUCAGGCUGAUGAUGGUCUUGCGAAUGAGGAUAGUAUCAGUCGACUGCCAGAUGAUUUGCUGUCAGAUGUCCUUUCACGUUUGGACUUGAUAGAGGCUGUUGGGACAAGAAUUUUGUCAAGAAGGUGGAAAAAUGUUUGCAAAGUUAGGUCUGAACUCCACCUAGAUUGCCUUGACAUGUUUAGGCCUAAUUGCUCUCACGAUAUGGGUAGCCAUUGGGUACAGUUUAGGUUUUUGGAAGCUGUAGAUCAGUCUUUACAGCUUUAUUCAGGUCAAAGCAUAACUUAUUUGAGAAUUUCAUGCUGUUUCAUGAAAGAAUUUGAGCCCAAAUUCACUCAAUGGAUGCAGGUUGUAGCUACUUUAGAUGUUCAGGAACUUGACCUCAAAUUUAUCUGUUCUUCUUUGCCUCUUUGUCAAUGUGCAAAAUCCAACAUGGGUGAGCUUUUCCCUGUCUCAUUUCGGCUUCUUACUGCAGUAGCUACAAUGAAACAUUUGCGCUUAUUGGCUUGUUCUUUGCAACCAAGUUUCCCUACCCAAUUUAAUUCCCUUGAGGGCCUUUAUUUAGACUUGGUUCACCUGAGUGAUGGAGAAUUACCGAGAAUGUUGUCUUCUUGUGUUAACCUUCAGACUCUUAGACUCGGAUUUUGUAAACUUACUCCUAAGCUUUCUAUCUCUGGUCCGUGUCUCCAAUUGAAGUUUCUGUAUGUUCAUUCCUGUCCUGGUUUGGAGGAGAUUGAUAUCUGUGCUGGCAACCUGAUUACUUUUUCUUUCUUUCACAAUGGCCCGAUAAAGUUUUCGCUCUGUGUUCCCAAACUAGAAGAUGCACGCAUCACCUUCACUGGCAAUGGUUCCAUACCUUAUUUUUUUGGAGAAGUUCUGAAGGACUGUCCUAAGUUAAAAAACUUAUUAUUCCAAACAAACAGUGACAAGGUUUGUAUUGACUAUGGCAAUCAUCAUUUUCUGUGUCCAAUUCUUGGCAGUGGUAUUCAUGCUUUUUGUUUCUCUUGAUUCAGCUAAAAUAUACACCUGGAAAGAUGGAUAUGUUCAGCAAUCUUAGGACAUUAUAUUUUGUCCCAGGAAUGAAGUCUCCACCUGAUCUACUGAAUGUUGUGCCUAUUUUGGAGGCUUGUCCACAUUUAGAAGAAUUUCGUCUGCAGGUUAGUUACUAAAUCUAUUAAUUUUUCCCAUUUUCUCCCCUUCUUUGUGAGAUUUUUUUUGGGGGGUGGGGGUGGGGGGUGGGGUUGAUUUAUAGUUAGCGUCUUUUUACCAUCUUUUUGGAAACAUUGUAAAAGGCUAAUAUUCUUUGACUUAGAAUAACUAAAGCAAGAGAUAUUGGCCCUUUCUUUGAAGAGAUUGGAUUUUCAAAAUGGCAUUGUUACAUUUAGUUUGCUUUUAAAAUUUGUGGUGCUUUUUGCUAAGUGAAUAAAUGCUGAAUGAAUUUUCUUUAGUCUUGAUGAUUCCAUUUCCUUAGGUCUAUUUGGGAUAAUAUCCUUUGUUAAGUACUCUGUGAAACUGUUCUUUUUGCCAUUCUGAAUGUCUUUUUUACAGCGUUCUCUAACUGUCAUAUUUUCUACUUGUACUGCCCCAUUUUAAUUUUUUUUCUCUAAGUCCAUGACCUUCACUCAGAAGCAGUAUUCUAGUGUUUUAAGCUCAGCCUUAUGGCCUUCAGUGUGAAUUGAUGUUAGUCAUGGAUGCUUAUAUGAAGCAUUUAAGUUGAUUGCCUCAACUAGGGUUAUUGUCAAAUCAGCUUGACUACAAUCUAGGCCAAUCUUCCAUCGAGAGUUUGGUUGACUUUAAAUUUCGAAAGUUAGCAAAACCAGAAUGACUGGAUUUCCUUUCAACUUUUGAUGUUUUAUGUGUAUAUAUUCGUGAUUUGCAUGGAUGAUUAGAGGUUUGACAUAUUUGUUUCAAGGUCAAUUUUAGCUCUAUGACAUCAGAUGUAGGGGUUUCCAUCGAAUUAUAAACAAUUUAUCUGUAGAAAAGGAAGGAAAUUUUUUGUUUAUAUAAUUUCCACUUCUAUUAUAAAAUUGAUAUUGGAUGGAAUCUGAGCUGAGCAUCUGUUUGGUUGAGCAGAAUUAGAUAAGAUUUUGCUUUGGCAAGGUUUGUUGGUGGCCCUAGUUGUAGCAUUGCUAUUAAUGUCCAUAAUGUACAAGAUUAUCUUUUUCUUACAUCUUGUGGAUUUGUAAUGUAUAAGAUACUUCGUUUAUUUGUUAAAUUGAUUGAAAAUCGUUUCAAUAUCCAGUUUGUAAGAUGUAAAUCUCUCUUUAGAUGUUGAUACCUUUGCAUGUCUUUUUUCCUCUUCAUUCUGUAUAAGAGCUUUCUGUUUUAGCUGUUGAUGGAUGUGUUGUUUCUAAAAUGCAGUAUGUGAAUAUUUUAUAGUUGAAGUAAGUGUUUGCAUGCUUAUUCCAUAGUCGGUCCCAAUUUGAAGGUGAACCUUGCUGCUUACCUGCUACAUCCCAACGUCCUUGCAUGGCUUGGCUUGUUCUUUAAGCUCCACUUCUGCCUUUUAGAAUGCAGUAUGUGAAUAGUUGGCAGUUGACAUAUCAAAUAAGUGUCUGCAUGCUUAUAGUGACUCCUAAUUUUUGCUGCUUACUAGCUAUAGCCUUGCAUCCUGGCAUGGCUUUGCUCUUUCUCUGAGCCCUGCUUCUCCCUUCCCACUCUCCCUGUUCCUACCCCAAUAAACAGGCCUAUGGAAUAAAGCUGAUCCAUAGGUACUUAUUUCAGAGUAAACUUUGGGAAAUAACAAUUGUUCUUCUAACGUUCUCACAGCAUGUGUUUUGCACUUUUUGUCACGCUGCUUUUAAAGAUGCAAGUCAGAAGUGUGACUUCCAAUGGUGUCACUUUGAAGAGACAAUGCUGCUUAAAUCACGACUCUACUGUUGCAAUCUGUGGGAAGAUUUUUAAAGUGAAAGAAUACCAAUUUAUCACUUGUUGGUCUUUUGUUUUUCACCCUUCUUUGUUGAUGCCACAGUCCAUUGGCAUGGAGAAACAACUUAACUGCCCGUCAAACUUUGUUCUCCUGGUUUUUUGUUUGUCUCUCUCCUUUCUACUUCUUGUUCAUGCCACAGUAUGUGUAGGAACUUUGCCCAAGGUGACCUUUCUUUUGAUGUCCAUGACUUUUCACUCAACCAAAUUCUCUUCUCCAAUCUUAAUUCAUGUUUGAAGGUUAUAAUUUAAGCAGAUAUUAAUUGAAUGAUUUUGGCAAAUUGAAAGAAGUGAAAGCGUGCUAUGAAAAUCAUUGCUUGUUAUUGUGACUAAAAUACUUGGUUUUGCUUCUUUGUGCAUCUUCAGUGACCUGAUAAAAUAAAAAUAAAUGAUUAUUAGUGUACAUCUUUCUCUGAACUUAUUAUGAUGUACUCUUCACUCUCCUCAUUUUGGUUUCUCAUUUUAGAAGGUUGGGCAUCACAUGUUCUAUCGAUGCAUUUAGCUAAGAACCUGACUGAUUUAUUUUGGCUUUAGUUACUUUGUCGAGGUUUCAAUGAAGAAAGAGGAAGAGAAUGGCCUCCCAGACGCCUUGGUCAAUUAAAAGAAGUGGAAUUUAAUGGAUUUCACGGGACAGUAAAUGAAAUUCAUUUUGCUACUUAUUUGGUAAAAAAUGCUCCAGCACUUGAACGACUGUGGAUCCGCUCACCCUAUAGGUUCUAUUGUGGUGAUUAUCAUUUACGAACUGGAGGCGGUUGGUACAUGGAUGAGCGAGUCGAUACUCUGCAUGAAGAAUUAAUGAUGCAAGCCGUCUCCAGCAAACUGCAGGUGAAUAUUGUAAGAUCUCCAAGAACAGAACUCAAAAUCUGUGGGAGAGAAUAAAUGCAUCGAAUAAAGUGGAGGUGAAGAAUUAAUGAUUCAAGGCCGCUCCAACAAGCUGCAGGUGAAUAUUGAAAGAUCUCCAAGAACAGAACUCAAAAUCUGUGGGAAAGAAUAAACGAAUCGAAUUGUGCUGGAUUAUUCAUAUACAAGGUGUGCAAUAAUUAAGUCUACUAAUCAUUCAUACGUCAAUUGUAACAAUAAUAAGUCUACCAAUUGUAACAAUAAUAAGUCUGAGAAGAUGCAAACACUAAGUGGCUUUGAGAUCUUUUCAUUUGUCAAACAAUUGGUUAAUUAUGAUUACAGUAGCGAGUUAUAGUUGCAUGAUAUACAUCUGAGUUGGCAAAUUAAUUAUGCCAAACAAUUAAUUAUUCUACUCUUUUUUAUUUUUUAUUUUUUGUUUUUAGUUACUUUUUAUUUUUAUUUUUUACCUUCCCCUCCCUACUCAAGCCUGCCUGGUCAGGAGAUUGAGUUAAAAAUUAUAUAGGCUUCUAGCUUGAAAAUUUGUUGUUAGUUGCUCCAAAUUCCUUAAAUUCAGCAGGUAAUUCGUUUGCAUAUUCUAAAGCAAAGCUUCUUAUCCGAAACCUUAAUCCAUUUUUAUCUCUUUCCCUGGGUUCUCAGACAAAUUAAACAAAGCGCGAGAGCACAUAGGUACUUUCCGGCCAUUUCUAGCCAGCACCUAACCUGAAGGCAUCCGACCAUAAUAACAAUACUUUAUCCAUGAAGCCACUGACUGUAACCUUAUUAUUUCUGCUUUUCAACAAUAUUCGAGUGUCGUAUAAGAGUUUGGCCAAAAAAAAAAAAAACCUUUGUGAAUGGUCCACCCUUAUUUUGGUUGUCCCUUGAGCUCAAGUUUGAGAAAAAUUUAUCCCAGACCUUAUCCGUACCAUGAUUCUAAUGUUUUGUUUUUCCUUGAUGAAAUUCUUGUAAUGGCUUUUCUACAAAACAAGGAAAAAAUCUCUGGGAACUGCUGAUUAACGAUGAACCACACUUAAUAAUGUUGAAUUGUUGGAGACAAUUUUGAUUCCCACUCGACAAAUAUGCUUUCCCAUUCAAUGAAGAUGGUGAUAAUCACAGGUAAAUAUAAUACAUAAAAUGACUCCAAAAACAGGGAAAUUUGUCUCAAGGCGUCCAUUUAUCUUCGUUUUUGGGUAAAAGAAGAGUUACAAUUGUUGCCGCUUCGUGUGGCAGCCGGAACAUUUGUCCUUUUUUUUUUUCUAAAACGGUUUUUGGGGCUCGACCACCGUUAAGAGCACACCAGUUUCCACUUGGCUGCUAAAAGGAAGGAGGAAGAUGCAAGCAACAGGAGAAUUUUAGACAUCUUUUCAUUAUUUUUAACGUUUUUAUCCCUCUCUUUUUGUGCAUAAACUGUAAGAGCAGAGGUUAAAAUUCCACGUAUAGUUACAGGGAAGAUAGUUUGUAGUUCAAACACCAAUUGGAUCGUAUACCAAAAGAAAAGAUUGUGAAGCUUGUUGCGACAUAGACUUCAGGAAAAAGAGCUCAGAUCACAGAGACCCCAAAAAUUGUUCUCUCAGACCAUCUCUGGUCGACCAUAAUCCAAAAACAUGCACGAUAUCAUCGAUAUACGUAUCGUGUUGUAUAUCUCUAGUACUUGGCCUGAUGAGUCUGCUAGCCAUCUCAACAAUCAAAAUAUGCACAGCCUCGUCCCGUAUCUUGUUAAGGAAAACAAAUAAAGGGAUGAGUUAAAAGUCUAGUGAGAUUCCAAGAAAAUAUAUAAGCAAACUAAUAAGUAUCUCAAAAGUCGCAUUAAGACAUAAUCACGUUUGACAUGUAACAAGAAAUAUCCAGAGAUAUCAUUUAACAGUGAUACGAUCACGUUUUUCAUGGAGCAGACAUGAGCAAACCAAAUAAUAACACGUAGUACAAUCAAUUUUAAAAGAUACGGGAUAGAUACAGGCUUUAGAGGUGGCUCGUACGGGCUUUAGAGGUGACCCCCGUCGCAAGUGGCACUUAGCACUGCACAACACUUAGUUCCGUUCAAUUAUUCAAGAUCAAUCAUCCAUAUUCGGACUCUAAAAGUGCCUCCCGUCUAUUUCGAAUGUAGUAAGACUCUAGAGGUGGCUCUCGUCCAUUUCGAACGGAGCACGUAGCUCCGUUAGAAAUUUAAUAGCAAUAUUCAUAUUCAAACUCUAGAGGUGGCUUCCAUCUAUUUCGGACGUAGCACUUAACUCCGUCAGAAAUUCAAUCAUUACUAGUAUAACGACUUCAAAUCAAGCACAUAUAUAUCUUUCACAUAUAAAUAGAAGGAUAGCGAUAUAGUCAAAUUAAGUCGAGUGCGAUAAAUUAUACACUCGCCUAACCAAUAUUCAAUUCAAGAGAGCUAGCAUUUCAAUCAAUCGAUAAUCUUAUCAAAACAGCAUUUGAAUCAAGUACAAAUCAGACCAUACCAUUGAAACACUCACCAAAUGAAGUGGAUCGUCACACCUCGAUUAUAGGUUUUCCUUCUAACUCACCAUCGACUCCUGAGACAUGCCCAAACUACAAGUACUAAACUUUUCUCCGCUACAAACUUUCACUCCAAAAAUACUAUCUUAGUCAAACCGACUAUAAUAUCACUUAAAAUUCUAGUUUAGAAGAGUUAUCAAAGAAGUAGGUUAAGGUAUAUAUAGUUUUAUAAUCAAAUUCUUGAAAAUAAGGUUGGAAACCAUGUCCUCACUCUCUCAACUACUAUUGAUAGAAAUUGUCACCAAUAUUACUUCAAACUUUUCUCCAAAAAUCAGUGAAUUUAAGUUAUAUAGAUCAUUUUAGAAGCAAAACUCUUAUGAGAUAGUGUAAAUGGGAUUUUAGUCAGAUUUGGAUAAAUUUCUAUUUUAGAGUUUAAAGUUAGACCCUAAAAUCUAAGUACGAGUUUAAGAUAAUUUGAAACAGAAUUUUUAGCACAAUGUGAUUCAUGUUUUCCAUCUAAAGUCCAUUAGUUCUUAGCUUAGAUCUUCUUCAAUUUAACAUGCAUUUUACUAUCAUACUUUCUAGGUUGUUUUAAACUUAAAGUUUGGUCGGAGUUCCCAAAAAAUUUAGAAAAUAGUUUGAAAUCCUCAACCAUUUCAAUCGGUCCAAAACAAACUCAAAUAGCUGACAGCUCGAGUUUCUUUCCCUAAAACUCAAUGUUUCUUGCUCUAGUCAGAGUAAGUAGAAAAUACAAGGUAAAAUGGAGGAUUAUAGAGUGUUCUUGACCAAUAUUUGCACAAUUCCAUUUCACAAUAAUAUUUGCACAAUAGAAAUAACUGGAAGAAAACACAGCCACACUCUUGGAUAUAAAUCAGCAAUUCAGUCAUGUUCAUUUCAAAAAUUUCAUUCAAUCUUCCAAAUUAUCAAACAAGAUCCAUCAUACAAUCACGUAAACACUGAAAUGAGGGCAUGCAGCUUCAAAGUCCAGCAAAACUUUUCAAGAAAUUUCUGUUUUAAAACAAAAUUCUCAACUUUACUCCAUCGAUUCUCAAAUAUCAACAUAAACAAAAGUUUCAGCAAGGUUCCUCCAAAAAUCGGCACUUAUCUCAUUUGGAUUCAAGCAAAACACUACAUGCAUGUCAAGAUAAAAGAGAUAAUAGGUAUGUAAAGUGCUUUUAGAUAGAAUUUAACAAAAUUUUUGAAAAACAAGAACUGAAACUCGUAGCUUUCCUUCUUGAUUUGCUGUCUAGAAAUUUCGGCUUUGAAAAUGCUUUAAAAGUCAAUCUUUUCAUGCUUUUAACUCCUCAAAUAUCACAUACAUGACUAGAUUUAGGUGUUAGCAGGUAUAUAGAGUCAAGAUGUGUCAAUUUACAACUAAAAUUUUAGGGAUAAAGUUGAAAAAAUCACAGCUUCUUCCCCACGGUUCCAACAAAACAAAAUUUCCAAUAAGCAUCAUUUCUUUGAAAAAUCAUAACUCGAAUUAUAAAUGCCAAUAAAUUAUAAAAAUUACCCCCUUAAAAACUAGACUUGAAGUACUAACAAUCUUUAGAAGAUACCUCAAAUAGAUUCAGUUCAUAAAUUGGUCCAAAUUGAGUCGCAAGUUAUUACAACAUUCUAGUUUUUACUUGUGCAAGACAGAAUUUUCAGUUAAUAUUGCCAAUUUUUGGUGUGUUUAUAAAAUGAAGCUCAAAUUUUAUACUUUGAGUCUAGUUUCAAAUGCAAUUAACGGCAUUCAAUUUCGAUUUUUGUACACUAAGUAAUGAUCAUUUUACUAAACCUACCCGGGGAUGAUUGUCACCCUAAAUUUCAACCUUCCACUUGUUUGACAAUACCAAAUACACAGCAUAUCAUUUAUCCAACAUAAAAUGAAGGAAUUAGCAAUAAUCUAGUUCUAUUACAUAUUUUUUUCGGCUAAGCAUUUUACCAAAAAAACUUCACAAAAUUUGUCAUCAACUACCACAAUAACUCUGUCAUCAGCUAAGCAAAAUUUUCAGCAAGAAAAUUGAAACUUUUCUUCACCAAAACUUUCUCUUUUCUGCUCAAAUCUAACUUACAUCCUUAAAGCUUAAAAAGGCAUGGAAGAAGGAAAGAUUUACAGCACUUUUUUACCUUUUUUUUCCCAAGAAAUUGAAGCUGAAAAUUGAAGAAUCAAGACUGACAGCUUUCCACUUUUUUCUUUUCUCUCUCGGCUGCAACAAGAGGGAUGGAGCAAAUUUUCUCCAAUCUUUCUCAAGCUCUUUCCCCUUGGUUGUGAAUUGGUCAUGGUUGAAAUCCCUCAAACUUUCCUAGUUUCUUCCUCAGUUUCAAGACUCAGAAAAGGAACAAAACUUCUCACUCACCACUCAAUUUCUUGGCUGGAAUAAACUUGGAAUAUUGGAGCUUUUCUCUUCUUGAUUUGUUGGGGGAAAAUAGAAGGAGGCAAGGGUUCUCUUGGCUGCAAGACAAGGAAGAAAGGGCAAGGAUUUCAAGCUUUCUCUCUCUCUCUCUCUCUCUCACUAUUGGCUAGAAGGUUGGAGCAAGACAAGGAAAAAUCUUGCACCUUUCCCUCUAGUCUCUCGGCUGAAACAAGGAAGAAAAACUUUAAUUUUUCUCUCAACUUUGCUUAUUUCUCUCGGCUAAACAAUGGAGAAAGACAAAAGAAAGCUUUCACUAAAGAGGUUUAUGUCUUGUGGUUGAUUACCAACACUUAGCAAAAUUGUCAUCUCUACAUGCCAAACACAUGUAAGUUGUCAAAAGUUACUCUAACAAUUAUCCCUUACUUCUAGAUUAUCAUGUUAUGUCCCCACUAGUUUCUUAAUCUAGCGUUAAUUCCUAUAAAAGUUGAUCCAAUACUAAUAUAGCGUAUAUUCAAAUUAUUUAAUCACAAGAAACAAGUAAACACAUAAACUAUAUAAUAACAACUAAAUUGCAACACCUUCAAUUUUAAAUAAAAACAUAAAAUGCACAACGAAUUUCAGGCUUUCAUAAUCUCUAGUGUUGCAUGUUUCAUUUAUUUAUAGAACAUUAAACAGCCCAUGACAGUUGUUAUCGGAACUGUUCUGAUACCGUGGGUUUAGGUGACAAGUGAAUAGCCAUUAUAUCAGAUGCUAGCAUACAAUGAGAGGUUGAGAAUAAGCAUGUCUUGCGAGAACCAGAGAGGGUUACUCGAAGCAAGGGCCGUCAGGACAAGUUCGCCAUUUAAGAGUCGCUGGCCGCUUUUGACUAGAGGCUAACUACGAUAGAGCUAACCAUUACUAAUCACCAAGACUGUUGGGCUGAGUUCAAUGAAUGCAUAGCGCAAUCUGAGGUGGAAGAGUUAUGUGGGAACAUGUAAGUCGUGCUAAAUAAGACUGUUGGUAGACUUCUCAAAGGGAACGAGAUGAUUAGACUUAAUAUGUUGUCUUUCCAAGAGGAGCUUGCCAAUCCCAAUAUGGAGCUUGAUGUAUCUAGAGCACAGUUGGCUAGCAAAUGCAACGAUCACGGAGCCUUCGUACAUUCGAGAGGAGUUGCAAAGGUUUCGCUUGGAACUAGACAAAUUAAACAUACAAAGAACAAUGGGAGCCACCGUAUCUACACUUAGGGUCGAGGUGCCACAUACUCGAUACUUAUAGUGGAGCAAGGAUGGGAUGUGAUACAAAAAUUUUUUUGUACGAGUUGGAAUGAUAUUUUGACACACUUGGCAUCAUGGAGGAAGUAGGCAAGCUGCAAACAACCCCAUUAUAUUUGAAGGAUUCAAUUUUAAUAUGGUGAUGAAGAAGGUGUAAUGAUAUAAGGAAAGGGUCUGACGUCGUCACUAUUUGGGACGCGUUCAAGAACGAGCAGAAGAAGCAAUUCUAACUAGCAGACAUGGAAGAUGAAACUCGUGCCAAGUUUCAUCAUUUACAACAUAGGAACGAACAUGUCCACGAGUAUGUGAAGGAGUUCUCUAAACUCUUGCUAGAGAUACCAAAUAUGUCACCAAAGGACGUAUUCUUCACGUUUAUGGACAAAUUGCGAUCAUGGAUCAAAUUUCAACUCCAAAGCCGGCACGUAAAAGAUUUAGCUGAAACAACGGUUGUAUCCAAGUUAUAUAAGAUCCUAUGAAGGGAUGAUAGAAGGGACAAAAGAAAGAGAUCCGACCAAGGCUCAAGUCGGGGAGAUUGUCACUCGAAUCUUGCGAAAUCACAUGAAUGGUUGAAAACUCCUUCCGCCACAGAUGAAACUAAAUGGGCUCAAGGCAACAAGGGCAAGAUCAAGAAUUUCGACUGCUAUACAUGUCAAGACCCAUUAGAUUUUUCAAGGGAUUUCCAGAUAGAAAGUUGCUACAUGCUAUCAUUCAAGAAUGCUAGUACGAGGAGGAAUGGCGAAAACUCAAGUGUAUGAUGCUUAGCGCGGUUGAAGCAAUGGUGGAUGACCAAAGGUGAGACCAAAUGUAUGUGGACACCAGAAUCAACAGAUGCAAGGUAUAGGUCUUGAUUGAUAUGGGUACAGAUGUCAACUAUACGAGUGACAAUACCGCAUGAUCAUUGGGUCUAAUAUGGGAGCCAUGCAAAGAUCAGUUCAAAGACAGCAAUGAAAAGUGGGUGUCAUUAGACGGGAUAGCAACUAAUGUACCCGUCAAAUUGGGACAAUGGAUUGGGAUGACAACCUUCACCAUCAUUUUAAUGGACGAUUAUACGGUAGUUUUUGGAAUGAAAUUCAUAGACAACCUUAAACUAAUCAUGGUGCCACACGAAAACACUAUGCUAAUUACGCAAGAAAGGGCACAUUGUGUUGUGAAUGUUUCCCGUGAGAACGAGGUGAGCCUGCAAUAACUCAAGGGGGAAGGUGUGAAGGGUCGGAAAAUAUGUGAGGACAAGCUUGAGGAAGGGGCUGCAACACACAAGCCAAUCGAACAGAGAGACGGUGCAUAGGGCACCGUAGCAUUGAAGGGUCACAUAUAAAAGAGAUAUGAAAUUGAUCCACAAAUCUAAGCAUUGAAGAUAUUAGCGGCCAGAGGCAAGACCACCAAAUAUUGGCUUGACAAAAAAGGGGUCCUUCAUAGUGAGCAUGCCGUGUACAAGCAAAAUUGUGACAAUGUGCGCGAGGACAUCAUACGGGAAUAUUGUGUUGAGGAAACAGGACCUAAGUAUGCACUGAAUGUAAUACAACAUCACUUCUUCUGACCGAAACAAGAGGAGGAUGUUAAGAUGUACAUGAUUCAGGACAAAUUUCGACGACUAUUGGGAGCACCAAAUGCAUCAGGGCCGAUGUUUUGUUCAAGUGGGGGAGGAUGAUAAGAAUUGCACCCAAUUCGCACGCGAUCGUGUCUAUCCCCACUCGUGACCAGACUUGGCCAUCCAAGUCAUGCCCACUGUACAUAGUGUCCAUGCAAAAGACUAGGACUAGUAGUAAAUCCAUAACCUAAUCUCCUAAACAAGUGGUUAGCCAUGAAGCUCUGGCCAAAACAUGGAAGUUUCUCCAAACAUUAUAGGGAAUGUGUAGCAAAAUUUAGAGACUUCCGAAACACUCUAGAUUGUUCAAGAGUUUUGUACAUAAGGGGUUUAGAAUUGGUAAGGUGCGGAACUUUCUACAAGUUCUCACUUAUGUAGCAUAAAAUAAGAGAACAAUCUAAAUAAACAAAUUGGGUAGUUUAGUUGGUAGAAUUUUUAGAGUCAUGUAAAGAAUUCAUAAAUAGGUCAAACUCUCUCAUUUGUAAACUAGCUAUUGGCAACUUUUGGAAACUUUUGGAGUCUCAAAUAAUAUAGAGUUUUCCUUCUAGCCUUCAUCCUUAUUCUUCUUACUCUUUAUGUUUAAGCUUCUGCAUCAAUUCUGCACACUUAGAAAUUAGACUAAACUAGUAACCAUUCAAAAUUUAAGUCUUGGACGAUCGUUAAUGCCAUACAAUGUGUUUGCUUAUAGCAUAUUUAGUAACCCGUGACAUUAUAAUCUGGACACGAUGUCGUGGCCCAAGGUUUUAAUUUGGCCUCAACUAGAUUGGAGAGGGGGGAAAGGGGAGAGGCGAGACGUGGCGGAAGAAAGGAGGGCCCUUCCUAUGAUCUGGCCAUGAUGUCAUGACCAAAGGCCUUGAUUUGGUCUCGACUAGAUCGAGGAGGGAGGAAAAGAGAGGGGUGAGACGUGGCUGGAAAAGGGAAGGGAAGGGGAAGGGAGGCAGGGACGAGGGGAGGAAAGAAAGGAAGAAGAAAAAUGAGAGAAGAAAAGAGAAGGAUAAGGAAGAGAAAAGAGAGGGAUGAAAUAAUGGCGAUAGUAGGCUAAAAAAUAGUAUAAAAAGUUUUAAAUUUUAAAAAAUCCAAAAACGUAUCUCAAAAAUACCUCUCAAAAUUUCACAAAAAACAUUUAUAGUGAAAAAUUCUUCCGUAUACACUAUUACAAUAAAAUAUUUUAUAAAACACCUUAAAAAAAUAAUGCUGUAAAACUGGAAUAAAUUGUUGUUGGUAGGGCUAUUAUCGUCUUUUGGCUAACAUCCAUCCUAGGCUAAGCCGUAAUAAACUGACCUGAGAGGGGCAUUAGGAAUGGCCCCACUGACAUGCACAAAGACAAAGGGAACCACUAAGGAAACAAAACCUACAACAGAGAACCAAUGAAACCCAAAUUGCCCCCAGGCUUGGCUGGAAAUCACAAUUCAGCACUCGAACACCGAGGGCACGACACUUCUACUGUUCCUCAGCGUUCGGUGCUUUUAAUAUGUAGGGUUGAGCAGCUUCCACGUAAGCUAAUGUGCAUCUUCACUGAGUCGGUUUGGACCGUUUGGUGGUUUUCUGCUUUGUGAAUCUCUGCAAUCUGGGUGGCAAGUCUCCUCAAUUGCGUAAUUUGGGUGGCAAGUCUUUCUCAUCGUGUUCAACUGCAGUGAAUUAUAAAUAUUAACUGACUUCUGACUUUUUCUUUGGAUACUUUGUUCUGAGAUGUAUUAUAAGAGUAAAAUCUUUGAUUUUGUUCAAAAAAAUUUUUUUUUGGAAUAGGCGGUCGGGCUGGUUAAAGUUAAUCUGUCAUGCCAAAUUGCAUGUCAAAAUUGCAUCUUUUCGUUGGUAUUGGUGUUGGAGGUCAGGGAAAUUAAAGUACUUUUCUCUCGUUUUAUCUUCUUUCUGGUAGGGGAUGCUUUAUGUUAUCCCGUAUUGCCUAUUAACAAGUAAAAUUCAUAUCUUUGCUGUUUCCUGUAUACUUUUAUCCUCUUUCCCCUUAUCAGGGCUGCUUAAUCUUAGCCAUGAUGCCAAUUAACAUGUAAAGAUUGCAUCUUUAUUAGUUUUUCUGUUGGAGACAGCAAAAUGAAAUAAAUUAUCUUGCAAAAGUUGUAUCUUUGUUAGUUUUAUUUUGGUUCAAAAGAUUGCAUCUUUGUUAGUUUUUGCUGUUGGAGACAGCAAAAUGAAGUAAUUGUUAUUGCAAAGGCAGUUCCUUUCGUUCUCUCUUUUUUGGGUUUGGAGUAGUUGUUAAUAAGUACUGCUAUUAACAAGUGAAAAUCAAAUUUUUGUUAGUUUAUUUUAUUCUUUUUUUUUGGAUUUGAGCUUGUAAAUUAAAUGUGAAAAUUGCAUCCCGUUGGCCGCAGAGGUACUAUAGAAGUAUUCUGGCAAUAUGUAAGAAGUUCUUUUUCGUUAUUGUUUCAGGAACAAACAACAAUGUGCUGGUUUGGAAACAGAGCUUUGCCUUUUGCAAUCCUCGUGGCGGCAACUGGGGCGGCCAUUCAGAAAGCAAUUAAAUCUUUUGGUGGACAGGGGAAAGCAAUUGUUUUGCAAGAAAAGCACGAGCAAGAUUUUGUUCAUAAGGUACUUAUGCUCAGUUAUUUGUUUUACUCUGGUAGCAAUAUGCUAUGCAUUGUUUGAUCACGAAAUAUAAUAAGAAGCAUAUGACAACUAAUAGCUACAUAAUAUUCAUACUUUUCUAAGGAAACCCAUUUUUUAAAAAUGAAUGGAAGACUUUGAUUAAUAAACAUGAACACAAUUCCACCUGUUUACUUGCUAUUGAUUAUCUAAUUUUCCUAUCACCCCAUUGUUUCCAAGUAUCCAAGUUUCACAAGCCAUUCCCAUGACUCAACUUGAGACAUUGGGAAUAUUAGUAUAUAUCCAAGUCUAGAAUAAACAGUUGUAAGAAAAAAUUAUUAGCACAAUGAUGGUCGAAGCUCACUUUGCCACAAUAUAUGUUAGUUUUAUUCGUUACAUUAGAAGUAGCCUCUUUAUUGUUUGUACAAAGAGAAAAAAGAAAACAGAUAUGGUGUUUAGAGCGCAAAUGGAUAUUAAGUCCAAUGGGCAAACCUCACCUAUGAAAAUGAGCCGACCCAAGUUUUCAAUUGAGGCAGUCGUCAGACAAAGACGAGUUGGCAAAUAUUGAUAGGUCUUGCUUCCUCAAGAAAGAUGUUUGCUUGUUCUGCUGUUUGGACAGUUAUAGUAUGGCGCUGCUUAAGGAAUCAUAUUAUGGAAGAGAAAAUCUAUUCUGUAAUAAUAGGACAUACAUUCAAAAACUGAAAGAGACUUGGUUGGUAGGGACCAAUUUAUUGAGCUUAUUGAGAAGUUUUGUGAAAAUUGAGUUUUAGUUUGACUCAAUAAAAUGGUCAGGUAAGUAUGAGUUGUCAAAAAAACCAAGUGACCUACCAUUAUUAGUUAGGAUAAACUUUUUCAAUUGCUCUUUCUUAGACUGUAAUAACAGUUUUAAGAUUCUGAUGAAAAACCUGGUGACUUGUGUUUAAUCUAUGUCUUUAGUUUUAACUUGAUUACAGUUUGGUUUAACUCUUGAGUAGACUGUAACUAUUCAAGUUGAAUCUGGGUGUCUUUUCUGUGAACAUUGAGAUAUAUUUUCUGUAAUAAUAAUGAAAGGAAGAAGAUUUCCAGUGGGUAAAGACGUAAUCAAACAUUAGCAUUGGAAAAAGUGGCAGGGCACUCUUGUUAUGUUAAUGGGGGGUGUUCUCAUUUGACUUUUCAACUGAUUUUAGAUUCUAAUUUUCCAGCAUCGGUUCUUUUGAUGUUCUUGUUUGCUUUUGUGUCUACAUUUUAGAUUAUUUGUAAUUGGCAAAUGAACUGAGAACUGAAAUCCUGAAUCUUUCCAAGAGUAUCUUUUGCUAAUUCUGAUUAAACACCUUUUUGUUAAAUGUAAAGCAAGCGAAACAGCCCCAUAGUAAUGCAUUUGUAAUCAUAUCUGCUAAAUCUUAUUGUUUUCCUCUGGAAAAGAAGCAAUUGUUGCUCUAUUAUGUUAAGCAAUUUGAAAGUGUAUUUUUGGAAAGGAUAAGUUGUUUAUCAGAAAAAGUUUGUUAUUAUAAUGUUUGCUAGUUUAUCUAGUGGGUAUGAUGUAUUGAUAGAUUCUUUUUCCUAACAUGUACAUUGUGUUCUGCUUGGAAUUUUGAAUCAGGCUGAUGAUGGUCUUGCGAAUGAGGAUAGUAUCAGUCGACUGCCAGAUGAUUUGCUGUCAGAUGUCCUUUCACGUUUGGACUUGAUAGAGGCUGUUGGGACAAGAAUUUUGUCAAGAAGGUGGAAAAAUGUUUGCAAAGUUAGGUCUGAACUCCACCUAGAUUGCCUUGACAUGUUUAGGCCUAAUUGCUCUCACGAUAUGGGUAGCCAUUGGGUACAGUUUAGGUUUUUGGAAGCUGUAGAUCAGUCUUUACAGCUUUAUUCAGGUCAAAGCAUAACUUAUUUGAGAAUUUCAUGCUGUUUCAUGAAAGAAUUUGAGCCCAAAUUCACUCAAUGGAUGCAGGUUGUAGCUACUUUAGAUGUUCAGGAACUUGACCUCAAAUUUAUCUGUUCUUCUUUGCCUCUUUGUCAAUGUGCAAAAUCCAACAUGGGUGAGCUUUUCCCUGUCUCAUUUCGGCUUCUUACUGCAGUAGCUACAAUGAAACAUUUGCGCUUAUUGGCUUGUUCUUUGCAACCAAGUUUCCCUACCCAAUUUAAUUCCCUUGAGGGCCUUUAUUUAGACUUGGUUCACCUGAGUGAUGGAGAAUUACCGAGAAUGUUGUCUUCUUGUGUUAACCUUCAGACUCUUAGACUCGGAUUUUGUAAACUUACUCCUAAGCUUUCUAUCUCUGGUCCGUGUCUCCAAUUGAAGUUUCUGUAUGUUCAUUCCUGUCCUGGUUUGGAGGAGAUUGAUAUCUGUGCUGGCAACCUGAUUACUUUUUCUUUCUUUCACAAUGGCCCGAUAAAGUUUUCGCUCUGUGUUCCCAAACUAGAAGAUGCACGCAUCACCUUCACUGGCAAUGGUUCCAUACCUUAUUUUUUUGGAGAAGUUCUGAAGGACUGUCCUAAGUUAAAAAACUUAUUAUUCCAAACACACAGUGACAAGGUUUGUAUUGACUAUGUCAAUCAUCAUUUUUUGUGUCCAAUUCUUGCCAGUGGUUUUCAUGCUUUUUGUUUCUCUUGAUUCAGCUACAAUAUACACCUGGAAAGAUGGAUAUGUUCAGCAAUCUUAGGACAUUAUAUUUUGUCCCAGGAAUGAGGUCUCCACCUGAUCUACUGAAUGUUGUGCCUAUUUUGGAGGCUUGUCCACAUUUAGAAGAAUUUCGUCUGCAGGUUAGUUACUAAAUCUAUUAAUUUUUCCCAUUUUCUCCCCUUCUUUGUGAGAUUUUUUUUGUUUUUUAGGGGGGGGGGGGUAGGGGGUGGGGUGAGUGCAGCCACUGUCUAUUAGCCAAGUUUCAGUACUGGAAUUAUUGCUUGCAAAACAAGUGGCCGCGAAAAGUUGCUCCUCAUCUUGUUCAUCAACCAUCUGAGCGUGAUGUUCUCUUUUUCCUUUAUUUUUGCAAACUCUCUCCAUAUGUCUCAUUUGCUUACAAAGCCUACAUUGAAUAUCAGGUCUAAACCAACAAUAUAUUGAAAGAUGUGAGGUUUUCUUACAAUUUGGACACGGAGGAUUUCUGCCAUUUUUCUUCUCAUCUUUGCUAUUUUUUUCUCGAUCAUUUCUUUCACCUUGUCGAAGUUGAUCCUUGUUUAUUGCUUGAAAAACACCUUCAAUGACUUCUUCUGUUCUUAUGGCUCGUCUUUGUUCUUGUGCCUCUAAAGCAUUGAUCAAUUCUAGCAAGGUCAUUCGAGAGAGAUCCCUUGAAUCUUCAAGAAAGGAAAUCUUGGCUUCAAACCUUUCUGGUAAACUCACCAAGACUUUCUCCACAACUCUGCUAUCCGGAAGUUGUUCUCCAAUCAAUCUGAUUUUGUUCACAACAUUUAAGAGUCUGUCAGAAUACUCUUUAAUGUUUUCUUUGUCUUUCAUCCUAAGGAGUUCAAAUUCUCUUCUAAGGUUCAAAACUUGGAUCUGUCUUGUUCUGUCAUUGCCUUGAAAAGCCACUUUGAGAGCAUCCCAAGCUUCCUUUGCAGUUUGACAAGUCAUAAUUUUUGUAAAUACUACAUCGGAAACUGCUGAAUGAAUGCAUGUUAUGGCUUUUGAUCAAUGUUUUCAGAACCGGACCGGAUCGGCCAGUUCGACCUGGGUCUCCAAGUUUAAAUAUGACAAUCUUACAGCUAGACUGUAGUUAAGUUUGUUGAAAAUUUUACUUGACUAAAAAAUAUAUUAAAACAUCAAGUUCUUCUCUUAUUUUUUUUUUCUAUUUUUUCUUCUUAACCAUUUUUAACCAAAAUAUCCACAACAAGAUUUUCUCAAGUCUUCACCAUUAUUAUCAGGUUAUUAUCUUUAACAAAUUGUAAACAAGUUGAAAAUUUCAACUUUUCUUGUUUUCCAACAUUUUAGUAAGUUUAAUUUUUUUCUUUUCAAGGUUUUUUUUCUAUAUUAUUAUCUUUAGUUGAUUUUUUGCAUUUUCUUCUUUUUCCCCUCAAUUUUCAUACGUUUCCCUCAUUUUUGUUUUAUUUUUAUUCGAUUAAUUAAGGAUGAAAUUUUUGCAAAAGUAGUGCACAUCCGUGUAGGAAUUGGGUAGGAAUUACAAAUAAUAACAUUGGGCUGGUCAAAAAUAUGGUAGUUGGCACAUAAUCGAAGCUAUUGAUAAUUGAAUUUAAAAUAAUUAAUGGUAUAGGAUCAUUGAAUUUAAUAUAACAUGUUAAUUAGUAAUGUUUAGUAGCAAUUAAUUUUUUAUGUGUUUAACUGUAUAUUUGUUUUUCAAAAAUUUAGUUUUUUUUAGUUUGAGCAAUUAGAUUUAUAUUUUUAUAAUAAAAUUUUAACUUUUUCAGCUUAAGUUGAUGAAAUUGUGAAGGUGGUGUGGUUGCUUAUCAUGCCACUGAUAAAAGUUUGCUAUUCAAAUAGUUUGUCUUAACUUGAAUUCUUUUAUGGAUUUUUUUAAGGGUUGUAAAAGAAUUUCAAUAUUUAAUUUAUUUACUUUUUGUGUUUUUAUUUGUGAUAAUUGGUGAACAUUUGGAUUGUAUCUAUUUAUGUUUAUAAUGAAUUUAUGAAAACUUGUGGUGAAUUAUGAUAUUUUAAUUAUAUUUAUCAUUCCAUGUUUUGUGUAUAACUUUUAGAAAAUUUAUUAUUAUCAUAACUUAAAUUAAGUUAUGUUGGUAAAGUUCGAGUUUAGAAUGAAACCUGCUUAGUUAAAAAAAAAAAAAAAAACAGUGAACCUUUGAACUGGCCGGUUGGACCAGUCGGACCGCGAACCGGCCACCUCUCCGGUUCACUGACCGGUCCGAGUUUAAAAACAUUGCUUUUGAUCUCAUUUUGACUGCAUCCCUAUGGGCUCUCAUCUCUGCAAUAGUUGGAUCUUCCGACAAUUCAGGAACAUGAUCUGUUUCUACCGUAUCCCAAAGAUCAUUAGCCAUCAAAUAGGACUUCAUUUUGACAGCCCAGAUUUGGUAGUUUUCACUAGUGAAAUUUGGAGGAUUGGACAAGAAGUUGUUUCCUGGCAUUUUGAUGUUAAAGUCUUAAGUGUGAAACAGGGAUUCUCACCAGAUUCACUAACUCUCAAAAAAACAGGCCCUUAAGAUUUAGGCUUUUGAUACCACUUUGUUGGUUUUUUGGGGGCAUAAACUAAGAAACAACACCUUAGUGUUGCAAAAAAAAAACUUAUAAGAGACUUGUAUUAAAUAUGGAAAAAUGAGCUUAUGUUAGUCAUUCAUUAACUCACUAUUUAUAGUGAUUACAUGGAACAAACUAACCAAAUAUUCAACUAAUGAUUAUCCUAAAAAUCUCAACAAAAUAUAAUCUUCUUCUACUAGCAAAUCUUAGCUAAAAUAUUUGUUAACAACCCAACAUGAUCUUUGGUUAACAAAUAUCUUUAUUUCUCUAAUAACUAAAUUAUUUUGAUAUCAAACUUAAUCUGAUAAAAUCUGUAAGAAAAGUUGGCAUAUCUCAACAUUAUUUCAGAGUAAACUUUGGGAAAUAACAUUGUUCUUCUAACUCACUAUUUAUAGUGAUUACAUGGAACAAACUAACCAAAUAUUCAACUAAUGAUUAUCCUAAAAAUCUCAACAAAAUAUAAUCUUCUUCUACUAGCAAAUCUUAGCUAAAAUAUUUGUUAACAACCCAACAUGAUCUUUGGUUAACAAAUAUCUUUAUUUCUCUAAUAACUAAAUUAUUUUGAUAUCAAACUUAAUCUGAUAAAAUCUGUAAGAAAAGUUGGCAUAUCUCAACAUUAUUUCAGAGUAAACUUUGGGAAAUAACAUUGUUCUUCUAACGUUCUCACAGCAUGUGUUUUCCACUUUUUGUCACGCUGCUUUUAAAGAUGCAAGUCAGAGGUGUGACUUCCAAUGGUGUCACUUUGAAGAGACAAUGCUGCUUAAAUCACGACUCUACUGUUGCAAUCUGUGGGAAGAUUUUUAAAGUGAAAGAAUACCAAUUUAUCACUUGGUGGUCUUUUGUUUUUCACCCUUCUUUGUUGAUGCCACAGUCCAUUGGCAUGGAGAAACAACUUAACUGGCCGUCAAACUUUGUUCUCCUGGUUUUUUGUUUGUCUCUCUCCUUUCUACUUCUUGUUCAUGCCACAGUAUGUGUAGGAACUUUGCCCAAGGUGACCUUUCUUUUGAUGUCCAUGACUUUUCACUCAACCAAAUUCUCUUCUCCAAUCUUAAUUCAUGUUUGAAGGUUAUAAUUUAAGCAGAUAUUAAUUGAAUGAUUUUGGCAAAUUGAAAGAAGUGAAAGCGUGCUAUGAAAAUCAUUGCUUGUUAUUGUGACUAAAAUACUUGGUUUUGCUUCUUUGUGCAUCUUCAGUGACCUGAUAAAAUAAAAACAAAUGAUUAUUAGUGUACAUCUUUCUCUGAACUUAUUAUGAUGUACUCUUCACUCUCCUCAUUUUGGUUUCUCAUUUUAGAAGGUUGGGCAUCACAUGUUCUAUCGAUGCAUUUAGCUAAGAACCUGACUGAUUUAUUUUGGCUUUAGUUACUUUGUCGAGGUUUCAAUGAAGAAAGAGGAAGAGAAUGGCCUCCCAGACGCCUUGGUCAAUUAAAAGAAGUGGAAUUUAAUGGAUUUCACGGGACAGUAAAUGAAAUUCAUUUUGCUACUUAUUUGGUAAAAAAUGCUCCAGCACUUGAACGACUGUGGAUCCGCUCACCCUAUAGGUUCUAUUGUGAUGAUUAUCAUUUAGAAACUGGAGGCGGUUGGUACAGAGAUGAGCGAGUCGAUACUCUGCAUGAAGAAUUAAUGAUGCAAGCCGUCUCCAGCAAACUGCAGGUGAAUAUUGUAAGAUCUCCAAGAACAGAACUCAGAAUCUGUGGGAGAGAAUAAACGCAUCGAAUAAAGUGGAGGUGAAGAAUUAAUGAUUCAAGGCCGCUCCAACAAGCUGCAGGUGAAUAUUGAAAGAUCUCCAAGAACAGAACUCAAAAUCUGUGGGAAAGAAUAAACGCAUCGAAUUGUGCUGGAUUAUUCAUAUACAAGGUGUGCAAUAAUUAAGUCUACUAGUCAUUCAUACGUCAAUUAUUUGUAGAGGUGGCAAAUCAACCCACUUAAAUAAAUUUAUCCAUACCCGCCCAUGAAUAGAUGGGUAUGGGUAUCUUAAAUUUUUGUAUAUGGAUAUAAAUGGGUUAUCCAAUAAUACCCAUUUAUUAAAUGGGUAUUAUUGGGUAACCCAUCAAACCCAAUUAACCCAUUUAAAAUUCUCUUUCCCUAAAUCUCUUCUUUUCUCCACCCACUUUUUUUUUCAGAUUUUUCAUUUUGUCAUAAUAUUAACUACUUUUGUUUCAUUAUUAUUAUUAUUUGUUGGUUUUAUUUUAUUAUUUUGUUUUCUCUUAGUUUGUUAACUUGCUCAUUUUUUGGCAUUACCAAUUUAUGAUAAAUUUGAGCCUCUUUUCUUAUCUUUCUAAAAUGAAAUUUUAAAUUUAUAUAUGGAAAAAAUGUUAGGGGUUAAAAAUUUUUGGAUUAAAUUUUUAUAUUAACUUUUAUAGUACUUAGUUCAAAUUUUUAUAUUUUUAUUAUUCAAUUAUUAAAUAAUAUGUAAUUUUGUGAAAUAGAGUAUAAAUGAAAAAAAUUUGGUAAUUAAGCUUAUUGAACAUUAUAAGUAAAUAUUUAAAACUAAUGAUGGGUACAAAGAGCGGUAUAAAUUGUUAACUUAGUUUGCAAAAAUGAAUUUAAAUAAAUUUACAAAAAAUUAAAAUAAAUGAGUUAUAAAUGGGUAAUUGGGUUACCCAAUUCAUUUUUUGACUUACCCAUUUAUACCCAUCUAAUUAAAUGGGUAUAAAUGGGUCAACCCAUUUAUACCCAUUAUCCAUUUUACCCAACCCAAACCCGCCCAAGUCACCCAUUUUGACACCUCUAAUUAUUUGUAACAAUAAUAAGCCUACCAAUUGUAACAAUAAUAAGUCUGAGAAGAUGCAAACAGUGGCUUUGAGAUCUUUUGCAAAUCUUUUCAUUUGUCAAACAAUUGGUUAAUGAUUACAGUAGAGUUAUAGUUGCAUGAUAUACAUCUGACUUGGGACAUUAAUUAUGCCAAACAAUUAAUUAUUCUACUCUUUUUUAUUUUUUGUUUUUAGUUACUUUUUUUUUUUUUUUUUACCUUCCCCUCCCUACUCAAGCCUGCCUGGUCAGGAGAUUGAGUUAAAAAUUAUAUAGGCUUCUAGCUUGAAAAUUUGUUGUUAGGUGCUCCAAAUUCCAUGGAGGAGACGCGGCUGGACUUUAAAUUCAGCAGGUAAUUUGUUUGCAUAUUCUAAAGCAAAGCUUCUUAUCCUAAACCUUAAUCCAUUUUUAUCUCUUCCCCUGGGUUCUUAGACAAAUUAACAAAGCGCGAGAGCACAUAGGUACUUUCCGGCCAUUUCUAGCCAGCACCUAACCUGAAGGCAUCCGACCAUAAUAACAAUACUUUAUCCAUGAAGCCAUUGACUGUAACCUUAUUAUUUCUGCUUUUCAACAAUAUUCGAGUGUCGUAUAAGAGUUUGGCCAAAAAAAAAAAAAAAAAAAAAAAACCUUUGUGAAUGGUCUACCCUUAUUUUGGUUGUCCCUUGAGCUCAAGUUUGAGAAAAACUUAUCCCAGAUCUUAUCCGUACCAUGAUUCUAAUGUUUUGUUUUUUCUUGAUGAAAUUCUUGUAAUGGCUUUUCUACAAAACAAGGAAAAUCCUCUGGGUACUGCUGAUUAACGAUCAACCAUACUUAAUAAUGUUGGAUUGUUGGAGACAAUUUUGAUUCCCACUCGACAAAUAUGCUUUCCCAUUCAAUGAAGAUGGUGAUAAUCACAGGUAAAUAUAAUACAUAAAACGACUCCAAAAACAGGGAAAUUUGUCUCAAGGCGUCCAUUUAUCUACGUUUUUUGGUAAAUUAAGAGUUACAAUUGUGGCAGCCGGAACAUUUGUUCUUUUUUUUUUUAAACGGUUUCUGGGUUUAGACCGCCGUCAAGAGCACGCCAGUUUCCAAUUGGCUGCUAAAAGGAAGGAGGAAGAUGCAAGCAACAGGAGAUAGUUUGUAGUUCAAACACCAAUUGGAUCGUAUACCAAAAGAAAAGAUUGUGUAGCUUGUUGCCACACAGACUUCAGGAAAAAGAGCUCAGAUCAGACUGACCCCAAAAAUUGUUCUCUGGUCGACCAUAAUCCAAAAACAUGCACGAUAUCAUCGAUAUCCGUAUCCUGUUGUAUAUCUCUAGUACUUGGCCUGAUGAGUCUGCUAGCCACCUCAACAAUCAAAAAUAUGCACAGCACGUGAUGGCAAAGCUCAAUGCCUCAGUUGACAUGCAACAGCCUACAGGCCAUCCAAUCCUGGAAAUCAAGUUCUUCCCACAUCCACGUACUAAGAAAAAUCAGGAGCAACAUAUUUCGCAACACGAGGUCUUAAUCAUUUACAUCAUUAACCGUUGAGCCCAACCUCUUAAAGGAAUGGAAAGGCAUGAAAAAUCCUUCUUUAGGCUUAUUUCCGACGUCUAUUUUGGGGCAUCUCUGGCUGGCCUUUCCUCAUCAUGGCAACGAACUCAUCAUAGUUAAUUCUUCCAUCCUGCGAAUGAAUAACAUAACAUAUCAUGCAUAGGCCAAGAACAUUAUACAAAUAAGACAGGAACACCUAAAUUUUGCCUGUCUUCCUCAUAAUUUCCCUGUUCAGCACCUGGGACUAAGGGACCCAACGCAGAGCUUUUUCCAGAUUGUAAUAGAUAUAUUGUUCAUUGAUUGGAAAUAGGCAUCAUUCUGUAUCUUACAACCUAUUUAGUGGAGAAAGGUACAUACAUGAUCUGUGUCAACCUCUGCAAUGAUCUCCUUUAUUGUUUUCUCAUCACCCAUAUUAUACUCUUUUAGGGCAUGCUCCAAUUCUUCCAUCGUGAUGUACCUAAAAUUCGAAGAAAGAUUACAAACCAGAAAAUAUAUGGAACAAAAUUUGGACAGGCAUUUUUUGAUCGGGAUCUACCCGCUCUUAUCUUUGUCAAAAUAUUCAAAGGCUCUGUACAGGUGGUCUUCUCUUUCUACUCGGUUCAUGUGCAUCGUGGCAGUUAUGAACUCAAUGUAAUCAAUUGUUCCAUUUCCAUCCACAUCAGCCUGGGACAGUGAAACAGCUUAUUAGCAAUUAAUGACUGUAAUGCCAAGGCAUUACAGAAACCACCACAUACCAACCUAUGGACUAUUGUUCUCUCUAAGUACAAAUAAAUGAAUACAGAUUAUAGAUCUUCAUAAGAUGACUAAUCAGAAGAAGAAAAACAGCAUAAGAAAGACCUAUCUUUAAAGAGAUACAUAUUGAUGUGUUGGCAUUUCAAUCCAUGCACCUAAAAAGAUCAAGAAAAUCUUUGUAUUUGAAUUACAGUAUACUAGUAUGAAAUUGCAUUUCACUCCAUGCACUGAAAAAGGGCACAGUUGAUAAAUGCAAUAUGUUAUAAAAUAAAGAUAAAAUUGCAUAUUUCUUCCAAGCCAACAAUUUAAGACCACAACAGUCUCAAGGUAGUCUUGAGCAUCAAGAGAAUUUCAUUCAGGUACUUAUGCAUAAAAUGAGUUGUUCUACUCCAUAAACCGUUUAGAAAGGGGGGAAAAUUAUGAACACAAAAGAUUGCAUCAGGAAACAAGGGGAUUUGGUUAUCAAAGUAUGCGAGGAAAAAAGUAGAUGAGCUAUAGUACUAAUUUGCUUCAGCUCUCAGGAAGACAGCAAAGCAGCUUAGAAAGUAAGGUUCGCAACAUGCUUAACAUUCUUUUGGAGCUUCUGACUUGGACACCCUUAACAGAAUUCUAUAAUCUGUAGAAAGGUUCAUAAAAGGAGGCUGAGACUUUCUGAAGCCAAAACAAGUGAGAAAAACUAAACAGAUAAAUUUUUACGCACUGCUUCCAUGAGCUGCCUCACUUCGGACUCAGAAAGCUUGGUGCCAAGCUUUGGAAGGCCAGCCUUCAACUCUUCAAAAGUAAUUGUCCCACUAUUAUCUGUAUCCAUGGAUUUGAACAUCUCCUUCAAACCAAUAAUUUCUUCUUCUGAUAGAUUUUCUGCAAUUACCUAAUGGGGAAAGACCAACAAAAACUUAACAAAGCUUAACUGUAAAGGAAUCCUUUACCAAAAGUAAGUACAACAUUUCCUCACCUUGAGGGCUACUUUCUUGAGCUUGUUCAUAGCACGGAACUGCUUCAUCCUAGUCAAAACAGCAAUGUCGAGAGGCUUAUCAGAUGCGUCACCGUCUUCUCUCAUCCAUGGAUGGUCUGCAAACAUUCACAGUUAACUCUUCAUCUAAUUAAGUGAUCCUAAAAAAUGGUUGGUUUGUAGGAAGCCCAAAGAUUGCAGAAAUUCUAUUUUCUGAAAACUUUGUGAGCACCCAUAUUUUGAUUUGCCUUCCUAGUUUGUGGGGACACGGUGGCAUUGUAACCGCCUUUUGGCAGAGAAAAAAAUUACCCCGGAAUCCAAAACAAUGAUUCUAAAACACAUGGAGCUCAAGGUAACUUGUAUUAAGUGAAAGCAUACACAUAAACAAGACCUGAUUUAGGAAAUUAGAAAAUGACAAGUAAACUAUAGAGCAACACAUUAACUCUUGUGGUCAGCAAACAGUUUUAAUACUGAUAUUAGUUUCCAGAUGAACCUAAGGCAAAUGAGAAAUCCAUCUUUUGAAAGCUUCUUGAGUAGUUUAUGAAAAUGGUCUUUGUCCUUAUUUACCAUUGUUACAGGAUUUUUUUAAUUUAUCCACAUGAAACUUCACUAAAACUAGGAUUUUAUUUUUUUUCUCCAGUGUAUGACAAUGAUGCAAAUAUAAACCCAUUUAGGAUAUUAAUUAACAUGUGCGAGCGUGCACACACACACACACACACAAACAGCUAGCUAUGCAGCUAUACAAGUGUAAAUUUCCAUUAAAACAAAUCUGAACAUGGCAAGAAUCAAAGAGUUUCUAGCCUUAGUGGAAACUUGGAUGAGCAUUCAAGGGAAUUUUUAUGUCACGAGGGAUAAAGAGAGCUGAAGAUUACUUAAAACUUGAACUGCAGAAAGCCUUUCUUUAGGAUCUGCUCUCAGCAUCUUUUUGACAAGGUCCUUCGCACUACUAGAUAUUGAUGGCCAAGGUUCUGAUGAAAAAUCAAGAUGACCCCGCAGAAUGGCAUCAAAAAUACCCUGCUCAUUUUCUGCAAAUAGGAGAACCAAAAGGAUCAUUAAGAUGUUGUAAAUCAGUACUUGGAAAAUAAAAGACAUAAGAAAAGCAAUGGAUGAGACAGUGGCUUUCAUUUUCAAUAUAUUUCACUAACCAUGCAGAUGCAUUACUAUGCUCAUUUUCCAUGGACUAUUAACAUUUAACAAUAUAAAAGAAAGUACUUAAAGGCUUAUUGGCCUCAAAAUUUACACAACAAAACUAAAUAGUGUUAAAAAUUCUAUAGCUGUCUGUCAUAAAACUUAAACUGACAGUGGCGGAAUCAACAAAGAUAACGGAGAAUGUUUCCAACCCACUGCUUUCUUCUCAAAGAGUGGCAUGUUACAGAAACAUAGAUUACAAAUGGCUAAAGAAUGCAGGAAAAGCAAGAAAAUAAACGAAAAUGGACAGAACCACAGCACAUUAUUUAUCCAUUCAAAUAAUCAUUUACCUCCCCAAAAAGGUGGGACACCACUUAGUAGAAUAUAAAGUAUCACUCCAGCACUCCAAAUAUCAGCUUCAGCUCCAUAAUUUCUCCGCAAGACCUCUGGGGCCACAUAGUAUGCACUUCCCACAAGGUCUUUGAAUGCAUCUCCUACAAAAGGCCAACUAUAAGUUAAAAACAUAAGUACACACCCGUAAACAUGCUAAAUUAAUAAGCUGCAGUAGGGCUUUGAAGUGAAGAAAAAGCAAUCCAAAACUGUCUAGGUUCUGUAAGUUUUUUAUUUUCUGUGUAGUUUAAGCAUUAAUGACCACUAUGCAUAAGAAUUUGUAGACAACACAGGAUGACAAGAAACCUGCCCCCCGGUCUGUAAGAUAAUGACAAAAGAAGAAGAAAAAAAAUCUUGGAAUGCACACUUUAACAUUUUAUUGGCAGUGAUGUACAAGGGAAGAGGUUCCUUUGAUUACAAGUUUCUUCAUUAACAAAUCAAUUGAUUGGUUAAUGCUAGCAAAGCUGCUGCUCUUAAUGGUCAUUUCGGUCGCAAAAGACUGUGAUGACAAUUUCUGUUCACCACAUAGCUAAAAUCUUGUUUAACAGAGAGACGUAUCAUAAGUUUCACUAGACAUUCUCAAGGUGCAUUAGUAUUUUGCAAUGUUGCAGGCCCAAGACCUAGUAGAUUUAUUAAGGCCAUUUAGUGUUUCACUUCUCUGAAGCUUUUCCUGCAGAGACAUGCACACCUCCACAUGCAAAAGAAAAUGCUUCAAUCUAUGGACAAAUAGGAUGAAAAACUUAAUGCAUUUAACACGACCAUUAAAAAAAAGGCUCUCCUCGCUCAAGUUUUUAUUUUACUAAACAAAAUAUAAGAUAAUGCCAAUUGAUACAUAAUCUGCAUUCUAUUUUAGCAAAGAUCAUGUCAAGCCACUCCUUUCUAAAUAAUAAUAAAAUUAAAAAUACAUCACUAACAAGCACUUCAAGAUUCCCAAUUAUGCAUUCCGCUCAUAAUUGCUUCGAAAUUAAUCAAAUAAUUUCAAAGCGUUUUUUUUUUUUAUCAACUACACUUUUACCAACGCAUGCACACACAAAUAUACACAAAAUCAAUCCUCUUUUGUAUUGAAGAAAACUGAAAACCACAUCAAUAUUAUGGCCAGAAAAGAAGAGGGGAAAAAAAAUACUAGAAGCUUUACAUCAUUAAUAGUACACUACCUACCUGGCUUGUAGAAGACUGACAAGCCGAAAUCAGUAGCCUUCAACGGCGAGUCCUCAUCAGAGCUCAAAAAUAAAAAAUUCUCAGGCUUCAAGUCUCUAUGCAUAACUCCCAUAGAGUGACAAUAAUGCACCACCGUUACCAUCUGCCGGCACAGCGCCGCCGCAGCACGCUCCGAAUAAUGCCCUUUGGUAAUAAUCCUAUCAAACAGCUCGCCACCGGCGCACAAUUCCAUGAUUAGGUUAACAUUAUGCCGAUCCUCGAACGCGCCUUUGAGCUCGACUAUAUUCCGGUGACCGGUGAGAUGAUGCAUGAUCUGAACCUCGCGGCGGACGUCGUCAACGUCGUCCUUGUUCAACAGCUUCCUCUUGGCAAUUGACUUACACGCGAACUGUUCGCCGGUGGUCUUGUGAGUGACGAGAUAGGUGACCCCAAACUGUCCCCGGCCUAGCUCCCGGCCGAAAAUGUAGGUGGAGCUGAUGUCUUCCAUGGGGCGGUUAAGGACACGGCCGAUGCCCGAGAGUGGGCGGGGAGGGGGAGGUUGGUCGGGGGGGAGGACGGUGAUGCCCUUGGACGGCGACGGUGUUGGUUGUGAUGAUGAUGACGUGGACUGGCCAGAUUGGUCAGAGGGUAAGCCGCUACAGUUACCCAUGUUUCCCGUUUCAACUUUCAACUGAGCUGUGGGUGGGUUUUAUUACACGACUUUAAAGUCAAACUGUUUAUGGGAAGAAAACGCAUAAACAGGGUCCUCUGGUCUGAACGCUGAAGAUCAGCUGCUGGUUCGAAAUGACAGGAUUGACCUCUGAAAACGUGCGAGACACGAGCUAGACUUCAGGCGGCAUUUGGUCAACUCAACGCUCCCUCGUCCUCUUGCAAGGUUGGUCCGGAACAAGCACGAACAUAAAAAAAAAAAAAAAAAAAAAGUACGAACAAGUAAAUUUGUAUCUGACCCGUUUGAAUUGUACAUAAAACAGAUCCGUGUUGUCCAGAGCAAUAAUUCUGCUCGUGAAUAUAUAUCCUAGUGCCAACUGCCAUGCCACUCUAACCGUUAUUGCCAUCCUUGAAAGUUUCCGGUGUAUUCCAUCCUCGUCUUAACUUCUAAACAGCUGACUUCCUGCAUGAACUGUGUUAUUUUUACAUGGAUAUCUUCUUGCUUGAUUACCUACUUAGUUAGGUGGAUGACUUUUGAAUUAAACUUGACAAUUGGAAUAGCAAUUUCUAAACUCGAGAUCUUGUUAUUCCCAUCACAAAGUCCUCUAGCUAUAGCUAAAAGCUUUUUUUUUUUUUUUUUAGCAAAAUUGAACAUUUUAUUGACAAGAAUAGUGAGCUUGUACAUGGAACGUAGAAUUUCUACUACAUCAAUAGUACUCUAUGCUAUACAAUACUACUAGUCAUCUAAAACAAAUCAGAGGUAGUCCCAACUCUAUAUAUAGCCAAUUCCCAGCUUGCCUUGUUUACUUACUGGCACUUCUCCAUUUCCCCAAACCAGCUUAUACCAGUUUAUUUAUUGUGUGUUGCCAGGAGGUCUCAACAAUUUCAUCCCUACUUUUACAUUGUAUCUUCUUGAUGGUCCAUCAAUCCAGUAGUAGAUCGAUCUCAUCUUUUGCCUCCAUACAGGGUAGGAAGAUUUCAGGUAUAGCAGCUUUAAUAGCCGGCUGACUGCUCAUGGUCGUGGAGGAAAAGCUUACAUUUAUACGCAUGAAUGCAAGAAUUGCUAGUUAUAGGCUCUGUAUUUCGAAAACUGCUGUUGAAUCUCUAAAUUAGCUUCUGUAAAUCAUGGUUCAAUUAUUUUCGUCACAUAGAAAUUUAGCAAACAAGUGAAUAGCAAAAGAAUGAAUGGUUGGUUGGUUGGUUGUUGACUCUGUGUGGCAAUCAAACUGUAGGUUCGCGCAGAUGGACAUGGACAGGAUGUAUAUAUUCUCCACCAUUUGUAUUGUUCCAACUGCAUCUGGAUGCCCCCAUUAAUGCUGCAUUAAUCUGAUAUUGUUGAAAUUGGCAUUCGGUGCAUUGAUUUGACGCUUAUAGCAUCCAAUUCUAAACGUGAUAUAAAAACGAUUGUUGGAAAAAUGGUAUUUCACAUUUUUUGCUUUCAAAUAUUUUAUCUCUCUGCAGUUACGAACACAUUCUUUCUUUUGCAUUGAAUUCCAAAACUUUAGUUCGACCUAGUGAACUUGGAAAACAAGUAGAUAUAUCAUGUGAUUAAUUUUAUUUAGGACCAAAAAAAAAAUGCAUAUGACAUUACAUUUUAAAUAGUAGUAUUACAGUAACAGAUAUAUCAUACAUAUGAUUAAUGCUUUAAGGAAAAAAAAUCAUGGCAUCAGAUCUUAAAAAUCUUUACACAACUUAUCUUUCCAUAAAUUUUUCUCGUAUAUAUAUCAAUUUAAAUGGUGACAUUUCUCCAUUAUUUCAUUCCACGGUUUACCAGUCGGUAUUGAGCACUCCUGGUUACAAGUAACGGAGGAAUAUAACCAUUAAACUAAAACUGUGAUCUUUCUACCUCCUCUUCAGGUUAGUAAUUAAUGAAAAAAACCACGGAAAGUUUAUAAUAGCUAGAGUAAUUAUUCUCGACAAAUGAUACAAGGAAACAAGCGUUUGCGAAAGAAUAACAGCUAAUGCAUGAAGAAUACUAUGUGAAAGAAUGCUGAAUGAUAUAUAUAUGAUGAACAGAUACCUGAGAACUAAUGCAUAUUCGAGAUGUAAUGAUAAACAACUUGUGCAUUUAUCAAGAACUAAAAUUAAAAGACACCUAUCAGUUUUACGCUGGACAUAUUCGCACAUGAAGAAGUGGGACUACCGAUGCAUGAGUACAUCAUAAAGUCUUCUUGUAAAUUCUCCUCCCAGAGAAUUGUAGAAACGAAUUUAAUCAAGAAACAAGAGUUAAAAGGCUGUAGAAUUUGUCUCAAGAACCAUCUAAAAAUCUGGCCGAUAAAAUCUUAGCUAGAUGUAUACAUAGGAGAAUUUAAAAGAAAUGGUUAAUGUACACUUUGAUUUGUUGAAAUAAGACCUGAUCUCUAAAACUCCAGUGUGCGUUCCUGGUUGCUCCAAUAGUCUUCCAGGCAGCCAAGGUUGCAUGGAAAGAUAUUUUUCGAGUUGUUAACGUGGCGAAAAAAGGCCGCUUACUUCUUCUGCCUAUGUUUCUUCUUAUAUUCUAGUUCUCCAUCCAUCCCACAUUAUUGAACUUAAGCAUCUCUUAUCCAAGUUCUGAAUGUCAUCUUUCCUUCUAUUAUUGCCGUAUUAUUCUUUUCUCUGCAUAUCAUUUCCUGACUAGACAUACUUUCUCCACCUACUUGCAUGUACAGCUGAGUGACUGAACCAAUAAACCCCACUCCCCCCCCCCCCCGGGGCAAAAAAAACCCCAUACCAUCCCCAAUACAGCCAGUUCUUUAUAUCUCUUAGUCAUACCAUACAACAAACCACUUGUGCUCCUCAUUUCAACUGACUAAUUUCCUGAAGAUUUUUUUCCCGUCCGUCAAGAAGCACAAAAGUUGAUAAAACUUUCUUCUUGAAAUCCUAAUAUUUCUAUUUCGAGGGCUAGUUCUCGUAAUUUUGAAGCUACGGGAACUUUAAAAAUCAAAGAAGCCCAGUUAGAACAAGAUUUGGAGAGGGAUAUAUUUCUUCUUUGGAGAAUGAAUGGGAAAAAUGGUAGUAUUGAGAUCAAUAUACCGCAGGUUAGCAAAGUUAUUUUCCAUGAUGCUGAGAAGAACUCUGGCUUCUCAUGCAGAGGAUGGAUUAUGGAGGUCUGGAAAUUUUGCAAGGAAGAUACCAACAGAAUAAUAUUCGCUUUGAAAGUUGGCCUUGCUGUUCUUCUGGUUUCGCUGCUAAUUCUGAUCCGGGCUCCUUAUCAUGUCUUUGGAUCCAACAUUAUAUGGUCUAUCCUCACUGUGGCCAUCAUGUUCGAAUAUACGGUUGGUAUGUAGCUUGUUGAAAGUGGAAAAUUACCUGACUUCUUCUUUCUUGUAAGCUAAGGAGGAAAAUUAGCUGAGUUAUUCAUAAAUAUUGGAAAAAAAGGUAUUGAAUACCUGUAAAGUAUGACAACACGUAAAAAUUGAAUAUUAUUGUACAAAAUAUCAUACACGACAUGUUUCUAAUACAUUAUCAAACAUUCAGUUGAAAUGUUUAAUACUAGGAGAAUAAUGCAUAACUAGAAUUCUUUGUUGCAUUUUUGUUCAACAGGAUCCACGUUCAAUAGAGGAUUCAACCGAGCACUUGGAAGCCUGCUGGCAGGAGUUUUAGCAAUUGUUGUUGCUCAAAUAGCCUUAAACACUGGUCCUGUUGCUGAGCCUAUUAUUAUUGGUAUCAGCAUCUUCCUAGUUGGUAUGUCACCCUUUUGCCCAUUUACCUACCAAUCUGACAAACAAGAAAAAUCUUACAGAAUAAUAAUAAUAUUUUAUUAUUAUUCUUAUUAUUAGAAACAGACCAUCCACACUAAGAUAUUUUGUUCAAUUAACUUUGUUUCGCAGGGGCUAUUACAUCCUUCAUGAAGUUCUGGCCUCCUCUUGCGCCAUAUGAAUAUGGUUUUCGCGUAAUACUCUUCACCUACUGCCUGAUCAUUGUUUCUGGAUAUCGAAUGGGGAAUCCAAUAAGAACAUCCAUGGAUCGGCUUUAUUCAAUAGCCAUUGGAGGGAUUGUAGCAGUCUCAGUGAAUGUACUAAUAUUUCCUAUUUGGGCUGGGGAGCAGUUGCAUCAAGAACUUGUAACUAACUUUAAAUCAGUGGCUGACGCUCUUGAAGGUAAUCAACAAUUUAACUCCAAUAAUUUCAUUUCUUUCACUUUGGAAAACAAUAAAAUCGUUAACCUGGUACGUUUCAGAAUGUGUUAAAAAGUAUCUAGAAGACGAUGGAUCAAAUCAUCCAGAGUUCUCAAGUACUGUGAUGGAUGACUUUCCAGAUGAGCCUGCAUACAAGAAAUGUCGAUCCACUUUGAGUUCUUCUGCUAAACUGGAAUCAUUGGUACAACUAGUUUAUAAAUCACGUUCAACUAGACUAUUAAGUCUUUUUCGUUUCUUUCUCGUUCUCAAAGAUUAGGAAACGGUAACCAUAUUUUAUUAUCUUUGCUUAUAUUUGAAGGCUAAUUCAGCCAAAUGGGAGCCGCCGCAUGGCAGGUUCAGUCACUUCUUCUGCCCAUGGUCAGAGUACGUGAAAGUCAGUGCAGUUUUGCGAUACUGUGCAUACGAGGUUAUGGCACUUCAUGGCGUUCUUCACUCAGAAAUUCAGGUCUUUGCUUCCCUAUCGUUAUUGGUCAUAUUCUGUUUUCGGUUUCUCAGAUGCCCUGCUUAGUCUGACAUUCACUAUCUACUUAGCAGAAUUAUAACUCUUUCCAAGCAGUGUAGGAAAUCUAGAAUAUACAAAAAGUACUAUAAUUAUGUCAAAAAAAAAAAAUCUCUUGAUAAUUCAAUUUGAUGCGAUAGAAGAGGGUAAAUGGCAAACAAAAAGCUCUAGAAAAGAACUCCCUGAAAACGCAAUAGAUGUUGUUUUUUGCCAGAUACCAUAUGUGUAUUGCAUCUCUCAAAUAUGCGGUCUAGCUUUAACACGGUUGAGACGCAAUUCUUUUCGUUAGUCCAAGGAUGGCAGCAUUUAUACUUUCUGUUUAUCUCCGAAUUAAGCAUCUUCUACUUUUUAUUCUGUCAACGGUAUACCACAUUUAACAUAAAUUUUUAUCUUUCCGAACAUAUUCCGCUAUGUUUUCAAACAAAUUCUAUACGUGCAUGCUUAGACAGCAGCAUGUAUAACAGCGCAUGCUUAGGCAGCAGCAUCUAUGACAGAUGCUGCAUGUUUGAAACAAAUAUGCAAUGCUUUUACUGCAAAGCCUACUAUUACUGAUACACUAUUGCCUGCACAUACUCAAAGAUCAUGUAAACGAAUAAAUUUAUGCUGAUGUAACUCUGUAACUUACCAAUGUACUUAUGUAUUGAUAUGUGAUUUAGGCCCCUUAUAAUCUCAGAAUCACAUUCCAGCAAGAGAUCCAGGAUGCUACAACUGAGGCAGCUGAGCUAGUUAGAUGUUUAGGAAAUGAUAUACGCGAUAUGCAGAAAGGUCUCAAAGCUCCUAUACUGAAAAAGGUGCACGCCACAACUGAGCGUCUUCAACGAGCAAUAGAUAUGCAUUCGUAUCUCCUCAUUUCCACUUAUGAUCAGCCUCCUGAUAGACAACUGCCGAAGUUGUCCCACACUUUGUCCACCAACUUGAGUGACAUUUCAAACCAGAUGGCAGAGAUCGAUGUCAAGCUUCCCGACGAACAAAACUUGAACAUUCCACCCUCCCAGCCAUUAGGAAGUUUUCCUCCAGCGCAAACAGAAUCUUAUCAUGAGAGUAUGAGAAAACAUUCGAGAAGGCUCCAUUCUUGGCCUUCCAGAGAAGUUGAUGCUUUCGAAGAGGAGGGAGGUAAUAGUGCAGAUUUUGUUCCCAAAAUGCAGGCACUGGAGAGUACUGCUCAUCUGUCACUUGCUACUUUCACAUCAUUACUUGUUGAGUUCGUUGCUCGACUUGAUCAUCUGGUCGAAGCAGUUGAUGACCUCUCUAAGAUGGCAAAGUUCAAGAUUCAGACGGCAUAGAAGUGGAAGUAAUGUGCAUGGGAAUACUGGAACAGUGAUUUUUCUUUUUUCUUUUUUUGGAGGGGGGGGGGGUUGUUGGUGCGGGGUGGGGAAGCAAAAGCGCCAAUAAUAUCAAGAACUUGAAAAGUUUAUUUUAAGAUAGUUAAUGACAGAUACGGCAUGAAAAUCCCAUUUCUGUUCUGUUGUCAAGAAACUGAUUCUCUAUCAUAUUCGAUAUUCUGAGAGUGAUAGGUGGAGGGCAUACGAUACUGUGCAAUGUAGUGCAAGUCAGUGUUACUUAACUCACAUCUUUUGAUAUUUGCAGUGUGAGAACCAAUUCUGGUACCUAUUUCAGUGAAUGAUCCCAAAUUUACAGUCAUGGACUCAUGGAAUGUAACGUUUUAAUUUUUUUUUUUUUAAAUAAAAUCGAACUAGUAAUCAUGGUUGUCCCUGGGAUAUGUUAGAAAUAAUAUAUAAUAAAUUGUCUACCAAAAUUCGCACAGAAAUUUCUUAUGCAACAGGAGGAGUUAGUGACAAUCCAUAUCUAUGCGUACUGGACCAAUCCCUCAUUAAUCUCUUGCCAACUGGUGGGCUAAGUCGUUAGUCGUUUGUCAAUCAGUAUAGAAAUGGAAAGGAGUUUUAUCUCUUGUUAGAAUGCGCCUGGAUUUUGGAACAGUGACUUUCUUGGAGGGAUUAUCGCUAACUGAUCGAGCAUGGACCGUACUGUGAAAGAACUGGGCCGUGGGGAAACAAUCCUCGUUAAAGAUUAUUGCCUGACCUUUCAAUCAUUCGUUUUAGACAACCUGCGCGUGUUCUCGAGACAUCUCACACUCUAUGACUUUGUACAACAAAUGAAAUAAAAAACCACUUUGGUUUCCAAAGGCCAAAAGUACAUUCACCUUUUUAUAGGAUCGUAAUGUGUAUAUGUAUCCCCAACGAUUUGAUACUCGAAUCAAGCUUGGCUCGCCAAGAACUUGUUUAAAUUUGCUACUAACCAAUUAAACUAGGCUGCAAUAGUAUUUUUGGUUUGAUAAACUUUCAAGUUAAGUUCGAACUUAACUCGAUUAGUAUAAAAGUGAAAUUUAUAUAUAAAAAAUUCAAAUUAUUAGAAUUUGACUUAAAUUCGACUCACUAAAAGCUCGUUCAAACUUGGUUCAACAAGUAAACAAGUUAAGCUUGAACAAAAUCUCAAACUCAUCCAAAUAAUUAAAUAAAUUUGAACACAAGAAUGUUCAGUUUCUUCAUAUUCAUUUACACUCUCAACGUAUGUCUGGAUUGAUACCAAAGAACUUCAAAUGAAAGGAUUUGAAUUUCACAUUUAUUAAAAUAAUUUGUUCGGCUAAAAGUUCCUAAUGAAACGAUCAUUUACAAUUACCAAAGCAAGUUGGGGUGAAAACAGAAAUUAUAAAAAGUUUUAAGGGUCCGGUCCGUAUUGGAUAAUUCAUUUCCCUUUCUUCCAGGGAUCGAGACUAUGUUCUUUAUUCACUUUUUUUCAGUUCCGUUCUCUUCUCCAGCAACGGCAGCUAGAUCAAUAAUUUGUUUUUUAUUUACUUCUUUUUAGUUCCUUUCUUUGUUCUCUUUUCCGGCAACAGCAGCUGGCCAUAGUGUCAAACGCCAUUCCCCUCCUUUACUACCACGACCGCUCACACCUGUCCAUAUAUGAGAGCCUUCAAAACCUACUUUUUGUCUCUCACUCUGUUUUGCACCUCUUCUUUUGCCACGAGGCAACCAUCACCGGCAUCUCUCUCAUUCCCGCGUAUUAAGUCACACCAAGACAGGAGGGGCGACAAAAAUCGUUUCGGAAGAAAGUUGGAGAAAACGAUAGAGGGGGGAUUGACCUAAUCCAUUGAUUUUAACUCUCAAAAUUCCUCUUCCAGGGCUGGAUUUCAAAUACAAAUCUUAGUCAAGUUAAUUAAACAACACAAGGAUUUUGGGUGGAGGAUUUUGAAUCCAGAUCCAUCUAAAUCCCCGGUCCAAACAUACCCUUGAGGUUUAUUCGAAGUUCUGCUACUCAGGACUCAAAUGUCAACUCACUCAAAAGCCCUAAAAUACCUAAUACAAAACACUCGAGAUACAAAGAGAUCGCCUGAUUUAUUUUGAACACAAACAUUUGGCAAACCAACACUAUAACCCAAUUUACGAAACUUUAGAUAUUUACAAAGAUGAACACCAGAAACCACAAUCAAAAGGCUACAUCUGAAAGCCACGUAGCUUUCCCCUUAUUGCUACACAUAUUCAACAACACCACAUUCAUAGUUCAACGACCUAAACAAAUAUGAAACAGUUGCACAUAUGUAACAAGAGCACAAACUGUGAAAGCAGAAGAUGCACAGACAACCAGAAGAAGAUGCUGGCCAUGAACAUGAUAGAACAAACAAACAGGAAAGCAGAUAGUCUUCAGACCCAGCUUUGACGGAUCCAAGACUUCCUUUGCUCAGAUGGACUAACCAUGCCAUUGCUGCUGCCAAAGCUCAGAGCAGAAUUGCUUGCCAUCAUUGCCAUCAGACUUCCACCAUGCACCCUUCCUUCUGGAAUUGCAACUGCAUUUGACGAUGCACUUCUUUCAACAGGCAGAGCAGCUUGCAGGGGACAAACAUAUUUCCCACCAGAACCACUGAAAGGUGUUAUAACACUGCUCUCCAUUUUCAUGAUAUCAGCAUUCAUGUCUUCAGCAAUGAUAACCUGUUUCAUCUUAUCAGGUUUGCUUGGUUCUGAAUCCUGGACCAUAGCUCCUAAUGUCACAGCACCAUGAACCCGUUUAUCCUGGACCAGAGCACCGUGAGAAGCACACAACCCGGUCUUCCCACGCACAAAUGAAUUGCAAGGACUCUCACCAUUUCCAAAUUCAGAACCAGGCUGCCCCCAAGAGCACCUCUUCCCACCACCAUGGGCCUUGCAGAAAUCAGUGCUUCCCUGAGCACUUUUUCCACACCCUUCAAAUUUGCAUCUCUUGCCCCCACCAUGACGAACACAAAAAUCAGUCCGCCCCCUUGCACUCUUUGUGCAUUCUGGAACAGCACACCUCUUACCACCACCAUGUGCUACGCAGAAAAGGGUGCCUCCGUGUACGCUUUUUGGACAAAUCAUACCUCCCUGGAAUGAACACCUUUUCCCUCCACCAUGGCCCUUGCAGAAAGGCGUGCUCCCUUCAGCACCCUUGGUACAUCCUUCAGAAGUGCAUCGUUUACCGCCACCAUGCGCCUUGCAAAACAUUGUGCUUCCUUGAGCCCCUUUUGUGCAUUCAGGAUAUUGACAUCGACGGCCACCUCCAUGAGAAAUACAGAGACCAGAGAGGCCUUCUGCACUUUUUGUGCAGUUCUCCCUUUGGCAUCUUUUCCCACCACCAUGCCGGAUACACAAUCCAGAUUUCCCUCUGGCAGCUCGGCUGCAGCCUUCAUGACUGCAACGCCGACCUCCACCAUGUGCAAUGCACAGAUCAGUCCGACCUUCUGCACUCUUGGUACAACCUAGGAAUUCACAUCUACGACCACCACCAUGAGCCUUACAGAAUGCAGUUCGACCCUCAGCUCCUUUAUGGCAACCAAGUCUCUGACACCUCCGCCCACCUCCAUGGGCGAUGCAAAGGCCAGAAGCACCUCUAGCCCCUUUUACACAUCCGUUGAAUUGACACUGUUUCGUACUGGUACUACGCUGCUGUUGCUGUUGAGUUAUCCCGGAAGUACAGGUGACUGAGCUUUUUGGUGUUGUUACCAUGCUUGUUGAAAGCUCGGGAGUGGUUGCAGCUGGUUUCAAAUCUCUUACAGCUUUGUUUAGCAAGUAACUAGUCUGCAAGUUAUCCACAGUCGGCAAUGGAUGAAAUAAGCUCCCCAUAUUCAAGCUUGAUGAUAUCGAUCCUUCUUCGGUGUAAAAUGCCCCACCAACAGCCACGUGCAUCUGGUCUACAACAUUUUGUGGUGGGGUAGAGCUCAAAUGGAUAGAGGUGACAUCAGAUUCAGCAGUCCCACUGGAAAGACUCAACUCCAGAUCAACCUUUGGCCAGACAUCCACUAAUUUAGAACUAGAACUAGUAGAUUUCCUUGGGCUAAAUGUUUUAUCAUUUCCAAGAUGGAGGGAGAAGUCCAGUUCUAGGUCCAUCGAAGAUGACUCUUCAAUUUCUUUUGCCGAAGAGAUUGAUGUGCAUGCAGUUGCUGAACUCCCUUUACUGUCUGAGGAACUUGUUGAAUGGCCUAGACGGAGACACAAUGAUGAUUCCAAUUGCUGACCCACAGAACCGUCAAUCAAGCCCCAUUUCCUUUUCAUUCCCUUUGAGGCAGAUACAAAAGGGAUUGGUGAGCCAGAAGAAUCAAGACACAGUGUAGUAUCUGCACAAAAACCACCACCAGCAACUCCAAUUUGAAAGGAAUUACCCAGAUUCUCGAAUGCAUUCAACGCAGGGUUAGCAGCAAAACCCAAAUUGUGGAAUCUGGCAUCCAUGACCUCACAGCUAAGAUGCAACACUCUUAUCUGAAGCAAAUGUAAUGACAAGGAACAGUCUCCCUGACUUCCGGGUUGAAAAGUUAGCUACAAAACUAGGGUUAGAUGUCUCUAAAUGAGUACAUCCCACCCCCACUAACAAACCCUGAGGUAUCACGUCGAUCCAUUUGCUGUAAAAUUAUCUGAAUCAAACUAAUCAGCAAGAGUCAGAGGAGAAAAGUGCAUACAAACUCAAAAUCUUCAGCAUCCCAAUACCAGAGUUCAUCCUGUCUCAAAAAAGAAAUAAGACGUUAGACUAGGUGAUAAGUAUCAGAGUAAUAUGUAAUGUUUCAAUGAGCUGGCACAUAAAACUUGGCCAAAAAGGUUGCAUAAUGAAAUUCGGCAUAUCACCAAAAGCACAGAAUUUUUGAAGUACUUGUUCAAUUUGGAAAUGCUUUCAGGAAAACACCCACACCAAAAUGUAGAGGAGUGCCUUCAAUAUAAUUAACUUAAGCAAAGAUCUUUGUCAAUAAACAAAGGACAAAAUAAAGUUAUUUCGUACUGCAAAUUACACAUUUGAAAAACCCACUACUAACUCAAGUUUUUUUUUUUUACUGUAAAGAAAUACAUGCUCAUACUGAAAUUAAAAAUCAAACCAUGAAAAUAUCCAGGACAAGUGAAUGCAUCACAUGAUAGAUCUUUUUAAAAGCCAGAUCUGUUAUUAACAAGCCAAAACAGAUCUUCUGGAACAAGAUUAAAAGAUAUCAAAUAAAGUCAUCAACAAAUAAACGGCAUACUGAUCCAGAAUCAGCAACACCAAGCAUAACUUUUAAUUAAAAAAAAAUAAAAUAAAAGCUUCUGCCGUAGUAUAAUAACCAAGUUUCACUAUAGGAGAAGAUUACGAAGAUAAGCACACCAAAUCAACCCUGGUAAGCAACAUCUCCUCAAAUGAAAAAUGGGGUAAAAACAUUCAAACGUCUGAAGCUAAAUUGUCCGAUAUGAAUAAAUAAAGAAUUAAAACCCUCACUUCAAAGGGAAAUAAUUUUGCAUAACAAAAAUCAAUUAAAUUUCAACAUUUCAGAGGUUUCUUAUAACUGAAAAUCCACUAGUUUUGAGGUUUCUCAUAACUAAGAAAAUGGAAUCACCAAAAUUCAUUUUUGCCAAUCAGAUGAGUUCAGUUACCUAGUUGAGCUAGCAAAGUUUUCCUAAAACCGCCAAAGGGAAUAAACAACCUCAAGCUCCCAUCUUUUCCUUCCCCCUAGCUCAGCAACCAAAUAGUAAAUCGUCAGACUUCAAAUUUUAUCCAGAUUAUGCAACUUUUAAUCCAUACAUGAAACUGCAGAACAUCAAAUUCCAAUGAAACACAGAAUUUAUUGGAGCAAAAAUUAACAGAAUUUAAGAAUAAAGUAAAUUGAGCUAAAACCUUACAAACUUAACACUGCAAACUUCUCCACAAGCUAAAAUCAGAGAUUUAGCCAGACGGAAGACAGAAGGAAAGUGAAAACCGAUAAAAUAGAUCGGGAAGAGUACCUUCAAUACGUCCACGAAUUGAUCGAGAGGUGGCUAGGGCUUUGAGAGUGCCGGCAAAGACGAAUAGAGACAGAAAUAUGGGUAGUGCUUUUAUAUGUACGUACACAGGAGUGUUUAUUAAAUAAUGGAGUGGAGAGAGAGAAAAUAUUAGUGUGUGAGUGUGUGUGAGAGAAAGAGAGACAGAAAGAGAUUGCUGCGCGUGGAAAUUGGGGAACGGAAAUUAGGCGAAAGCGACACGGCGGCGUAUGCUACAUUACAUACUACUGUAACCACUAAUCCGCGGCAUGCUCUGAAUUAAUUGAUCAGGAUUUUAAUCAACUAACUUGAUCAUUCAUCAAUCAUCAUUCGGGUCAAAUAUCCACAAAAAGAAAUGAAGUUUAAUGUAGUUUUUCUCCAUAGACGUGUUUAAUUAAGGCAUCCAACUUGGUAAACAGAAAUUGUAAUUUUUUUUUAUCUAGGUGUAUAGCUUAAUGCAAUUAAAUCAAACGCUAUAAUGUUCAAAUCUAGUCGUUAUAGUAUCGCUUUUUUAAAUUUCUCGUAAGGAUAAAUUAGUUCCAAUAUAUUUUGUAAUAAACUCUCUACCAUCGAUCGAUAAAGAAUUAUUCCUUUAAAAUCAAAUUACGUCUUCCUCACACACUAAUUUUCUCAUAUCUUUACUAUUUUCUCCUUAAUCUUUUAAAUACAAUAACUUCCUCUAAAAUAGUAGUUAGAUUUUUCGGGUAAAUACAUAUGUAUCUACAAAAUAAUCAUACAUCUUCUUCAAAUAAGCACACACCUAGGGUUGUGUGCCAAAAGCACUAGCUAUGACUAUUUGAGCAUGGCUUCAUUGUUAUUCACGCGAAUAUCAAGUUAGCAUUUUUAGCUGGUGUUGCGUAGUUUGAUUUUUUUUUCCCCAUGUAAAUGUCAAAUUUUAUGUUUGUUAAGCAAAAUUCACGUUACUAAAUAUUAAAUCUUGUUUGAGUUUGAAGUAACAAUUAAACGGGUUUAGAUGUAAAUUGUUUGCAAACGACGGGGACUAAUAUCCGCGUUUUAUGACAAAUCUUAUGGUAAUAACAAUGACAGUUGUAUCGUCUCAAAUUUUAAUACUAGUACAUUUUAUUAGUAUAUGAUAAUAAGUAAUUACACAAUAGAAAAUCACAACCACGUCAUGAAAUUUCAUUAUCUAAUUACAAAGUUCCGUAUUAAUGAAAGAUGGAGCGUGUGUAAGCUUGUCCAUCUACUUAAGUUAAAAGAGUUAGAUUAGCAUUUAGCAGCGUGCUAAAAAUGGUUUUUUGGUUUAUAAGACAUUACGAUGUUGUCUAAUCCAUGUGGUUCAGGACGAUAGGUGCUGCGUUUGAACAAUCCCGGCGGGUUUGUUUGGAUUUUAAGUUAUCUGAGAUAUUUUUACUGUAGCACUUUUUGUGAUGUGAUGUAUGUGAGAUAAAAAGGUAAUUAAGAAUAUAAAAAAAUGUAUUGAAAAUUAUAACGAUGAUAUAAACAAAUAUAUUUAAAAAAAUAAUCAACUGUCCAAACAAUUUACUCUUAAAAUCAGGUAGCUAAGUUCAUGCCACUAUAUCUUGUCCCUCUGGGUCAAAUCUAGCUACAGGUGACCCGGUUUCCGGUCGGUACAAAAGGAAAUCGAUAGAACUUUUAAUUGUCUAUCCACAAUAAAUGGGAAAAUGAUGGUGCAGGAUUUAAGAAAAAUAAUAGUGAAUGAUGUACGAUGAUAUAAGAAAACUCAGGUAAAAACACAACUAUUGUAUACCUCUCACUCUCAGUCAUAGGUUAGAUGUUAAAAAAAAGAACAGUCAUUACUUAUUUCAAUUUUAUCCUUACAUAGUAGAGUACUAUACAACCAUAAUUCAUUUUUUAUUUCCUAUAGAGUCACGCACUCUUGCCACUCUUACAACUAUAAUAACAAAACUACUAAAAAUCACCAAUAACUUCUUCUCUUUUUUUCUUUUAAAAAAAAAAAAAUAGUGUGUGCCUUUCCCACUUAUAUCACAUGUACAAGUGUGCUCAUAGACACUAAUCUACAUAAAUAUUUGGGCCAAUAAAUUAAACUACAAUUAUAGUAGAGCGAUACUUAGACGACUCUCAAUUUCAAUUAUGACAAUGUAACACAAAUGUAUAUAUCUACUGAUACAAGUUAAUUCAAUUAUUAAGAUCGAGUCAAUUUAUCAAUAAAAAUUGUAUGUUCGAGUUCUGUCAUUGAUGCGAUAACUAUAUUAAUGUGUGAUCUGAUAAAAUUCUUGUAAAUGAUUUAUAGUUUCAAACAUGCUCCGACUCGCAAUGGAAAAUGUCAAAAAAAAAUUACAAAUGUGUACCUAUUUCGUUUGUAUAUUUAUAUUUUUUUUGGGUAAAGUUUGAUGUGGAAGCAUUGGUACGGCCUAAGGUCAACAAAAAUUUGGAGUGUGGAGUGUGGGUCUGGCCGUACAAUAAUCAUACAACCUACAUGCAGGCAUAGCAACGAAACUAUUGGCAAUUUGGCGUGGCGUGGCGUGGCAUGGCUGCUGCUUCUUGAGAGACUGGAAAGGUCGCGUUAGAUUCAAGAAAAACUUGGCAAGUUUAGGCCUUAGAGGCGUGGCGGUACGACAUCGCUUGUCGAUUCGUUGAAGUGCCGAAUUUCGAAGGUUGGUCGAUUCAUAGAGAGCCACGCCAGCAGUAUGACACGUCUAACUGAGAGUUUUGAUAGGACCGCUUUGAUGGAGAAAACAAGCAGAAAAACCGAAGGAACCCGAGUUCAAAAAGAGUAAAGAAUUUCCCAAUCUUCACCUUUUUCAUUUAUUUGGCAGUCGGCACUCGGCAGCGGCUCGUCACCGUUCAUGGUGCCUCGGCUUGUGGACCCCGUAUCUGCCACCUGCUUUUUUUAUUGAUUAUGGAAGAGUACUUUGACGGUGGGUGGGGAUGAUUGUUGGCUGUUGAUGAUUGUUGCUAAUAUGAUCUCAUUUGCGCCGCUAAUUGGCUCCUGCAAUUCCACUUUACAAAAUUUACAAUAAUGGUAGAGAAUCCAAACCUUUUUCCGUCUAUAAAAAAAAAAAAGAAAAUUCAAUCCUUUGCUAAUGACCAAUUAACCACAAGGCAUUGGGCGUUUUCAUGCCAUUAUGUUGUACAAUAAAAAUUGCAGGAUUCAAUUGUAACUCGUAAUCUUAAACAUAUAUGCUUUCAUUUUUUUUUAAAAAAAUUAUCAUGGACUAUAUUUAUAAAUUCAAGAUAAGUCUUCAAAGCUUUGACGUUGGUGUUUGGAUGGCCUUUUUUUUGGUGUGUCUAUUAGAAAAAUAAAAUUUGUUUAAAACUUUAAAACAUCCACAAGUUUUAAUAAAAAAAAAAAAAAAGUACAUCAAAUAAGGUACCGUUGGCUGAGGUGGGUAUUGGUGAUAAUUGGGGGAGGCUAUCGAUGAUGGGAAGGGGGUAUUUCAAAAAACACAGGGUAUUUUGUGCAUUAUAAACAAAUACCAAAAUUUUUUUUAUAAAAAAAAUACAACUCUAAGAAGUUAUUAUAAACUUUUAGAUAAACAUAAAAAAAAAAAACCAGACCAAAAAAAAGUUUGUUGGGGGGGGGGGGGGGGUAAAGGGUAAAUAGGGAGGGUGCGCUUGCGAAAAUCACAGAAAAUGCCUGCGGCUGCGGUUUAUUAGCUAUUGUUUGUUUUUCCUCAAAAGGUUCAUUUCAUGGUAACACUUGAGCAAAAUCCAUUACGCAGUCGAGUGAAUCCCAGCUACGAAAUAAAUACUGCUCAAUUCAAUUGUUUUCUACUACAGUAGAUAUGAUUAGGCAUUUUCCAAUCAAUCAAUAAAGGAAAGAUCGCAGGUCAAAAUGCAGUAUUGUUAAUGCGACUAAACAGAACAAGGAAGAUGCGUCAAACAUCAGAUGAGCCCUUUUGUUGUUUCAGUGCAAACACAUUUGUUGGCGAAGAAGAAAUACCCUCUGUUCUUAAGGCAUCUUUGAAUGGUGUGAGGAUGUGAUCGAUACCAUUCCAAAACUUCAUAGCACCAUAUAUAUAUAUAUGUAUAUAUAUAAUAUCGUCCAACAUCCCAUUCAAACCAUCGAUCUUAGGGGCAUCAUUGAUCCAAUAGCCCAAAAAAAAAAAAAAUCACUUUCUGAGAAAGGAAUAUAAUCAUAUUUGUAUUAGAAUUAGCUCAUAUGCCAUAGACAUAAUUUAAGAUGAGAAACUUUGGAUGCAUCAGUUUCAAAUUACACUACUAUUUGUAUGGAUCACUCGAGUCUUUGCUCGCAAUUAUAUAAUUUUUAUAAUCUAUAAAAUCACUUAUCAUUUCGAUAAAAAAAAGAGAGCUUGAAUGAAGCCUAUAUCAUAAAGAGUGGCACAAAUAGAGUUGUAAAAUGCACACUUUAAGUCCAGAGUUCCAACAAGUUACAAUUCAAUUCUGGUCAAAUCCAAUGUUCUAGAUAUCGUCUUGUUUCAUUAGUUUCCAAAUUCUCUAUUCUUUUUCUUUUCUUUUUUUUAUAUAGAAAAAAAUUACUUUUGGGACGAUGGGUCAUUUUCUCGUGAAAAGGUCAAAGAACUUAUUCCUUCAUAAUCUGGUAUAACUCUAGAAUCACUCACUCUUUUAGACACACAGAUUUAGGUCUCACGCACACAAAUUGAAGUUCGAUACAUGCACGCAAAAUUAAAAAAAAAAAAGAAAAGAAGGGAGCUCUCCCAAAUUGAUAUUGACCAAAAGUUGGAAUGUGUAGCCAAAUUCAUAUCCAAAGCGGAUUAUCUGAUGCUAUUAUGCUGUGAUGUUUACUUUUUGACUUUGAUGCCGAUUCAAUAUAUAUAAAGAGUAAAUUCAAUUUCUGAUGAACUUUUUUAAGUACUACAGUAUAAUUUAUGUUGACAAGUUUGCUGCAAAGUUUACUACAUUUCUCAUAAAAUAAGGGAAUGGGGUUCCAAAGUAAGUAAGUAGUACGUAACUGUUUUUUUUUAUUUUUAUUUUAUAAUGACCUUUUCAAUUUUCAUAAAUUUGUUGUCAUUGAAAAGUUGGGGCAGAUCGACUGGUCCGGUCGCCCCUUUCUUUUUCCCUUCGAAAAAAUGCCAAACAAAGUUGUAACGUGGGAUGGUUGGAAUCUUAAUACAUUUUUUCCCCGAAGCGAAAUUAACACACACACACACACAAAUAAUAUAGACACGCAGCAGGCAUCAAUGCCUCUUAAUACAUGCCUCUGGAAUUCUUCCAAUGGCAAUGGCAAUGGCGUACGUUUGAGGAACAUAUAAAUCAUUCAUGUACACAGUGGAAAACAGCUAAGUCUAAGAGAUAUUCGAUAAUAUUAGAGCUGAAUUUUUAUUUUUUGAAAAUUAUUCGAUUUUUUAUUCUGGGUUGAGGUCGGUGUAUUCUUUUCUUUCGAUUCUUUAUUAAGAAGAGAAUAUGCGAACUUAAGAUUCGGCUCUGACUAUGACGCACGUGACACGGCUCGUGCGUACCGUCAUCCUGUCGACAUCCCUUUAUUAUAAAAUUCAUUCAUAAUCUUUUGAAAAAAAGAUUAUUAUUAUUACUGUUGUAAAAAAUUGGCUAACGCAUGAUUUUCAAUUCAAUUUUUUAAUCGUCUGCGAAGACGAUGACUUAAUUAAUUAUUCUUAAACUGCAGAAAAGAAAUUUCCUGACUUGUCUGGUUACUAAAAGCAAUUACUCCCACAACAAAAAUUUGUGCUGCAUUUCCAUUGUCCGUACCUACAAAAGCUCGAGCUCUUGGUUAUAUAGAAGAAUAUUGUGCUAAACUAGUGGUAUUAUUUGUAUGAGACUUUAAUGUGCAAAAAUACAUCAGUAUUGAUUGGAGAGCAUAUAAACAAAAACGGUAGAAAAGAAAAUAUUUGGAGCAAUUCAUUAAGUAAACUUUUGCUGCAAUUAAUUUUGGAUUAAUCUUCUAUGUAUACAUUGACAGUAAUUCGAAUUAGAUAUAUGACAUACAUAAUCUGAAUUUGAAUUUGAAACUCAUAUUUUGCAUAUGUAUCGUAUAUUCAACCGUGAUAAUCAGUGUAUAUAAGAUUUACUCAUUAAUUAAUUGUUAAUUAGCUUCGACAAAAACCCUCAAAUUAUAUCUAGUUUGAAUCAUGCUAUGAAUAGCUUGCUUGCUUGAUUUUUUUUUUUUUUUUUUAAAAAAAGAAAAAUCUGAUCCAGGAUUUCCAUUUGCAUAAUAGACUCACUCGUACGUGGUAAUAAAUACUAGUAUCAGCAAAGCGAUCUAGCUCCAUAAAGUGUUGGGCUACAAAUAAGAAUUAUAUAUGCUACAAGGCCAAGCAACAAAUCAAAAUUUUUUUUCAUGUUAAGUUUGUGUUGAUGCAGAUGUUUUGCUGCAAAGCAUGAGUCUGGUCAACCCUCCUCCUUCCCAGAUGGAAUUCAUCCAAAAAUGUCGAUAAAAUGUUAGUCCCAUUUGCAGCAAAAUGCUUGAGAAACACACGAAUCAGCAGUGCAGCGAAAAAUGGCUGCUUCCUAACUCACUAUCUCAAUCAAUGUCACCACUGCAAAUACAAGGAAGAGAGUACCGCCAAUGUAGGCUAUAACCUGUACCAGAAUUCAAGAAAUUGUUCACUGACAGAUGGUGAUCGAAACACAUUUUACAUCAAAUAUAAUAAAAUCUGUUUCUCAGUACACGGCAAAGUAACAAUAGGAGAAAAAAGAAAAAGAAAAAGAGAGAGGCAGGGUCUAAGCAUCCAAGUCAAAUUUAAAGAAAGCAGCAACUGAGAUGAUAGAAAAAGAUGAUUUGAGUUGUCAUACAACAUGGUUCAAAGUAACAAGCCAUCUUGAUCAAUAAAUAAAUGAUCUCAAUCCUACAUUGUUACCUUACUUUAGGAUCUUAAACAAAUCAAGGGCAAUUGCAUUGAAGUAUCACUACAAAAAUAGGUGAAUUUCCUGAGGGUAAGCAUGCCAAAUUUCGUAUUGUGUUAUUAUUUCUAAAUUGUUCUGCAGUCAGACAGAUAUAGGUUGAACGCGACUCUUAGAGGCCUUUCAUGAUGUUUAAUUGUUUGGGAAAAAUAUGAAUCAGUUACACGUUUUCGUCUAGACUUGAAGAUUCUGGUAAUCAAUCAUACCUUCUCCGAUAGGAAAGUCCCCAUUAAGGAGCCACCAAGAACAGCCAGCUGCAAGUAGCAAUUUAUGUUAAUUGCAUGAGAUUACGUUGUUGAGAAGCAAAAUAAAGCCUGAAGGCAUGAACGAUGCUAUAUGACUUGGAACACGAAAGAUAAGAUGCAUGUCCACUAAAAUUUGUUGUACAUGUGUUGUCUCCACUCUCCAGGAGUACUUCAAAAGAAGUAAUGGUGAGUAUAUCCGUAAACAAAUUGCAAUUUGUAUGAAUGGAUGUUUCCAACAAAAGCACUUCUCCAUACUUCAGCACCUCUGCGAAGUUGCUCCGAAAGUAGAAACAAAGCUUGCAAUUUUCUUUGUUAUAAAAUCUUAGUGCUGCUUGCUGCAGCAAGAAGGUUAAAGGUUGAAGUGUAAAUUACCAAUGUUGCCACUCCAUGACCGGCUAAUGCCCCUCCAACAACUCCAAGAGGUGAAGAGGCUGCUGCAAGUGCUGAAUUGAAAAUUUUAUGUCAGAAGUGGACAGGGAAAUGAAGACUUCAAAUUUGCAACAAGACAAGACUGAUAUGCAUUUCUAACUUAUGCGCCUAUUCAGCUGGUUUGUCAUUUUCAGUAGAAAUGAAGCUAUAUCAUGAUACCGGCAAAUUAAAAAUCCAGAUUUUGAGAUACAUCAUGUGAUACUAUGUUUAAUUGACCAGUUGACUUGAGCAAGAGGAUUCUGAUAUUAAGAUCUUGAAUUGGUAUUAUAGGAAGAUGGACCACAAACAGGAAAUCAGCAGUUUUUGCUUUUCUUAAUGCAACUAUAUAUUUCCUUAUUUCAAUAGUGCGUUAUAUGUCUUGAUGAUGACCUGUUUAUGUUGAUUAAUCCGUACUCCUAAAAAUAACCUCUAAAACCUUGCGUAUUUACAAGCAGCCUCUUGGUUAUUCAAGCCUUCUGCUGCAUUUGUUGCUUCUUCUAGAGGAUACACCAAAACAAAGGACAGAAACGUACUGUUGCUUAAUGAUCUUGCAAAAAUUCACAGAAAAGGACGUGUGGAACUCAAAAUUUUACCCACUUUUGAGAAUGCAAGCUUUAGCUGUUAAAUAUCAGAAAUAUCCUAUAUGGACCCUGAACCCCCCCAAAAGAAAAAACAGAAAAAAAAAAAGAAAAAAGAAGACACUGUAUGGUAAAGCUAUAAAGUUAAUGGACCUAGGACUAGAGAUUUUUUCGGAAAGAUCCUUCCUCACCUAUCGUGGAAAAGAAUGACUUAUCACCCCAUUCAGCAACAAAAACAAGAAGGAAAGUGCUAAUGACGGUGCUAGCAACAGCCAAAAUUCCAGCUCCAUUUCCUGAAAAUUCUGAAACUGCCAAUUCUGCAUGGUAUGGAAGAAUGGCUAGAGUUAUGUUAUGAGGUUGUACCAUAAUAAAGGAGUUGAAUACCUUUGAAAAAAAUAUAAGGAAACAAAAUGUAGCAAGAAAAUCUGACAACUUGAAGAAUAUAGUUGUCUAGUUUGGCAUAGUAGCCAAAGUAGCAGUUAUUUUCUUAAUACAUGUAAAACAACAGUCAUUCACAUACAUGGACAUACAUAUCUAAACAUCACAGUGUCUGGACUCCAGUCAACUCUAACGCAGCAAGAGCCUAAACAAUUAUUAGUUCUAAUUGUUAGGGAUGAGGUAGACACUGAAACAACAAUGUAUGCAUGCAAUGUUCACCCGCAGGUCCUCCUACGUUUUCAGGAAUUUCCCAAUUUUCAAUCUCCGCCACAAGAUUUUCAACACUAUAAAUUGUUCUCAGCAACUGUUCUUAAAACUGCCAAGAAACCUCCACCCAGCGCUUCAGAAAACAUCAACUAUGGAAUGAUACAGUCCAUUAUCAUUCAACGAUCUGAUAGGAAAGUGAAGUAAGUUCAAGUAAUGACAGUAACUGGUUUGUCAGAAGUUUGUGGUUAGCGAAUUAAUAGCAUCUCAACUUAAUAAUGAAUACAUCAGACUGAUGGUAACAUUGAAAAUUUGACGUUCAACAGGGAAACAGCACCAUGAAUGUCAAGGUGUCUUCAUCAAUCAAGAGUUGUUUUACUGUGUUCAACUUUACCAAAAAAAAGAAAAGGGGUAUUGAUGACUAAGCAAAAGGUAAUAAUCAAUGCUAGGGAUGCUGACUUUUCAUCCCCAGGAAAAUCAGAAUAUGAAGCCUUUGAAACUGGUGUUCAACAUUUCACAUAUCGAAACUUUUCUGAUGCAGCAAUAGUAUAUCGUCACUAAUCAUCUUAGAAAGCCCAUAUACAUAGUCUGAGGAAGUUAGAUGUGUAUUACUGAUUUUAUAUGUAUCUUGGAAGGACUAUAUGGACGCCUCAUAGCAUUCUAUUAGUAAAAACUGCACCUCCUUUUGUUCUUCUUCAGUCUUUUGACGAUCACCCGAGGAGGCUUCAAGCAAUGUUGAAACACCAAAGUAGACCUGUGGUCAAUCAGUAUUACAAAAUUAAAGUUAUAAUUCGAGUCAAAUCAUACUUAAAAGGUUCGCGAAGGAAGUGUAUUUCUUUCUUGCCAAAAUAUCUUUAGUAUCUUUUACCAGAAGAAAAGCUGCAGCAAUAUCAUCAAUUGGCAAAUCAGCAUCACCAAACCUGCAUUCAUGGAGCAGAGUUAAAUUAAAGCUUGAUAAAAUGGGUAGUAGUUUCAAUUAGAUCGAGAAGAGAUCCUAACAACUUGAACUACAUCAGAGAUAUGGUGGGUACAUAAAUACUGCAUAUAAUGGACAUGACAAACGUUAGAGGGUGGGUUAGUGGCAGUUGCUUGUCAACAAAUCCAUGAGAUUAAAUGGAAAACACAUUCAUUUAUUUUUCACAUCCAAGAAGUGCCGGAUCUUCUAAUCGAUCUCUGAUUGAUAUGAGAUAUCUUGCCCCUUGAAAAUCCAGUCAGGGAUGUUCACUGUCCUAAAAUGAAUAGUCAUGAGUUUUCUAAAUUCUUCAAUGCUUCUUCCACAUUAGCAGCAUUUGCAUGAAUGCAAUCCAAUUGCCAACAUGAUAGGAGGACCAAGGUCAUCAAAUUCUAUGACGCCUAAUAACACAGGAAAGCAAGCUGACCUGAAUGGGAGAAUACCAUCAACAUAAUGAAAAGUUCUUCCAAGAAUGACAGAUAUGAUUGUCAUUGCCCUGUUCAAUGCAUAAAAAGCUGCAUCAGUUAGGUAACUAUUUCAUCCACAGAACUCUUUCGAAAUUUUUUGCUGAAGUGAAAAAACCAGCUCAUCAUCAUAUAGCUUUGCUGGGAAUUCAACAUCAAACCAGAUGUCAUUUUGAUUCAGUAAGACCAUGAGAGUUUGUUGGAAAUGAAUUCUUUCUUAGGUAGGUAGAGCAGGAGAACAGCAUCUUGAUGAAAAUAAAGAUACCAUAAUUCUUGUGCACCUUGUAUUGGUGGUUAAUUGCAAACUUUAAAUUUGAAAAUCACACUUAGUAUUAUAAACAAAAAGGGCAACUGGCUGACAGCAACCAUAAAGUCUUUGAUUUUCUUUUCCAGAAGGUGCAACAAAUUUAACUUUCCCAAUCUUCUCUUGCUUUAGCAGCACAAACCUUGUCUGGCUAGCAACUGUUUUGAAUGCAUUUUAGAACUAACAAGCUAAAGUUAAAUGCCGUACCCUAGUGCACCAAAAGUUCCAAGAAAAACAACAGCAGCAGAGUUCCUAGCCGCCAAAAGUGCCUGCUCAGGAAAUCAAAGUCAUGCGCGGGUUGAUAGUUAAAACAGUUGUAGAUAGGAGUUUUAUAGGAUGCAGUGAUAAUUUAAAUUUGGUUGGGGAAAUGCAAUAAGGAUUUGAUAAUGGAGUGCAAUCCAAUAUAAGUAGCAUUUGGCUUGAGAACAUUGAGCAAUCAUCUUCUUUUGAUACAAGCAUUGCCCUGAGUAACUCCUAACAGCACUUGGACAUGUUCAUCUAUGAUGAUAUACGCAAAAUAUUCGUAUAAUUCUUAUAGCCAGAAAAAAGUAGUCUCAUAAAGCUACUCUUAAGAAUUAUUCUCUUACUGCAAUGAAGAAAGUUUUGUCCCCUAGUUCAGAGAAAAAUAUCAGCAAGAAUGCCUGCAAUAGGAAGAUAGUGUUCAGCGGAUCAGUUGGGAGAAAUAGCUUUCUAAUUAGGUAAAACUCCAACAAAAUUGACACAUACAACCCUGAUUGCCUGGAAAAAAAAAAUUGACAGUUAAGAAAGCAUGGGUAAUGCUCAAUGGGAGCAAACCAAGGCCAUAAAGCGCUUACAAGUAAAAGAACUGUGGACAAAACGUAGGGUGGCUAAAGCAUGACAGGAUUUUCAAAUAUGAUAGCUAAAGGGAGAUUUCCCUAACUGAAGCAAAACCUGUGCUAAUAUCGCCAGUGUCACCAAGAAAUGAAAUUGAUGAUAACUGACUAGCAAUAUCUGAACUGGCAACUGCCUGUUGAGCACCUUGAAGAGUGAAGAACCCACACAGCAUCAUAAGUUUCAAGUGACUCUGGUAUGACAUGAAGUUUGAAGCAGUUGUGUGUUUAGUUGUAGCCAUAAUAUUGUGCUCUUCAACAGAGUGUAAAAAUCUUAUCCCAGUGCAGCUUUUGCCCUCAGUUAUUCUGCAUUCCUGUGCCAAAAAUUCACAUUUUGGAUCAGCAGAGGAUUCAUUAAACCAUUCCUAAGUUACUAAUCCAAGACCAAACUCAGGACCGAAAGAUAACAACAUCUUGCUUCUUACUUAUUAUACUCCUACAGCAAUAAUCCUUUUGGCUGUUGUAAAGGAAAACUGAACUAGGUCUAACAAAUUCAUGGGAAACAGAAGUAAUAGACUAAAUGUCUGCUCUGUGUUUUUGCAUUUUUCACUAAUUUAUUUCCUCCAAAUCUGAAUGCAAGUAACGGAAAAUGAAAAUAUUCAGUUAAUCAAAUUUAAAUGCUGUAGCCAAACCGAAUUUUGUUUCAUAUAAUUGCCUAAUAUUUUGCACCUUAGACAUCCUUACUUGCCAACGCAUUAGCUGAAGAAAUUUAACUUCCCCAUCUAUUUCUGUUCUUAUACUAAUCAAAUUACACAAGGUGUACAAAAAAAAAAAAAAAGACAAUCAAUUGUCCCAGAAUCAAUACUAAGGCCAAUAAAACAGAAUGUAUUACAUUAAAACUAAAUAAUUUCAACACAUUCUUUUUAGCAGAAUAAGCAAUGCACAAGGAGGGAUUACCAAAGGGAAAAACUUACACCGUCUUUUGAGCUAUCAAACACUUUACAGAGGAAUUUCCCCAAGUUCCCUUCAUGCAUUUCCCUACAUUGCUUUCUUAACUUCCUGUAAAUGCCCAAACAAUUGAUAAAUUAUUAUAUCUAUAUAUACAUGAGUGCUAUUCAACAGUACUUGAAACUAACAAGGCCUGCCUCCAUUUCACAUUAAAGUUACCUGGAAAACGCUAGACUAUGAGUGGACCAAGAAACCUUUGGACUAAUACAAAUCCCAUUAAAAUUUGGAUUAAGACGAGACGGCACUGAAGUGUUUGUCAUUGUUGAAGGUUUUUUCAAGAACGAGAUUCUCUGGGAAGGGAUUGUUAAGCAUCCCAUUUUCCCUCUGCUUAAUCACCCCCUUUUCUCACUUGGGGUUUGGGUUUUGGAUGGUGGGAUCACCGACGUGUGAGGAGAAAGUAGUACGAGGAGGAGAUAAGCUAUCAGAAUCGCAAGACAGUUAAAGACCGUUAAUUUCUUACCGCGGAUUAUCUAUUCGGGAAUUUUAUAUCUAGGUCCUCUAGUUGCAUUUGUUUUGCAAUGGCGCCCAUACAACUUCUACUUAUAACAAUUACUUCUUGCAUUUUUCACCCCAAUAAAAUACUCCCAACUCUUUGCGUGUGAUGGCUACUUUUUAUGGGUUUUUGCUUCCCGUUCUCGGAUAAUAUGGUAAUGGUUCAACUGGAGUAAUUUGUACUAAUUGAUGAAAACUUUUCAAUCCAAUCUAUAUCUAAAUGAAAUUAGUUAGCUAAAUUGCUUUCUCUUACCAUCUUUUCGGUUAUCAUUUUACUGUUUUUCUAUAUUUUCAUACAUGAUGAAUAUGUCUUUAUACAAAACGAUUCCUCCUUAAACUUGAUUUUGUAUCUGUUUCCCCUUUUUGAAUUGUUGGCUUUUGACGUUAUCCGACUUAAGGAAUGCAAGUACGCUAUUCCCGUGCAUAAUGACUGCCUUUUUCAAACGAUACAUGUAGUUGAUGAUUUUGCUUUUAGUUGGCAACUUAUAAUUUUUCCGGAAGCAUAAUUGACUUGUAUUUGACUCUUCAAACUUCGUUUAGAAUCAAUCUAGUAUCAUAAGUAGAAGUUGGAGGACAAACCUUAAGAGACAUCAAUCGAGUACAUUUUUAACGAAUUGUUUGGAUUUAAUUUUUGAGACGUACAUAUCCAAAUCUUUGACUCGCAUAUCCUAAUUUUUGCAUGUAAUGAAUUCUCCCAGCAUCUCUAUGGCAUAUCCUUCUAUCUGCUAUGAUUUGAAGCCUCAUCUGUUUAGGCGCUUGAUGUGCAUUAUUAAUCUUGUCUGGCCAUUUUUGCUGGCCAUGUGUGCACUCUAAGUUCUGUCGUUUUACCUGGUUAUCUUGAGCACGCAGGCACCAUAUUGGCAUAAUCUCACAACUUUAAAAUAGAAUAUCAGGCAAUAGAAAGUUCACAUUCUUAAGGAACAAAGAUGUGUACUCAAAGUUGAGCCAGCAAUUACAAAUGGAACAAAUCCCAUGGUACGUCAUCUUGGACGCCAUGAGUCCUUUUUCUUACAAUAAGAAACAAUUAAACAUCAAAGAAACAAUACGAAAAAGGCAUCGAAAAGAAAUUAAAUCAAAUUAGAGUUGAACUCGUUACCAACAUUCAUACAGUUUUAUGUCAACUCGUAGCCGGAAGUAUACUUCUCCCUCAAAUGAAUCAGUCAUGAGAGUGGCAACCCCUCUAGUCAUGAAGAAGUCCCCCGUGCCACCAAUCACCGAAAUGUCCCUCGUUUUAUUCAUUAACGGAUCAGCUCCGGCAAAGUUUAUACUGCCUUUAUGCUCUGUGGAAUUAAGCACAAAGGAAAAACCAAGCCAAGCUGUGAAUAUAUCUUUCUUGUCAUAGAUGUAGAUGUGACGGCCCCACCUCCCCCUAAGGCGAACCAGAGGGUUCGGCGGGCCGCCUGCCCAGCUCUCGCCGGGACUCAGUCGUUCACUACAGUCCUCAAUUAAAUACAAGAUACAAUCUCAAAGAUAAAUCAAAUGGUCCACAAAUACACAUCCGUCUCCAAUAAUUACAUGUCUCAAAUGCAGCGGAAACUAAUCCCAAAUAUACAUAAAAUAAUUUCAAAUCCAAAAUUGUACAAAGUUUAGGCCAUCCAUUCACGUGUAUAAGCACAACAAGUCCUUCUUUCGCCACGAGCCCUGUGGAGGGGAAUAAAAUAGUUUUUGGGGUGAGCUAAAAGCUCAGCGAGUAACUAGAAAAUCAUUAAUCAAAUCGGUUUCACAAUAGUUCAUUUCAAUGAUGUCAUAUAGCAAUGAUGUCGUAAAUCAAAUGAUAAAUCCGGAAACCACUACAACAUUUGCAAAACAGUAAAUAUGGAUUAGCAAUAAUUCAAGAAACAUUUACAAUGGAAAGCGAUAGUAACAUUCAUGAAAGGAUACAUUCAUUCUCCUGACAUUUCCUCGCUCAUUUGGUCAUUCAUUUCAUUUCAUUCACCCCGUCCCUGGCUUUUGGCCAGGCUCCACCAACCUACAUAGGUAAUACUCGAGUAUACCAAACGUUCACCCAAGUUCCUAAUCGCCUGACCGAGUCCGCUUCUGGCUCAAGACGACCGGUAACAAGGGGCAAUGGCCAGUUCAGCCCAAAAGGCUUACAUUCAUGCGCAAGUAACAUUUCAAUCGAAAAUUUCACAUUUAUCGAGGUCGAGUGCGAUAAAGUACACACUCGCCUCGAAAACUCGUUUUGGAAAUCAUUAUAAGCGCUUAACACGUUCAACCAAAAUACAAGUCAUGAAGUCAAGAAAUAUAGCAAACAAGGCACACUCACAUGCCAGCACGCAUGAUAUGCAAGAAAACAUUUCAAAAGUAACUUUGGAAACAGUUCAAAAGUAUAUAAUGUAAGAAACGGUUCAUAAAUAACUUUAGAAGUAGUUUGAGGUCACUCACCUCCAAGGCUCAGAAAUCAUCCAUCAUAUAACAUUGCCUUGCUCAAAUCCAAGUCUUAGAUCACAAACUCAAUGCAAACAAGUCCUUUAAAACUUCGGACAGCACUUCCCCUGAAUUUGCUUACUUUCCCAGCCAUCAUGGCUUCAUUAUUUCUUCAGCCAGUCCCAAAGGUACACACACAACAACAAGUUCAUCCAAUAGCUAUUCAACAAGCUCCAAGUAGUACUAGUACAAGUCAAGCUAGGAAAAAGUCCGGAAAUGAAGGUUAAGCUCAAAACCAGAAAAACAGUUUUGACGUCAUUUUGCGGUAAUGGUACCAAAGGCGCUACGAUUGUCGGAUGAAGUUGCAAGAUACACCGUUUCGAAGCUAGGAGAUAGGGCUACAACAUUACAGAAGGUCACUCAACCCAGUUUUGAGUGCAAACAGGUCAAAAAUGCAGAAUACCAACCCAGAACCGUAAUUGCAGGUUUACGAAUCACACCAUGUUGUAAUUAGUCCAACUCAGUCUAUACAGGUCCAAAUGCAUUGAUUCCAAAGGCAUGCGGUAGCUAAGACCUCAAGCUACAUUUCAUAAGAAGACACCAACAUCCAAAUCCAAAGAAAUUCCAGUCAAAAUGGCCAAUUACAAGUGCAGUGUUCGCAUUCUGAUCAACCCAGAACAGCAACAGUAAAAUCGACAUAUCUCACUCUACACCACUCCAAAUGACCUGAAAUUUUGCAGGCACCUCUAAAUUAUCAUUCCAUACAACUUUCAUGAAGACCACUCAGUCCAGUUCUCACCCUAACUAGGUCAUAUUUACCAAAACAACCCCAGAUUUUCUAGUUCGAAGCUCACUGUGGCAGUUCUGAUUCAUUCAGUCAUAACUCAGCACACACAACUCCAAAUCAAGUAAUUCCAAAGCCAUUUAAAAGCUAAGAUAGAAGGCUAGAAUUCGUAAGAAGACAUCAACAACCAAAUCAGUAGUAUUCCCAGUCAAACUAACCAAUUACCAAAGCUGAUUUCCAGGUUCGGACAGAAACAGGGCAGCAGGGGUAUUUUGGUCCUUUCAUAGGCUACCGAACUCGGAUUGAGCUGAAAUUUUGCAGGAAACUAUAAAACAUCAUUCUAUACAACUUUCAUGUUUUGUGCUAAGGCCAAUUCGGCCUCUAACUAUGAUGAACAGUGCCAGGCAGAAUUGGGGAAAUUCAAAACCCUAAUCUGGAAUUUCAUGCAUUCAAGUGCUAAUCCUCCAUAAAAUCACAUCUUUAACCAAUACAAACCAUUAAUUUGACAUUAGCAAGACCAAAGAAGGAAUUCAUAAGUCACUCACCUUGAAACCUCAAGAAAGGAAGCAACUUAGCACCAUUUUCUUCCAAACCACUUCACAACCAACCUCACAACCACUAAACUAAGGGUUUUUAUGGAGAAAUUGGAAGUUUAAACGGUUGAUUUGCUAGAUUUGAGCAAGAAAUUGAAGAAACAAGUUGAGAGCUUUCUUUUCUUUUCUUGGAGAGAGAGAGAGUCGGCCAAGACAAUAAAAUGAAAAGAAAUUGGGUCAAAAUUUGGUUUAGUAAAGGUUAAGACAAGUCCAAGUCAAAGUCAAGGUCCAAUGGUUUUGUGACAAAUGGUCCUUUAGGGUUUUAAUCUUAUCUUUUUGUCUCUCCAAUACAAAUAUCUUAACACAUUGUAAAAUAAUAUCACUUAAUACAAAAUUCUAACAAGUUGUCAAAAAUAUAAUGCAUUUACCGUACUUGCGGGUCCCACGUUCAAAAUACGCUUUUAAUUUCUAAAAAACUAACCGAUACUAGAAAAAUCAUUUUCAAACUAUCUUUGCUCAUAAACUUUAUCUGGGGAAUUUUUCUAAUAAAGAAAAUGUAGAAAAGGCGGGCGAUUAAAUAAAAUAAACACUAGAAAAUUAGAAAAUUUCCGGGUUCUCAAACUCAUUUUUUUUUCGGGGCGUCACAGUAGAAGCCUUGCGCGCGACCAACUGGGGUAGAAUGUAGAUUGUUAUCCAAAGUUAUUGGAUCAUCGAACACAACCAAGUCUCCAAAAUGGUUUUGUCCACCCAAUAUGGUCCUGUUGCCCCAAGCGGGGGCUCCAAUAAUGGCUGCAGUUGCAUUGCGGGAAUUGUGACCAUUGUAGAUGAUGUCGUGGAAAUAAAACACCAGUCGUUUGCAAGGGGUUCUGGCCAGGAUUCUCUUGCCUGACCGCGCUGCAGCCGUGGCAAAGCAUCCAAAUAAGAGAAGAUAAAAAAUGGUAGCUGAAACUAGAAAAGAUUUUGCUCCCAUUUGUUUAUAUUGGGAUGGGGAGAGUGUGACUAAUAUGAUUGGCAUUAUAUCCGAUCCAACCUGGCUAGAUCUCUUUAUAUAAAGGUUUUCAGUGGCAGAAUUGUCCUAAGCUUGGCUUUUAAGGGAUCUUAUGAUAACUUGGGAAAAGGCUGAACUAAUUUGUAUAUGGAUAUAUUACUCGAUGUUGUUAGCUUAAAGUCUAAGAUUGACGUAAUUAUUGGGUGCGCUUGCCAGUAAUACUGUAACGGUCGAUGGAUGCUCUUGUGUAUUAGGUGGGUUCAUCAUGACCAAAAGUGGUAUAUCCUGUCUGUAAAGCAAUUUCAGUCGAUGAGUUGAUGGAUAUCAUGCAUGGAGUCCAAUUAGUUAGUGCGAUAAUGGGAAAGGAAGCCUACGCGAAUCUGAUCAGGAUGGACGAAUAAUUGAACAUUCUAAUAGGGGAAAAAAAAGAAAAGGAAAGAAAGAUAAAAGAAAGAGGAGAAUGGAAUGAAUGCAUGCAUGCAAGAACAGGUUUAGAAAGGCUUACAUGCAUUGCUGUUAAUCUCUUCUGAUUGAUUAUCUUCUCUACUUCUCUUUUUAGGUCUGAUAAGUUAUCUUCGAACAUCGUUAUGUAUGGUCACAAUCCCUUUAUCUUUAUUCUCAGAGUCCAUUUAACUAUUUGUUUUCUAAACAUGCAUGUAUAAGCUUAAAUACCACGUUUGCUAUGUGGAACGGUCCAUCAUUAUAAGGUGCAUGAAAUAUAACAGCAUUUCAACUCUUCUGAGUGUUAUGUAAACAAGACUUGGAUACCUAUGAGAAACUUUAAAAUAUUUCUCAUAUAUCGUGAAUUACAUAUAAUGCACAUUAAGUUGAUGCUAAUGUGAAGAAAAUGGUUAAAAGAUUAGUGGUGGAGUACCUAAAAGAGGGGUGUCAAAUUAAGCUAGAAGGGGCUCAAUUUCCUCAUUAAUUAGUUGGUGAGGAAAGGGCUCUCCAGAAUUAAGUUGGAAUGGUUUUCCUUCUUGAAAGUAGUCGUACAUUUUUUUCAGGUCAACCAAGCCAAUUCCCGCAAACCAGACACGGUGAAAUAGCAAUGAGUUUCAUUUAUUGAAAUGGCUACUUUAAUUUGUUCUCAUGCGCUAGCCCUCAGCACCUUCAAUGACUUCCCCUCCGAUCCGAGUUCAACCAAUACUUGAUUAGUAGCUAAUUAAUAUAUUAGUUUUUUUCUUUUUCUUUAAGAGUGCUAAUAAUCAUGAUUAUGGAUUUUUGGAGUGCCAAAAAGUGAAAAGAGGACUCUUGUCUCAACGAUAUCAUUUCCAUUUUGUGUGCCAUGUAUGUCCAGAAUAUCUCGAUUUUCUCUUGAAUAAAAUCUUACAGUUUUAUCACUCUUCUUUAAGGGGAAAAAAAAAAAAAAAGAAGUAACGAGUGCUGAUCUCACAUUCUUGUGAUUAAUUUCAUCUUCUAACUAAUGAAUUGUCCAUAAUGUUUGGCCCGACGUCACUGGAAGAAAAUGGUGCAGUAAUUAUUCUCGUCCAGUCAAGGCCUUGACAUUUAUUAUAGACACGGGAGGAAAACAAGAGAACAGUCCAGUCCAUGCAGUGAUGUUAGGUGUCCAAAUCCACCAAUGUAUUGGAGUAAUUGGCCUGGCAAAGUGGUUAAAACUGAACGUCUAGUUGGUGAAAGGAAAACAUCCACACACCUCUACUAACCACUUUCUUGUUUCUACUCUCUUACUUUCAUUCUGUCAACCCAAUUUCGUACUUAAAAUAAAUACCCAAUGUAGUAAAUUUUGGAUCUGGUACGGCGACAGAGAUGUCUAGCCUUUCUUCACCAACCCCUCUUUGUAUUUUGAUGCUUUCUUCCCAGAACUCCUGCAGUGCUGGCCACUCGAUUCUACCCCAAGUCAAGGACAGCAAACGACAGCAAAAUACUUUGGUUGACAAGAUUCACGGCCUCAACAAUUUUUUUUAUUUUUUUAUUUUUGUCAAACAGCGUCUAUUUACAACUACUAUUAUGCUAAGAAAAAGGGAACAAAUCCAACCCGAGUCAUCAGAAACCUAAACAUGACCGAGGGUGCGUUUGAUAAAAUUGAAAAUUGAAAUCUGAAAUCUGAAUAUAUUAAAUUAUUGAAUUGUUAAAUAUUAAAUCUAAUACAUUUGAGUGUAUAUUACAUUCAGUGAUAAGUGCAUAGCUUAUCAUUUAAUUUUGAGAACAAGUUUUGCCUAGUCCCUUAAUUAAUUUUAAAUGUUCAAUUUUUAGUUAACAAAUGGUCUGAAUAUACUAAGAUCUAAUUCCAUUAAAUUUAAGUACUAAAUUAAAUUAUCAAACAGGGUCUAAAUCACCUUCAUACCAAACGAGUGCACUAUUCCAUACACUGAAAAAUAUUUUACUCUAAAAUGUAAGCAAGAAAUUUGAACAUUGACCCACACCCAAGGCGGCCACUGGGGUAAAGUAUUUUAUUUUUAUUUUUAUUUUUAUUCUUUUGUUAUCAGCAAGCAGCCAUGCACCGUUUCAACUGAUAGCCCAUGGGUCUCUUACACAUGCUAGCCACAAGGGUGGCGAGCCUGGGCCUGACUUUUAGCAGAUUCAGUUUAAACUUUAUGCAUGCCCAGUUUAGAAACCACUAAAAUAAGAACACGGCUUUUAUAGGGAAAUGAAAAAUUGGUUCUCUUAAAACAGCUUUCCACUUCUAAAUUAGAAGCCCAAACAUUCUGGACAAUUUUUUUUUUUCCGAACUGUAGGCGAUUUAGAAAACCCAAGUUUGUCAACUAAGGAAUCACACUUAACUCUGCGGCCAUAUUUUUUACCCCGUGGGCCCAAGAUACAACUCAAUCUCGAUACUCUUAUUUAUUAUUCAUUUAUUUUUCCUUGUAAAUUGAAGUAAUACCUGAAAAUCAGAAGCUACAGGAAGAUUUUAUUAAUUUUCACACAAACAAAUCUAUAUUUGUAAUGAAUGAAUAACACCUUUAUUCUUCGAGACUUACCUCGCCUAGUAAGAAUGGCAGUCCAGGCAACAAGGAGGUUUCUACCUUCAUUCUCGACCUCUUUUUUUCCCUCUUUUCUCUCUGUAAUUUUUAGAGUCUCUCUUAAAAAAACAAAACAGAGGACAAAUUCAUACCUUCUAAACUUAGAAUUGUCGGCCAAGAUAAUUUGUGAAUUGUACUAAUGGGUUGGAUGCAAAGUUGCAAACUAGCUUUUAGUAUCUAGUAAAGAGAACAAUCCGACGUCAAUCUUAUUACACACAUAUAUAUAUAUAUUAUUAAUAAAGGAACUCACAAUCACUAUCCGAGAGUGUGUGUUGAGUAAAUUUCGCCCCAUAUAAUUGUUUACCAACCACAUGAAUGGAUGAUACGCACUAGACGGACAGAUGUCCGCCCUAUUACAUUGACUAGGAGGGGAUCACCGCGCGUUGCGCGGUGUUAAUUUCAUAUUGCCCAGAAAAUGCCCAGAUUUUCAAGUGGAGAUAUCAUAAAUCAUAUGCAUUGCAUUUAAGUUAUUUGGUUAUAAAAUGAUUAAGCUUUUAAAUAAGCAAUGUUGUAAGAAAAUGCGAGUAAAUAAAGGUUUGCAUCUAACAUGGUGUCGAGAAAAUGAUCGAAAAGAAAAUAAUUGAGGCGAAUAAAAUUGAAGCUCAUCAAUAUGAUUUUGCUUCAUGUAGAGAUGGGAUGUAGUGUUGGGAGAAGUAAAUGGGAGAUUCAAAAAUAUUAAACAAUGAGUAAACACUAUUAAUUUUUUCUAUUAUUCUGUGAAAGAUUGAUUAUUUGUGGUGUUUUUAAAUUUAUAACGAGCAUUAAUUUUGAUGUUGUUCAAUCGUUUCUAUAUUGUUUAUCCAAUUCUUUGCAUGUAAGAUGAAAAUUGGAACAACUAACGCAACAACUCUAGUGAAGAGAAUGGAAGUGUGAUACAUGGCAUGAAAUAGGUGUACAGUGAGAAUGAAGGGGGUUCAUAUUUCUGAAAAAGAAUCCUCCGUGCAACAAUCUAUCUUCACAGUCAAUAGAAACGUUCCCUAACCGAAGUUUAUUGUUGGGAGAAUGAAAUAACCAGUUGACAAAUAGAAAGGUGGAAUUCUUGGCGCACUUGAGUUUCAUGCCAUAACAGGCCAUUUAUAUGAAAUUAAUUACUGAUUAUGCAGAAAAAGGUAGCUGGAAAACGGUGAAAGCAUGCAAAUUGCCCAAUCCUGGCCAUCUAACUUGCAAAUUGUUGUGAUGACAGAUGUCGAAUUAUUUGAGGCCAUACAAUUAGGAGGCAUAUAAUUAGUAAAAAGAAUUAUUGAAUUAAAGAGGUAAGUGAAAAUUGCAAUUCAGUGUCAUUAAGAAUACAACCCACCGUAACUGGACAAAAUUACGAAGUACAUAAUAGGUCCAAUAUACACAAUAUGAUGCAUUGAAACAAAAGUUGGUCACUAUCUUUACAAACGAAACCUCUUAUUUAAAAUGUAAAAGGUACAUAAUGUCUACAAUAAUAUGUAUCCAAAAAUGAGGCUAAUAAAUAAUCACUGUAGAUCCAUGCAGGACAGACAUAGAAAUAAUUCCAAUCUUGAUUCUAGGGAUGCAUGGCACUUCAAUCAUGAUAAUGCAAGGGAAACGGUAAGAGUUCUUCCACUCUUCGGGCUUUGACUCAUUGCUAAGCAAAACAAGCCAAACAAAUCAUUAAGCAUUCUCUCAAAUAAUUUACUUAAUUUGAACUCAAGCCACACAAUCAAAUAACAGUAAGUAUAAAGAUAUCUGAUUGGGCCUAGAACAACAAAGCCUAAAGAAGUGUCAGAUAUCUUGACUAAUAACCUGCACAUAGACGAUAGAACAGCAGAAGCAUAUUCCAAGGAAAGUGAAGAAAAUUCUCUUGACAAAUUUAGCAAGUCAGCAAAAUGUUGAAUACUGCCAAUGCCUCUCAUCCUUUUUUCAACAAGUUUAUACCUAUAAAUAUUGAAGUUUAAGAAAUGAACCCAAAAGGUUAAAGAUGAAAUAUACAAAUUUAUUACCAAGUAAAACUUACUCUAACAACAAAAGUGUAAUCAAUCUAUAAAAUUAAUCAAUGAAAAGAAACUAAUGAUUCGUUAUUCAAAAGCCCAUCAAAAGAAGAUGACAUUUUCACACUACAAAAUAGUCUAUUUAGAUAGCAAAAUAAGGAAGCUGACAUGCUAUGGAGUUCCAAAUAUGGAUGUGCACAAUAUCUGCUCAACCAAGUCACCUAGUUUAAGAUAUUCUCACCUAUCAAUUAAACAAAAACUCGAUUAAUUAGAACUUAUACCAUCAUUAAAACCCAAAAAAGGAAAAACAACAAUAAAAGGUGAACAAACACCUACUUAAAGGCUAUCUUCACCAUUUGUUUAUUCCUGGACCACAAAUAAAGAUUGCUUCUUCCUGUAGUGGAUACCAGAAAAAGAAGAAAGAAAAGGUCAGAGAUAAAAACUGAAGGGGAAAAAUUUAUCCCUGAGAAAUUGCAAUGGCAAAGUACCUUCGGUUGUGUAGACAAUCAUCUCCCUACUCUUACUCUCAAACAUAUACUACUUUAGAAAUAUUGACUUGUCCUAAAAGAUGCAGAGACAGAAAUUGCAUGAAGACCAGGUCCCAUAUUCAGUGCAAAAACAAGAAAAGAACAAAAGGAUUCAACUUUUAACUGAGCAAAAAAUGAUUCCUGAACCAGCUUAGAGGUUUCUUCAGAAAAUCUUUAAACUUCUCUGCAAAAGUGAAAGUGAAAAGUCUUAACCUCGACCUUUUGUUCCAUAUUAGUUAAUGUUAUUUAUCAUUUAACUUUUGAUUUAACAGAUGCACAUGAUUAACAGACGACCACUCUUUUGGCAUAUUAGUUAAUUUUGGCAGAUUUACACUCUUUUGCCAAAAGUGUGUAAAAGAGUACGUCAAACUAAACCUCCCAGCUUCAUAUAUGCUUCAGAUGCAUAACAAUUCAUGUUGAGAAGGCAAUAGCUAAAAAAAAAAAAUUCAUAAAAUUAACAUUUUCAACACCCACCAGACACUUCGUGAAAACCACUACAUAGCACAAAAAUCAGAAAUUUGAAAUUCAAAGUUAAGGUAAUCUAGAAAGAUGACCACAAAAUAAAAAAAAAACGAUAACCUGAAAAGCUAAAUCUUUUUCUCCUCCCUUUAGUAUUUCCUUGUGAUGUUCCUCAAUCUAUCAAAUAGGCAGCAAUCUAAGAUUAUGAGGAGCAGCAAAACUAAAGAAGCAAGCAAGAAAUUAAAAACUUCAGAAAUGAAAAGGAAGCAGAAACUUGAAAGUCCAAUCUAGUGUAAAAUUGGAAAAAUGACAGGGAAAUAAAUCAAAAAAAAUCCACAACCUGAAAAGUUAAAAAAUUUUUCUCCUUUCAGUGGAUAUUCCUUCCAUUUUUUCAAACUGUUUUCACAUUUGAAUACUAUAACGUUGAGAUACCAAGAACUAUAUAUUACAUACACUGAAAAAAUGACUUCACCAAUAAUGACUAACCAUAGAAAAAAGGGCUUUAAAAAUCUCAUUUCGCAAAUUCACAUACGAAGUAAAAUCUCAAGUAAGAUAUUGUCAAUAAUAUUAAAAAAAACCCAUAAAAGUAUAAACAAACAAUUAUUAGAUCAAACUUGGCUGUUUUGUCUUACAAUUACUAUGGGCAGAAUAGACUGCUAUUGUAGGCAAUGAACCACAUAGUUCAAUCGUCAACUCUGCUUUACCCAACUUGCUCACAAACACUUCUAGAACAAAGCCAUGUAAUUAAAUGAUAAUGCUCAAAAUGUAAAAGCAUUUGCUAAAAAAUUGAUCUUCUAGUUUUUGAAACAUUAAUGAGGUGUUAUCAAGAUUAAAAUGCAAAGAAAAAAAAGUAAGUUUGUAAAAUCUACCCAUUAAAUUGGCGAAAUAAAUUGUGUAACCUAACCAUGUUAUGAUAAUAACCAAAGUAAUAGGCUCUUUGACGAGCUAAGAGAGCCAGGAAGAAAAAAAAAGAACAUGCCAGAAAACAAAUUGCCCCAGUCCAACUCAUCAUUCAAGAGUAGAUAGGCAAAGAAAAUUAAAAGGCACAACUAUUCAAUAUGUUAUUUUUAACUUUCACAAGCAAAUGUACAUGUAUCAACCCCCUGGGAGUUUCUAUUCUAGUUUCGUAACCUUCAAUUGUUGAGGAAAACAAUCUAUCAAAUAAACAAAAGAACACAAUUAAGUGAUAAUCUAAAGCCUAUCAGCAUAUACAUUUAAGAAUCUAGGGAAGGGAAAAUUUUCUCUUAUUCAUCAGGGGGAAAAACCCCCAAAGAAUACAAAAUCAGUCUGUUUACCACCAUGUAUGCAUUAUCUUCAAUGAAUGUUGCACUGGUAGUUAUUAAGUGGGGUUUUUUUUUUUUUGUUUUUUGCAUUGAUAGUAAGAAAUUGCACAUGAGCCACUAUAAAUGAAUCAUUCUUUUCUGUAGGACCAAUAAUUACAAUAAGAGAGCAAACUACAAACCAAAAGGUAAAUACAUCAAUACAUUGAAACUGCAUAUAAGCAAGCUAACAAAUGAAUUUCAAAUCAAAUAUUAAAUAAUCUGCAAUAAAUGAAAAUUUCUUACUAAAAAAUUCAAAGACUACAAAAUUACAAGAAUCUCAUGGUAAAAGAAACAUUAAGUAAACAACAGUACAUUAAACGACUAAAUAUACCUAAUUAAGUAGAACAAACUUAAGUAGCCUUAAAGCUAGUGAGAAUAAUAUAAGCAGCUUCCCUCCUAUCACUACCAGCAAUCAGCUUAACACAAAAUACCUAUUAAAAACACCAGAUGAGUUUUGGAUGCUCAAAAAAACCCAAAAAGAAAAAAGAAAAAAAACAUUGCAAUCAUGGGCUAUGAACCAAGUAUAAUCCCUGCAUACAUAAAAAUCUUUCCUUCUUGUACAAGAUGAUGGCACAUAAACAUUAAGAAACAAUAUGAUUUUCCAUUGAAUGCCUUCUGCACAGAAUGUUUGAGAUAAAUAAAUGGAGGAAAAAGUAAAAAUCUGGAACCCAUACAACAAAUUGAACAAAAGGUGAGAUGGCCAAAUAAAAUAAUCACAGUUAAGAGUAUGGCCAAAUAUACACACUUUUGGCAAUCACUUUUUCCUCAUUGUGUAUCUGAAUUUUUUGCACUGCACAAAUGUAAUUUGAGAGCAAGGACUUUUUGGAAUUUGAUACACCAGACAUGUUAAGCUCAACCAAAAACUCAAUAUUGUACUGAAGCAAAUUACAGCAUAAAAACUUUUGGUUCCGCUGCAAAACUCAGACACCCAUAAGACAUUUUAGCAAUAAGUGUUAACCACACUUGUAAAUGCAACUACACCACUCUAUGCAUACUCUAAAUACAAAGUCACAACUACUGCAAUGGAAAAGUAAUGACAAAGACAUCUAUUCCAAGCACAAUUCAAACAGGAUCUCCCAGUACCAUGUAUAACUUGGAUGAAUAACCAUCCGUGUUAAGAAGGCAAUAGUAAAGAUAAAAGGCAAAACUAAGAAAUAAUACCUAUAGCUACUUUGUGAAACCAAUGAAUAGAAUAUAACUUGAAAGCUGAAUUUCAGGUGAGCUGCAAAGAUAAUUGGGGGAAAAAAAGAUCACAACCUAAAAAGUUAAAUCUAUCUCUUCUUGUGGAUAUUUCUUGCGUUUUUCCUCAAUCUACUAAAUAGAAAUCAAAAUAUGACAUAAAUGGAAAACAAAACUAUUAGCAGCAGCAAAACUAAAUAACUAAACAAGAAAUUAAAACAUAUAAUAUUCAAUGGAAAAGCCAAAAAAAAAAAAGGAACCGGAAACUUGAAGGUCCAGUUUAGCGUAAAAUUAGAAAAUGCUUGGAAAAUAAACUACAGAAAAAUUCGAACCUUGAAAACUUAAAUCUUUUUUUCUUCUUCCCGUCGACUUCUCUUCCAUUUUUCCCUCAAUUUAUUAAAAGAAAAAUGAGAUCCCUAUCUGUCCAAUAGACAGCAGAAAUGAGAUCGUUAAUAGCAACAAAACUAAAGUACUAAGCAAGAGAUCUGAAAUCAAAAACUUUUCUUACAAAAAAAAACGGAAACAAAAAUUUGAAGGCUAGAGUAAAAUUGGAAAAAGGCUGAAAAAUAAAUUAAAGAAAAUCGCACAACCUGGAAAGUUGAUUCUUUUUCUCCUUCUCGUGGACUUUCAAUCCAUUGUCCGCAAUCUAUGAGAAGCAAAAUGCGAUUGUGAGUAACUGCAAAUUCAAGAAAACAAAGAAAGAAACAAAAACUAAACAAAAAAAAUCAAAGAGCCAUAUUUGUUUUAAAUUUUUGUUGAUUAACAAAGAAGAAAGAAAACAUGUAGAUGAAUGAUAGUCGAAAGUCGGAAGAAAAUAAAAAAUAGCAGAUCUCUGGGUUUAUAAAUACUUCCGACUUUCGCUGCUUUUGGAUGAAGAUUUUACUACGGCUUUCUUUGUUUGCUCAAAGUAGGAGAUGGAAGAAUAGUAUUUCAGACGUCUGGGUUAUUAAUCGAAAGAUUAACAAAUCUUAGCAGGAAAAAUAUCUUUCUUUUGUAAAUAAAGGAAACUGUAAAACUUUAGGGAAAUAUUGGAGCUUACCAAUUAAGAUGAUUUUUGUGUCUCAUGCGUUUAGUAGCUUCAUAUCCAGACCAAUUCUAGCAAGAGAAAAAAAUCAGUUAGAAUCAUAUAAUUGAAAAAAGGAAAGAGAAGAAGGGGAAAAGGGGGGAGGGGGGAAACAGGAAGGAAAAACAGAGAAAAAAGGACCAAAUAAAAAACAACAAAAAGAAGAAAGGAACAAAGAAAUGAAAAGAAAAAUGGAAGGGGAGAGGAGAGGAGCUUUGGAGAGCAACGAAGCGGCGGAGAUGAAUGAGGGGAAAGAAAACAAGGAAAGCCCUAAAACAAAUUUUUUGUCACGUGAGAAGCACAUGAUGGACGACCACCAUCCAGUCAAUAAAACUUGGCCACAUCAGCACAACAACCACCAUUCUUAACAGAUCCAUUCGCGCUUUUACUAUAUAGGUUGAUAAAGAAUAACCAACAAAUUCGGCUUGUGAAAGUACCACCUUUUAGAUUACUUGCUUUUUUCCCCCUUUGUCUAAGAAGUAAUCUUCUCCUAACACGCCACUACCUAUCAUUGUCCUUUUAAUGUUUUUUUCUGUGUUGAUAAUUAACGGUGGAUCGCAUUCAACCCCACAAAGCUCAGAAUCUUGAAUUCUUCAUUACUACUCGAGAUUUGUCAACAUCUUUCUUGUUUUUCUAAUUGGAUCUUUUAGAUUAUAAAAUCAACCAGAGAAGUUGAUAUCUGACUUGAACCCACCAAAACCUCUUUUUAACUUCAGUGACUUCUUUGAAAAAUAGUUUAGGACCAUCUCACUCCCUUUCUGUCUUCCUGAGUUUUAAAAACUUUUGCUACUAUAUAUUACUAUAUUAUUAUUCUUCAUGACGCACAGACAAUUCCCAACAGUGGAAACUCACUAGUAGCUCAAAGUAUAUUAAAGCUGCUAAAGUAAGUAAGAGUUUGUUCUGUCAUUCCCGUGAUUCCCAGCAAGAACACGUGUUGGAUAACUAAUCCCUUGGAGAUUUUGACAAAAAUUUCAGCAAAAUAAUGCUUUAAAGAAUCAAAGUCAAGCUUGUGAGUAAUUGAGCUAAAGAUGGCCUUUUUUGAGUUAGAUUGAUAUUUGGCUGUCGGUCAUUUAUUUAUUUAUUCAGUUGCUUGUUUUCACAAUCAAACGUUGGUGGAAGAUUGGUGUGCGGUAGGUGCAGAGGCUGCUGACUAUUGGGGCUGCGCUUUUAAGGUACAUACAACCAAGCACACGAAAUUUGAUUUGUUACCUUAGUCCUUAGGUGAGGUAGGCUUCGGUUGGCUAUAAUCAGAAAAAUUGAGACUAAUGGGAAUAUUAUUAAUAUUGUUAGGGCAUUAUUUGUACAACUUUUGGAAACAAGUCCAUUUUUACAACGUGCGUGUCCUUACCUCAUAUUCUCCAAACCAACCGACUUCACGGUCAUCUUAUAGUUAGUACUCCAUUAACCUUCGAAUGUGGAUUGUUCCUAAUUACCUGUGAACUUAGGGGGUUUUGGUUAUGCUUAUGCCCCUAAUCUUAGAAGAUCAAGAAACUCAACCACGUGUGCAAGUUAAUCAACGACGAUCCAGUGUUAGGUUGGGAUAGGGUCAAUUAUGCCGUCGGGACUCGUGGGGGGUGGGUGGCAAUGAAAGGUCCGCGCAGAUUGCGAUGUCCAUAUCCAUUAAUGGAUAUGGUAAUAGAGCCUUUCUUCGAUUCAUUAUUAUGAGCCCACCGUUGACAUAAGCUGUGCGCACGGCAUUAGGCUGACUUUUGAGAGAAAUUUUAUGUUGGUGCAAAGCAACUAUUUGGUAUACCUAAGUAAUUGAUCUAAGAUCAAUGUGGAAGUUAUUCAAACACUUCACUUACUAAUUCACAUGUUAAGUAGGGUUAACUUGACAUGUUAAAUGGAAACUCUUUUGUCGAUCCUAGAGUAACUAUUGCCAAGGAGUUACAGUGAAACCAACACAAAUUUUUUGGAUUUUCGAUGUCACAUUCCUGGUACUAUUUAUUUGAAUGGUUUUGGAUAUCAAAUUUAUUUGGACGGUCACCGUCGUCACGUAUCUGGAUAUUCAAAAUUAUAGAUCUUUUAUAACUAAAAAAGUAAUAUGUUAUGAGUUAACAUAUUCCUAAUACCACGUAAAAUUAGAUAUAUAUAAUUCUAGCCCCGUCUCUUAAGAGAAAAAAAUGCAAAUACGUAUUCAACAUGUAAUAUACCUAAAAUUAUGAAACCAAUAUUUGCCAAUGAAGCCUUGAUCUACUAGACACAAUUUAGUCAGAGAAGGCAAAUGUAUGAGUCUAUUCUAAUUUUAUGUUAGUUUGGGCGUUAGUUGUUAUGAAUUAGUUGUAAUCUCUUAUACUAAUUCCACCAUUGCAUGUGGGUUAUAUGUAAUUUUUAUAUUUAAAAAAAUAUUAGAGCAAUUUUUAUUUAAACUAGAUAGGUGCACGUGUAGUUUCAUGAUUUUCAUAUUUGCACUUUCUCUAUAAAUUAAUUUGCAAUAUUUUGCAGGAUACGUACAUAAAAGAAAAGUAACGGUUCAAUUUUUGUUCAGCAGAUGGGGAAAUUGAACUUUAAACUGGACUCAGAUUUUUUUUUGGCUAGUAGUGUUUUGUUUUCACAUUUAAUUACCAUGAACUAACAAUAACUCAAGACUAGUUAACAAGUUUACUAUAAAAAAAGAAGCGAAAUGCUAUACAUUCCAGUUUCCCUUCAGUAGUACUAGUAAUUUUUUUUUUCCAGAUCUAUUUUGACUUCUUUAAUUGGAAGUAUUAUUUUAUGGGUAGGAUGAAGAAAAAUGCAAUAAUUGUGGCCACCGCCUGUCUCUUGUUUGUCACCGCCGUCUUGACUAAAGCAGAAAUCCGAGUCCAUUGCACAUUGCAUGGCCGGAGGUAAUUAGAGCUAUCAUCCGUUCCAACCUAACACAUUAACAAUCAAUGGUUGGGAUUUUGAAUUUAAUUAUGGCUACAGUUCUAAGGCGUUGUGUAUUUCUUGCUUCUUUUUUUUUUUUUUUGGUUCUAACACUAUAAUCGAUUUCUUAUCGCAAGACUCACCCCAAAAAUUAAUUAUGAUUAAGAAGAACAGAUUGUUCUAUGCAUUUGUUGCACGAUGUGAUGUUGUCUGCCGUAAUUUCUAUAUGGCAUUGUAUUGGUAAAUUGGCAUUCUUCAUAUUAGCAUAAAAUAUUUGGUAAUUACAACUAUCUUACAGAAAUGUGCCUAAGCCUUAGAAGCCGUAUAUAUAAAAUGCCGUUGUACAUUGUCCGAAUAUAAAGUCUUUGUUUAUGCAGGAAUGCUUUUCCAAGUGAACCAAAUCCUUCCAUCUUUUUCCACUAAUUUAAUCCAAAACUGCAAUUAAAGCGUCCCAGAGGGCCAGAAAAAAAAUAAUACUCCAGAGUAAUUGAUCUGAUUGACAAAGGGUUCAACAAAUUUACUUUAUUAUACAUAAGAAGAACAGGCAUAAUAAUGCUGGUUUAUGAAUUCUGGAUUUAUGCAUUGGAGAAUGAUUUACGUCAUCCCUCCUCAAGUUAUUCUUGUGUGCCGUAAACAAUGAUGAUGUGUCAUGUUUGCUUUUGAUGUUAGUCUUACCAUAGGAUUUUUAAUUUGACCAAAUAUAUAAUCUCAACGUGGGAAUUAGUAGCGGUCUAUAAUGGAAAGAUAGAUAGGCACAUCAUACAUGAGCAGGUUCAUGUUUCCAAAUAAAGGCUGAGUUGGUUUUAACCACGAACGUUUGACUUAAUUUGUCUUGAACUAACUAAGCGGAUUAUCAUUCUUCUGUCUUCUUCAACAGCGAUGUAUUGAUUCGAGGAAGAAUUUAAAAAAAAAAAAUUCUUUAUCUAAGAAUGGAUUGCCACUAUUUCGAUUUUCUUCAUUUGUCCAAGAGUUUCUAGAGAGAAGCAAAUAAUUAAGACCAUCACUUUGGUUCAACUAUUUUAUUUAUCAAAGUGAUGCAUGGACAGAGUACAAACUCAUAUAUCAAUUAAGACUCAACAUCAAGAGAAAAAUGAUAAUUUUAGAUCAAUGCUAUUUCGUAAAAUUUUAUUCUUCUAUCAAUUAAAACUUCUUGAUAGUAGAUCCCCCCACCCAAAAAAAAAAAAAAAGGCAAAUGCAGCCAUGAGAACCAUAUAAUUUUUUUUUUUUUCUAAAAACAAAAGGAUCCAAGCUGAAAGCCAUUGAAUUGUACCAUCAAUCAAUCACUUCCAGCAUUCAUACAACUUAAUAUCAACUCGCAGCCGGAAAUAGACAUCUCCUUCAAAUGCAUCAGUCGACAAAGUGGCAAUCCCUCUAGCCAUGAAGAAGUCACCAGUUCCACCUAUGACCGAAAUAUCCCUAGUCUUGUUGAGCAAUGGAUCAGCACCAGCAAAAUUGAGGGAACCCUUGUGUUCUGUGGAAUUGAAGACGAGGGAGAACGAAAGCCAAGCAGAAUAGGUAGUUUGCUGAUCAUAGAGGUACAUGCCCUGUGCUCUUCCCACCGGAGGUGAAUGCAGAUUGUUGUCCAAAGUGAUGGGAUCGUCGAAAACGACCAAGUCUCCGAAGUUGAAUGGGGAAGCCACUGCUGUUUUGUUACCCCAGUCUGGUGCCCCAACUAUGGCUGCAGUUGCAUUGUCUCUGUUGUAGCCUUUGUACAGGAUAUCGUGGAAGAAAAACACGAGUUCUUUGCAGGGUUUCGCAGGAGGAUAAAAUCUGUAGCUAUGGCUGAUGGUGGAGAUAGAGAAAAGGAAGCAAAAGAAGAGAGCAGGGAUGAGGGCUUUUGCAGCCAUUGUUGUCACCUUCAACUAUACUAAAUUCUUGGGUUGAUGAGGGACUAUCACUAUAUUCUUCCCCCUUAUAUAGGAGUUUUUGGGAGUAAGAGCGUCAUGACUGAUCAGUUGUGUGCACUGUGCAAGAAACGUGUACGUUUGGUAUCUUGUAAAUUGUGGUACAUGCAUAGUGGAAAUAACAAGAAUUUUGUUUUUGUUUUUAACCUUAUAUUAUAACAACCCCGUGACACUGAUGACAUUUUUUGUCAUGCAUAAAUAUUUUACAUAUUUUACACAUAUGUUGUGUAUUCAAUCAUAAUAAUAUAUAAACUGUUUGACAAAAAAAAAAAAAAUCAUAAUAAUAUAUAAACCGUUCGUUCGUGUAUAUAAGAUUUACUUUAAAUAAUUACUUAAAAGGUAUUGUCAAAACAUGUAACCGUCCAUGAAUAUAUAGUCAAAUCAAUCCCUCAAAGUGUUGGGUUAAAAUUAUUCUGAAAGUCAAACUUUCAAUGCUGAAUUCCAGUUGGCGUUAAAUCUAUAUCCUCCCAACAAAGAGAGGAGGAAUAAAAAAGAAACACAUACACAUUCUUUCCUCAAUAUCUAAUCAUUAGAAUUAAACACCUUGCCCUCCCGUGGGUAGUUCAGUUGGGACUGAUCGUCUGUAGUUACAGUAAGAUCCCAGACUCGACCUUCACGUGUUAUCGUUGCUGGGCAUUUUGGGGCGAAUUUCGGAAUACCCCUUCAGACCCGACAAAAAAUAAAAUAAAAUUAAACACCAUACAACCCUCUCCCCCUCCCCCCCUAAAAAAAAGGAAAGAAAAAAACACUAAACAUCUAUUUUGCUGUUUGCCUGGUAAAUUCCACCUACCACUUAAUAGUACCAUCGUCAACUACACGACAUGGAUGGAUCAGUUGAUUUGCAUUCUGUUCCAUGUAUCGCAUCAACUUAACUUUAACACUAAUAUUAACUGUAGUAAGACCAUUCAUAUACAUAUUAAACUUGCAAAUAGCAAUACUAGUAAGUAGUUCGUCGAUUAAAAUGAUUUUCAACGAUGGGUUGUUUGGUCAACUAUAUCCCUGAACAUUGGUCAAUAGAAUGUGACCCUCAAAUGUAAAUUUUUAUGGAAAAAUAAUAUUUAAUUGAGAAAGUAUCUAAAUGUAAAGGGGACAAUAAAUUAAAUGUAUGCAUUUAAACGAUGAAUUGGGUGUAAAUUAUAUCUACUAACAAGUUCAACUAUGUUACUCAAUAUAAGCGCCAUAGAAUUUAUUGCACACUCGGAUUAUUAGUUGUUUGAAACAUGAGUGGUGUCUUUGUUAUGGAUUUAUCUAAAAGCAAUUAUAAGGCACAAUUAACCCGGUUCUUUUAUCUAGUUAGUACACGGGUUUUUCACAUAUACUGCUUUGGAUUGUAGUUUUCUAAUAAAAAUUUUUACUCGAAUCAAUUUUUUACCUUCAUAUACAUUAAAUCGUUAUAGUCAAUUUAUUUACAAAAAUUUAAAAAGAAAACAGCAAUCUAAACCGGAGAAAAUUAGAGUCACUUUUGUAUUUAAACAGUUCGGAGUAGUAACACUUAAGUGGGUCUCUGGUGUACAAGAAAUCCAGAUAAUUAGCACCACUUAGAGCUAAAUCUCGUUUGACUAAGGAUUCAACCAGAGAACGUUCUACAGUUUUUGGAUUCUAUACAGAGACGCUCUUAGCCACCGUUCAAUUUAUGUUGGUACAACUUCUGCGUUCAACCAAGGGGGAUGGAGCGGACAAACUCUGCACUACGACAAGCUCUGCACUACGAUAAUGGACAUCAGUCGGCCUGAAUAGCGAAUGUUUGGGCUCAAAACUAAAUUAACGAGGGGCAAAAAUAUGGACCAUCGAAAAACUUGGCAGUAUUGAUUUGGAUUAUAUAGUUGCAUUUUGAUUAAUUCGUUGGAUGGACCUGUCAAAACAGAAUAUUUAACCAUAAAUGGUGAAUAUUGUAGGGCAUAAAAUGCAAUUAUGAGACUGGGCACGUCCUAGUCAAUGGUCAUUGUAUGAUUCUUCUUGAGACGUAAGAGUCACUAUCUUUCAAAGAGUUCAAAAGGAGAAAACAAUCUCAAGAAAAAUAAAGAAUGGUUCCUAUUUAUCCGAUUUUAUAUGUCGAUUAAUUUCAUUCGAGUAUGAUCAGAAGUUGUAUGUGAUGAAUCGCUUCGGUUAUUGGCCCGUAGUCUAGAGCAACGGAUAGGCCCUGGCUGUGCAACCAUACGCCAAUUUCACUCAUGAUCUGUUGUUGCUUUAGAUUCGACUACUUCUUUUAGGAACUUAAAUCAGUUUGUUACAGUUUUCCUUUCUUUUUCCCCAUGGUUUGCCAUAUUUACACUUCAAAAAAAAAAAAUUAUGCUGACCCUUCAUUUCUUCUGUAAUUUUUGCAAAUAAAUUAAAGUUGGUGGAGUGCAGUAACAAAAUACAGAGCGAAAAUUCUAAUAUUCUCUUUUCAUUAAUCUCUAUCAUCAAAUAACUGAUCAUGGAGCGAUUUUUUGUUCAAUGGAGCGAGUUACAUGAGAUUUAAGUCAAAACCAAAAGGAAACUCCGUUACUUAAAAGGAAAAGAAAAAAAAAGGAAAGAAAAAUAGUAGAGAUCGAUUAAUAAUUAAACUGAGAAUAUAUACUAUUACCACGGAAAUAUUGUUGAGAACAUAUAUGUAUGGGAUAGGAUACAAUAACAGUGCUGAUCAUUUCGUUCUUUUAGCGGGUGGAUUUUGCUUGCUAGUAGCAUUCGUACAACUUGAUGUCCAUUUGGAGGCGAAAAUAAGCAGUACCUUGCUGAGUAUCAGUACGAAAUGUUGCAACGCCUCUAGCCAUGAAGAAGUCGCCUGUUCCUCCAACCACCGAGAGAUCCCUAGUCUCCUCCAUCAUCAUGUCAGCCCCCAUGAUGUUAAUAGUACCCUUAUGCUCAGUUGAGUUAAAUAUCAAGGUAUAAGCAAACCAUGCAUUAUAAGUAUCUUUCAUGUCGUAAAAGUAGAACCCUUGAGCUCGCGCUAUCGGGGGAGAAAGAAGAAGCCGGUCUUUUGUAAUUGGAUCGUCGAAAACCACGAGCAUCCCAAAAUUGGUGUUUCCUAGUUGAGUCGGAUUUGCCGUGGCUGCAGAGGUAGCAUUUGCGGUGUUUGUUCCGUUAAAGAUGAUGUCGUGGUAAAACACUGUCAAAUGUUUGCAUGGUUUUUCAGGUUUUAUCUUCCUAGCGUGGCUAAGAAUGAAACAAAAUGCAACGAGAAAGAAGACGUUGCAAAAGGAUUUCUUCAUAUUGGUUCUUUUCUUCAUAUUGGUUAAUUAUGCUUGAUUUGUUCCAUAUUGUUGGGCAGUUUUAUAGAUGAAAUCUCCUACACAAGACAAGAUCCGUCCUUAAUCGCGUUUUAUGUGCUCAAGGUAUAUACCAUUCGGUAAAUUAAUUCUUAAUAUAAUGGACAUCGACAUAUUCUUUCGUCUUUACUCUUUAGCAUGUAUUGUACUAAGAGAAGAGAAGAAGAGAUGUACUACAAGAAGAUAGGCAUGGAAAGACAAGACAAGGAGAUCGGGUGAAGUGUUUUUUAUAUUGAGAGUGCUGUAUAAACUUGUCCUACUCGAUGUUCAUUGCUUGAGAUAAAUCAAUUUUUAAACUAUAUAUCAUGAAAAUGUGACGUUCAAAUUUUGGAUUUCUACAGCCAAUUUCUUUUACAAUGAUAAAUAUUCUGGAAAUCAUUUUUAAAGUGAAUAUGUAGAAAGAGAAUAACCAACCUUCACUUUAAAAAAAAAAAAUUUUUCUAGCAGAGAGGGGUGAAUUUAAAAAGGUCAGGAGACAGAGAAAUUAGAAGCCAAAACCUCUACGUUUUAGCCUUCGCUUAGGUUACCUAUUGGCAUGAAGUUGGGCUCAGUGGCUGGUUCUGGUUGGAUUUAGAGGUACAUGGAAAUCUGAAAUCUCAAUUUGUACUGCGUUUGGCCUCAAUAAUUUUUGGAUAUAUGUCUCAAAGUACAUAAGGUGUUGCAUAAAUAAGUUAAUAAGUUUUUCACGUAAUCUUUCUCUUGCAUAUCUUGCUUCAAGUUUCCAAGUCAAAACCCACUCUCAGGUAUUUUUAAAAAUUUAUCAUAUGAUGAAAGACCGUAGAGAAUGUAUUCAUGGAAAGACUGGAAUACCAAUUACACGAAAAAGAGAGGAUGAUUAGAGUAAGAUUAAUAACGAGCCCAUUGUGUAUAGUGAGGUCAUCUAGAUUGAAGAUUAUUUUGAGAAAAUCUCUUCGAAUAAUAGUGUAACGUGUUUUGUAAUGUGAUAUAUAUGUAUAGAAGAUAAAAAAAAAAGUUUAAAAAACAUUCGAGAAAGUAUAGAAUUGAGAGAAAAAAAAAAAGGAAGUAUCCAAGUUGGGUAUCCCAAUUAUUGAUUAUUUUUGUUAUGUACACCAGCCAACACAGCCUAGUUAUAUGUGCAGAGUGUCUUUUAGUUACUUACGCGGGACGUGUGGUGGACCUAAUGCUGUUAAAAAAAAAAAUGGUAGUAAAUAAUAAUUAGCAUGAUUUAACAUCAGUUGGUACUAGGCCUGUCAACGGGUCGGGUCUAGACCCGGAUCCGGACCGGAUCCGUGAAAUUAUUGCGAGUAUGGGUAGGGAUUUAAUUCCGUUUCCCAGGUCCGGAUCCGGAUCCGUUUUGUCAAACAAAAAAACGGGUCGGAUACGGAAUAUAGUAUUCCGACCCGUAUUAGACCCGGAUCCGGAUAUAAAUGAAUUAAUAAUUUAAAAAAUAUAUAUUUAUCAAUAUAAUUUGAUUAGGGUGAUGUAUUUUAAUAAAGUUAAUUUGAUUUCUUUUCUUAUUUGGUUUUUUCUUUGCAUUAGUUAGAAAUUAGUUUACAAAUAUAUUUUUUUCUCAUUUUUAUUAGAAAUUAUAAAUUUUGGUAAAUUUGUUCGGGUAGACCCGGAUCCGGAUCCGGGACCCACCGGAUCCGGAUCCGGAACAUAGAAUAAAAGACCCGUCGGGUAAACGGGUCGGAUCCGGAUCCGGCAAAGUAAUUCGGGUCUGGGUCCGGAAUAAUGAAUUCCGGCCCGGACCCGGCCCGUUGACAGCCCUAGUUGGUACCCUGGAAUCUUUUGUUCUAUGUGACAUGAAUGACUGUAGGUGGUGGUCUUUCUAACACUAGUAAACACUCAUGGAUGAUGAGGACAAGGAUGCAGCUUAACUAGGUUGCUGGCAACUUUUUUGAUUCCAGACAAUCUAACUAAAACAGGCAUUUUUUACAUUAAAGAAACAAUGAGGGCAUUUCGUUAGUCUAAAAGCCUGAAAGGUCUUGAAGAGAAGUUGGGACAACUGGAAAAGGUGGUAAAAGAAAAGGAUGAGAUGCUGGGAGAAUUAGAACAAAAGAUUAAGAGUAAAGAUGAUGGGAUCUCGGAACUAGGUGAGGAGAAACGAGAAGCUAUCAGACAGCUGUGCAUUUGGAUAGAUUACCACCGCAAUCGCUAUGACGAUCUCAAAGAGUGAUCUCCAAGACAUCUCCUGCAAGAAGGCAGAUAACUGCUUAAUCUGUUGAUUUUUUUCGUAUCAUUUUUUCCUUAGAUUCUUUUAUUUCGGGUGUUAAAUUGAAGAUUGUCUCUCUCUGGUCCUUUCCAUUUUUCUCAGUGUGGUCGAUAGGGGCUGAUUACUACCGUCUCGUGUUUACCCGUUAGGUUGUAUAGAAAGUAUUGGAAUUGAUUUGUUUUGGGUUGCUUGGUAUUUUGUCCAUGGGAAAAGUAGAUAUUGAGUAAAGAAACGCCUCAUCGUUAAAAAUUCUUGAUAUGGUAGUACUAAACUAUUAGCAGUGAUAUGUGAUUAUUUGUUCAGGUUCUACGUAAGAUUGAUGUCUUUUUGAUCCAUAACAUCCCAAACCCCAGGCCAGUGAGGGACGAAAACAAUGGGAAGAGCAAAUUGGAACCAUGACUGAGCACACUGAUUUUUUACGCAGAUGGUGAGUGCAGCUUUUGAAACUCGCCAAUAAUAGCAAUACCAAAUAGAGAGACAGGCUCAUUUAAGAAGCGAGGUGGUGGUGGUGUGGGUCGGUGGGGAAAUUAAAGAGUAAAAAUAGUCAACAAUAAUGUAAACCCAAACUCAUCUCUAAAUAAUCAAUUACACAAAGAUAACAGCGCAUAGCAAGCUAAAUUCCUAAUACGUACAUCUACAUAAUCAUUUCUACACAUUUAUUGGCCAAGUUUGGAGCGCAUAAGAAAGCUACAAAGGAGAAACAAAAUAUAGGUGUAUAGGAUGAGCUAUGUGAACACAUGCUAGAAGAAGGUGCAUAACAAUCCUAUCAGGGGCACAUGUGAAACAAUGAGGGAAAUAGACUCUAAGCAGGGUAUAAAAAAAAAGGCCACCAUCCCUGCUCAAUACCCUUUCCACUGCUCCAACUUGCAAAUUAGUAUGAUGCUGCAAAGCAUAUUCUGAACUUCCUCCAUUUGUUUCAAUCUGAUAUCUUCAUCUCAACUCCAAGAAUAUCUUUUGCAACUUCAUAUGUCACAAAUGCAAUUGCUAUUGAUGGAACCACCUACAUGGAAUAACACACCAUAUAUAAAAAAAAUAAAUCCACAUAAGAAAGUGGAUAAAAAUAGUCACAAGAAAAUAAUAUGUUUAGCAGCCAACAAUCUUGGUUCACAAAUUCAAAAUACGAAGUUACCUUCACUGAAUUAGGGACCAAACCCUUGUACAAAGCCCCAAAUCCCUCAUGGCGAACUGUUUUUCUGAAUGCAUCUACCAUACCAGAAUAUUCCAGAGGUACCCUUCUCUUCCCGUCACCACUAACUACUGAAGCAGCAUCUUUCCAACUACCAUCUGCAUUCGCCGGCGGAUGACAUCAAGUGGGUAAGCCACUGUUUGGCCAAUGGUUCCAGCAACAGCACCACAUGCAAGUUUUGUUGUUACACUCAACUCAGACUCUUGAAUCAGUCCAAGUGGUCUACUUUUAACCAACCAAUCCUUCAGAGAUUCAUAUACA
rnacentral:lncRNA from 1 species